rnacentral:lncRNA from 1 species
UCUGUUUGCAUAGCCUUGACCCAAUGAGGAAAUUUGACAGCUUGACUUUAGUGUUUAGGUUCAAUACUGGUGGUUAUAGACAAAAUAUGACUGAGACAUGGUUGUGUGAUGGAUGUGUAUGAUAAAACAAAGGAUAGAGGAUGAAAAAUACCUUUUUGUGAUGAUGGAGGAGAUGAAGUGAGAAGGUUGUAGUGAAAGUCUCUAAGGUAUAGGGAGGAUGUCUUAGUCUAUAUGAUUUUCUGGUGUGUGAUAAUAAUGGAGAAGUACUAGGCUCAUUUGUUGUUGGAAUAUUGAAGGAAGUUGGCAUGGAUUGGUAGGAAGGUGAAAGAGAAUGGUUUUGCUGAUGAGAUUUAGUUGGUGAUGAAUGUCUACUAUGUGUAGGUGAGGUCUGUAUGAUAGUUUGGUGCAAAGUUGUUCUAUUAUGUUUGGAUGAUUAGGAGGGUUAAUAUCCAAGAAAGAAAAAUCAUUGGUCUUGUUAGUGUCACAAAGAGUGGAUGAAGGUAGUGUAUAAUGAUUAAAUUCAGUGUGCACAAUGUAAGGAAAAAUGUUUUCAUGAAAUAUAACAUUUCUAGACACAAAAUUUUGUCUACUAUAUAAGUCUAGAAGAAUAAAACCUUUUGUGCCUAACUUAUACACCAGAAACACACACUUCCUUGAGCUUGCCUCUAGUUUUGAUCUGUUAUGAAGACUUGUGGUGGCAAAUGCUUGACAUCCAAAGACUAUAAUAUCAGAUAGGUUAGGACUUGUUUGAUGCAAAAGUUCAUAAGGACAUUUGUUUUUAAGAAUUUUGCUUGGUAAUCUAUUUAUGAGAAAAGUAGCAUGUUGUAAAGCAUAGGACCAAUAAUGCUGAGACAAAUUUGAUUGAAACAACAAAGCCCUAGUGACAUUAAGAAGAUGUCUAUGCUUUCUCCAAACCACUGAAUUCUGCUGAGGAGUUUCAGUGCAUGAGGUUUGAUGAAUGAUGCGUAAGUUACUAAAAAAUUGUGAAUCAUUAAACUCAAUUCCAUUGUCAGUUCUCAAGAUUUUUACUAUUUUAUUGUAUUGGUUCUUAACAAAGGUUGUAAAAUUUUGCAUCAAAGGUCUUGUUUCAGCUUUUGAUUUCAUCAAAAAAGUCCAUGUGUUUUUGCUAUGAUCAUCAACCACUGUAAGAAAGUAUUUAUGUCCAUGUAUUGAACUAAUAGAAAGAGGACCCCAUAUAAACAUAUGAACAAUUGCAAAAAAAUCACGACUUCUAUGUUUUUGACUCAAGAAAGGCAACCUAGAUUGUUUUGCCAAGUAACAAUGAUCACAAACUAUCUUGCUAUCAGAAUUUACAUAUGAAAUUCUUUUACAUAUACUGUGUAGCACAGAUAUUGAUGGAUGCCCUAGUGUGAAGUGCCAUAAAUCAAACUGAGGCUUAUUUUGUUUGGCUUGAAAAACAGAGUUCACAUUGUAACGCACCGAAAAUGACUUCUCAAAAACAUUGCGGAAAAAUGGGUAAAUUUUUUUUUUGAAUUGGUGACUUAAAAUUGUUCCUUUUCAAAUAUUCCUUUUCUAGGACAUCACUUUAAGUAACUCGAAUGCGGAAAAUCAACUUAUCAUUAUCGAAUGAUAACUCAACCUGAUUCACAAUUUCCUGAAUAACACAAUGCGUACAAUUUUUCCAAGGCCUAUAAUUUUUUUCCUCACACUUUUUGGCUCAUUUUAAUGUUCAAGUUGUAACUAUGGUUUACUAAAUUUUGUGAUGUUUUUGACAUUACCAAAACAACCCCAACAUCAUACUUUUUUAAUCAAUCAAGCAAAAAUCACAUGUUCACAAAAACUGUCAAAGUAAAAAAUUUCAAAAUCUUUGGUUGCAUCAUAUUUUCCAAAACAGCCCCAAAAUCUUAUUAACACAUUGAAACAAAUUUCUCAAGAGUUUUUAAGGUACAUGAAAAAGUGAGAAUACGACUUGCAAGAUUUCAAAUUUUUGUGCAUGUAUGGGCUUUUUCUCCUUUAAGAAAUUUUUAUGAUGAGGUUUUAAGCCAAAGCAUAAAAUUUCAAGCCACGCAAAUAUUUUUAAUGUCGUUGGAAAUUUGCCAUUUUAAAACAAAUUUUUGGCUAAAAAACUUACUUAAAUUUCUACGCAUUUUUGCCACUUGAUUGAGUUAUUUUUUAAAUACUUUGUGAACAAACCAAGACCUUAAAAAGUUUGCUUUUCCAUAAUCAUGAAUGAGUCAUAUCUAGGCAUGUUUGGUCACAAAGUUUAUGAAUCAAUCAAAUUUAUGUUGGAGAAAAAUUCUAAAAGAAAAUUUUCAAAAUUCAAACUUUUUUAAGACAAAAUUUUCACAUGCACAAUAUUCCAUUUAUAUUCAGCACACAUUCAACAUAAUUACUCAUGAAAGCUUAAGGAGAUUCAAAAAUCACAUAUUUUCUUUGAAUCUUUGUGAAUUUUUUUGUCUUUGAUGUUUAAAAUUUUCACUAAUCAAAAAGGGUUUCAAGAAGAACAAAAAAGAUUAAAGCUUCGAAGGAUACGACACUUACAUGUUUGACGCUUGAAACUUUGAAGAAAAGAGAGAGUUUUUUAGGAGAGUUAUUAGAGAGAUUUAUUUUGGUUUUUCAAAAUUAUGAUGUGAGUGAAUUUUCGGUCAAGGGGGGUUUAAAUGGGAUGGAAUUUCAACAAGGAUAAGAGGAUAAGGGAAAUCCUCAUUUGGAAAAAAAUUUCAUGUGGCUCCAGUUGGUGCGUUGGGCGCCCUGUCAGCCCCGCCAGGCGUACCGGUCAGCUUUGACUGGUUUGGCUUGGCCCAUGUUGGGCCGUGUUGGCUCACAAGUUAGGCCCAUUUUGAUCCCAAAAAAUGUUUUACUCAUUUCCUCUUUUAUUUGAUUUUCAAAAAAUUGUUUUUAUGGACCAAAAUAAAGUUUCUCAGUUUUAUCUUUGAAAAUUUUGAAAUUAAAGAAUAGGACAAAACAUAUUUAUAUAUAUAUUUCCAAAAUGGACUGGGUUGCCUCCCAGCAAGCGCUUCUUUACCGUCAUUAGCUUGAUGCAUGUUACCUACAAAAACUUCCCAUCCUACUGCCCAUAUGAGCUAGAUUCACCUUGCAAGAUAGCAUUGCAAUGCGCCCUUGGAUUGACUUCCAUAUUGGUAGAAAAUGUUGUUUUCUAAUUUUCAGCCAAUUAUUUGGCUAGCUGCCCAAUUUGAAUUUUCAUAUUCCUAAGGGAAGCAUUUGUGUUUUUCUGGUUGGACAUUGCCAUUUGCAUGAAUUGAUUAAGAGUGUUCUCCAGUUUAACAUUCUUAUCUUGGAUAGGAUGUUGAUAUUGAUUGGGUCUGGGAUAGAAUGGUGGUUUCUGAGGAUUGUUCUGCCUCCAUGGUUGGUUCCCUUGAAACUGAUUUCCUCCCCUUGGGUAAUUGUUUUGGAAAUUAUGCCUUGUAGGAUUGUUGACAAAUUGUACUUCCUCAGUCUGAGUCUGGCACUGGCCCAUAUCAUGAUCAUUACUACACUAGUCACAUUUGUAAACUUGCUUCUUUGAAGACUCUUUGAUCUGUCUAGGCAGAUCAUUAAGCUUUUGAGAUACUUCAUCUAAUUGUUGUUGAAGUAGUUUCUGUUGUGCUAACACAACAUCUGUUGGACUUAGUUCCAAGAUUCCACCUCUCCUUGGUGGGGGUCCUCUCUGAUGUUGGCUUUUAUGAUCAUUCAUGGCCAUGGACUCGAUGAUGUCAAUGGCCUCUUGCAGGGUCUUUGUCAACAAUUGUCCACUCAUAGUUGCAUUUAAAAUCCACUUAUGAUAUCGUUGUAACCCAUUAAUGAAAAUAUGGAUUUAUGUUUGCACAUCAAACCUGUGAUUGAGGCAUUCCUCAUCAUAGACUUGAAUAUGUCCCAUGAUUCACAAAAUCUUUCAUUCGCUAGUUGCACAAAAGUGGAUAUGGUAGUCUUCAUAUCCAUAUACUUCCCUUGUGGGAAGUGUCUGUUCAUGAAUUUUUCCUCUACCAGAUUCCAUUUAUUUUGGAUAUGUGUAGGUAAAUCCAAGAACUACUCCUUGGUUUUCCCAAUGCGAGUCAAUUGGAAAAGCUUGAGAAAUACAACCUCCUCUUCCGCCUCAGAUAUCUCAGUAGUCCCAACUAGUUCAUAGAACUUAGUUACAUGGUUGUAUGGAUCUUCAUGAUCUAGCCCAACAAAAGGAUUUGUGUACAUGAGUUGUACUAAUCCAUACUUCAUCUCAGGAGGCUUUUGAUUACCAGCAGGCCUCCCUAUUUUGAUCAUGUUUGUUGGGUUGAAGCUGACAAAACCCUGAACAGUGGGUUGGUUUUUAGCUCGUGAACCAUCAACAUUUUGUUGAUUGUUGGUCAUUGAUGGAUCUGCUACCUUUGGAAUAGAUUGGGUUUGACUUGCUUUUUUCUGUGCUUUCUUCUUUUUUCUUAAUGUUUUUUUCUAAUUCUGGAUAGAAAAAGAUUUCUAUAUGUUCACUCUUGCAAUUCAUACACAAAAAAGACUUUUGUCUAUUUCCAAAGAAAAGAGAUUAGUAGAAAAGAUAUGAAUUUACAAAGUUUUUUUAAUUUACAUUUUUAUACAAAUUAAAAUUUUAAAUUUUGUACAAAAAGUAAACAGAAAUUUUAUGCACACUUAUUAAUGAUAUAAUAUACUAUAUAAAUUUUUUCUAAAAAGCAAUUUUCUGGCAACGACGCCAAUAUGUUGAAAUGAGAGAUUUCACUAAGCUAGGAAUUCCCCUUUCAACAACAAAACGUGACACUUUGUAGGAGAGUUUUCCUAGUUGUUGCAAGUUUAUUUUAUUUUAGAGUGAUGAGUGAUGAGUGAUGAACAACUUAUUUAUUUGGUGACUUUAUUUAUUCACUCGCUUUUCCGGUUCCUUUUAACCAUACCAUAAAGGUCGGUCUCAUUUUAUUAAGUUAACCAUACCAUUUCUUAUGAAAGAUUGGUAUCAAAGAAUAAAAUGAACAAAAAAAAUAAAGUUAGAAGUUAACCGUACCACUUCUUUCAAAGGGUUGGUAUAAAGAAUAAAGAAUAAAACCCUAAAUAAAUGUUAGUUGCGAAAAUGUAAAUGACUGAAAGUAAAUGUUAGUUGCGGAAAGUAAAUGACAGAAGGUAAAUGUUAUUGCAUAAAUAAAAUGACAGAAAGUAAAUGUUAGUUGCAGAAAGUAAUUGACAGAAAGUAAAUGUUAGUGGUUAGAUUAUUAUUUUUCACUCUUUAUUUGUUAAGUAACAAUCCAUUGAUUGGAUUGCACUCUUUUACAUAUUAUUCUUUGGUACGAAGUUACAAACCAUGAAUUGGUUUGAACUUAUGCUUUUAGGAAUCUUUUAUUCAACAAAUAAAAUUUAUAAGUCAACACUUUACUAUGUUACACUUGCAUCUCUUUUCAAUAUUCAAUUUUAAUAUAGUAUAGAGUUUUGCCGAACCAAAUGCAAUUGCAUUAGAAGAAGAUUAUAUAGGCAUAUUAUAGCAAAAAUAAUGAUUUACAACUUUUUUUGAUGAUUUUUAAGUUAUGCUGCAUAAAAAUAUUAACAAGGAAACAUAGACUAAUAUUCACAAAUUAUUGAGAAGAAAAUUGAUUUGAAACAUGGAAUUAUUUUUAGACUCGUAUGAUUUUGAAAAACAUUACAAGUUAUGUGUUAUACUUUCGGUUAAUUCCACACACCAUUUCUAAAUCCUUCAUCUAGUGUCCUAGUAUGAUAAGAUGAUUUUCAAACCUUAUGUAAUACACUAAAUAAUAGUUAAGUGACACUCGUCGGAGUAGGUUGUCACACACUACUUCAGGCUCCAUUAACAUCAUUUAGCCUUGAACAUAAGUUGCUUAAAAUAGAUGUUUGAUAUGAUAAGUGAACUAAGGUAUAGGUUAUACUUUUUAGUUUACUUGUCAACACUUUAAGAUGAAGCAUUUUUGGAUCUUUAAAUCAACUUUUAGGUGAUCAAGCUAAAAUGACAUUAAGAACUUCUCAAAGAAUAAAAAUUAAAAAAAAAUAAUAACUUAAAUGUAUUGAAAUCAAAAUGUGAUACAAAUGAGGAAAAUAAAUAAAAUUACACCAUAAUCCAUAUCAAUGUGUAGGAGCAUAAGCCAUCUAUCCAAGGAUGAGAUGCUUUUAGACCCAAUUGAGAUUACAAAAUUGCUUUUAUGUUACAUUUGCCAUCUCCUUUUCUCCUAUUGAAUUCUAAGUAAAAAAUUUACAAGAAUUUACCUCGAACAAGCUUAGAAUCGUGACAAGAAUUUCUAGAUAGAAGAAGUGAAGAAUAAAAAGAAUGUGUAUUGAAGUGAAUUUUGAAUGGAAUGUGAAUUGAAUGCCUUUGAAGAGUGGAAGAAGGCCUUUAUUUAUAGGCAACUGUGACCGCCUGGCUCCUUCCUGCUCCAGGCUAGGUGCACCAAACCCUUCAGCAUGAGUUUGGUUCAUGACCAAGCAGCUUAGUCAGCUGCUUGGUGUUGACUCACCAAAGCUAGUUGUGAGCUAAAUGACCAGGUUAUUGUGAACUACUCUGAAAAAUGCUUAGAGGCCUUGUCAAGUGAGAUCAUGCAUGAUGUCAAAGUUGCUUGGUGGCUAAGUCAAGUUGACUCCUCUUUGGGUCCAGCCCGCCUGACUGCUUAGGUGUCCAUGUUGAGUUGCUUGCUUCAGCAAGUUGGCUUGUGUCAUGCUUGAGUCUAACCGUGUAAGGCUUAUGUCUGACCGAGCCAAGUUGGUACCACGUCAGCUAGGCAGUGCUAAGUGUCCACACCAAGAUACUUAGUGACCAACUUCAUGUUGUUGGUCUAUGCUUGUGGUCAAACACUUAGCUUGCCAUGUGUGCUUCAAAAGUGGCUUAUGUGGAUACUUCCUUGCUUGACUAUUUGUUGAUUUUUUUCGUCUCUUCAAUUUUUCCUAGAAACUUCAUACAAAGAUUUGGAAAAGAAGUGAACAAAAACAUACAAUCAUAAUAUGACAAUUUAUCUAAAGAAUGUUGAAUUAAGUUGGUUUUGCAUGAUUUGCAUAGGAUAAGUGUCAUGAAAAGUGUAUGAAAAUUAGGUAUUUUUUGCACUUAUUAGAAUCAGAUAUAGGUGUGUGCUUGGUGAGGAGAUUACAAUGAAAAUCCUUAAGGUAAGAAGGGGGGUGAUUGAUUCUGUGAGAUCUCCUUAUAGGAGGAUUUGAAGGGUUAUUGUGAAUAUGGUCAGUGUAGAUUAAUCUAGGUGGAAUGACUGGUGUGGGGUAGGGCUCGAGAAGGGGAUUAAGGAUGGGAUUAAUUUGUGGUAUAUUGUUUGUGUCAAUAAUGAUUGGCUUCUACUGGAAGAUGUGUUUAUAGAACACAACACUUCUAGAUAUGGAAGUACUCCUAGUUGAUAGAUCAUAGACUAUAUAUCCUUUUAUCCCUGGUUAGUAACCAAGAAAGAGUCAUUUCUUUGCUCUUGGAUCCAACUUGGUCCUUUGAGUAGUAUGAGUAUAGGCAAAGCACAAGCUGCCAAAGACUCUCAAGUGAUUAAUUUUAGGUUGCUUGUGAAACAAGGCUUCAUAAGGAGUGGUUAGGCCUAAUGUGGGUGGGGGAAAUCUGUUGAGAAGAUAUACAACAUGGUGAACUACAUAGCCCCAAAAACUACUAGGUAGAUGAGAGUGUAAAAGUAAGGUUCUUACUAUGUUUAGAAUAUGUCUAUGUUUUCUCUAAACAACAAAGUUUUGUUAGGGCGUUUUCACACAAGAUGUUUAAUGAAUAAUGUUUAAUUUGGAAUAGAUAUCAUGCAUGAUAAAUUCCUUACCAUUAUCUGUCCUAAUAGUUUUGACUUUACAGUUAAAUUGUGUUGAUAUCAUUUGUAUGAAAUUAUAGAUCAAAUCUCUAGUGUUAGCUUUAGUCAUCAUGACAAAGAUCCAAGUUUACCUAGUGCAAUCAUCAACUAUAGUAAGGAAGUACAUAUGGCCAUGAAUAGUAGAGACAUGGAGAGGAUCCCAAAUGUCCAUGUGGAGAAGUUGAAAGGCUUGUGUGGUGUGUGUAGUGCUUUUAGGAAAUGGUAGUUUAGAUUGCUUCCUUAAAUGAUAGAAUUCACAAACUUUAUUAACAUCAAAUUUCACAUAUAGAAAGGUUUUGCAUACAUUGUCAAGAAAUUUGUUCGAAGGGUGGCCUAGCCUAAAAUGUUAGAGAUCAAAACAAGGAAUAGUUUGUUUCUUUAAAGAACUAAUAGUGUGUAAUGUUUCACUUGGUUGAGCAUGAAUGGUUAAUAUGUAAAGGUUAUUCUUGAUUUCAGCAUGUCCAUCAUCCUCGAGGUAGUCAUAUCCUGGAUGAGACAUGAAACAUCAUAAAAAACAAGCUUGCAUUGAAGAGAACAAGCAAGUUUAUGGACAUAGAUUAUAUUGUACUUAAAACCAGGGAUGUAUAAGACAUUGUUUAGUGUAAGGCGAUUAAGAAGGGUAAUAGUUCCAGAAUGCUUAGCCAUGACAAUGACAUCGUUAGGUAGUUUCAUAAACAUAGGUUUGACGCUCUUAUAGUGUAUGAAGUUUGAUAUAUUGUUUGUGACAUGAUCUGUGGCUCCACUAUCAAUAAUCCAAAUUUGACGAGUAAGUGAAUUACCUUAUGUGGGAGCAACAUUUGGACUGAUUGACUCAAUGCUCAUUUGAUUGACCAUAUUCUCAUGGUUGACACUUAGUUGGGCAUGUUGUGUGUAAUCUACAGGUAGAGGUUCUGUGUGCUCAAUAUCUUCUUGAUUCCUUUGUUCUGUGUGGAUAUUGUUAACCGCAUUGGUUCCCUUGGAUUUAAACUUGAAAUUAGAUGGGAACUCAUGCUUGAAAUAACAAGUUUUUUUAGUAUGUCCUUAUUUCCCACAUAAGGUACAUACUUUGUUGUUGCUGGUUUGUUCAUAUCCCUUGGCACUCGAGCUAGUUCCUCCAUUGGCCAGGUACUUCCUUCCUCCAUUAUUGUUAAAAUUUUGUCCACCUCUUCCACUAGUUUUAUUGAAUUGUGGUCUCCAUGAUUGUCUAGUGUUAACAUUGUUGAUCACACUUCUAUGCCCUUCAUGAGCAACGCCUUAUUCCUAUCUUUCUUGUUGAAGAACCAAAGAGAAGAGUUUAUUGAUGGGUGGCAAUGGUUCCAUUAAAAGAAUAUGAGUCUUUAUUGUGUUAUAUUGAUCACUAAGUCCUUUCAAUGUACAAAUGACAUAUUCAGAGUCCCUAUAAUUCUUGAUGGCUAUCAAGUAAUUGCAGGUGCAUUUGCUGGUGCAUAUACAGGUGGGCUAAGGCCUUAAAGAGUCUAGUUCUUCCCACAUGAUUUUAAGGUCAAUGAAGUAGGUAGAUACAUUUUUGUCUGCUUGUGUGAUGGAGUGUAAUUCUUGAAGUAAAUUAGAAGUUCUAAAGUAGUCACCUUUUGAAAAUAUGUCCUUGAGAUCCUCGCAAAGCUCUUGUGCAUUGUCUGUGUAAACUAUACUUUGGGCUAUCUGGUGGCUUAGUGAUCUUGUGAUCCAAGAUAUCACCAUGUUGUUGCAUCUAUCCCAUGCAUCAAAUAUAGCAUAUGAUUCUUGUGAUAUGCCUAUUCUUCCAUUGACGAAUUUGAAUUUGUUCUUUAAUGAAAGAGGCCUUUUCAUACCCCUACUCUUGGUGUGGUAGUUUGCACCAUUCAAUGGUGGUGAGACUAAUACAACUCUUGGAUUCUCUCCGGGAUGUAAGUAAUAAGGGCUGGUUAGAUUUUGUGAUGUAUUUGCACUAUGUUCUGCAUGUUGUGUUUGAUUUGAUUCUGCAUCCAUUGUUGAUGCUUGAUGAAGGAAGGAUUCGGGCAAGAAAAAAACAAGGUUGUGUAGAUGUAGUAAGUGCAGAAACAUGCUUGCUUGGAUAGGGAAAAAAAGUAGGUUUUGUAAGAUUAGGAAUGGUUGUUGCAACAGAGCUCUCAAUAUGAGAGCUCUAAAACCAUCUUGUGAUUUUGGAAAAAGGAAUGUGAAAUGUAUUAUUGAUUGAUGAAUUUGAAUAUAAUCUGACUCCAACUUAUAGCUUGAAGUUUGUACGGAUUUCUUGCUAAGCAAGAAACAUAACAUAUAACUAUGUUAGGAAUCGGGGUAAACCUAUUAUUAAGUAUGUGUAUAGUAGGAGAAAUAAGUCAAAACUAGAAGGCAGGGCAGGGGGAAAGAUUGUAAUAUGUUUUGAUUCAGUUAGUUAGGGAGGGAAGGUUAUAAAUAGAAGUUAGUUGAGGGUGAAGGGGUAACUUUUUAGACAGUUAGGAUUGGAGGGAAGGAACUGAUUCAGGAAUCAGUUAUCCUUGGAAGGUUUACUUCUCAAAGUGUAAUUCACCUUGAUUUUCAACAUUGCAAUUCGAAUCAAUUCAAGAUCAAUUCGAUCUUGAAUCAUUCUUUCUUCUUCUAUUUCUUAAUCUCUAAAUCCAGUUCUAACACUGGUAUCAGAGCACCAUCCUGGUGCCUGAUCACACACGCUUCUGAUUCGUGAAAUUGCGCAUGGUUUCUACGAGAGGGAUGGCUAGAAACGUUGAGGAAUGGGUUCUGGAAUGUGAGGAAUUGAGAAGGGAGAGAUAAGAGCAGAGGAUUCGCAAUGAAGUGAAUGAAGCGAGGAUGAAGAGGUUGGAAGAGACAUUGGCUCAACUUACCACCAGAGCUAGGGUUUCUAAUGUUCGUGAUGAAGGAAGUGAAUUCGGGGAAGAUCACGAAGUGAGGAACCAAAGAGGCAAGGAGAGAUGGAGAAAAUUGGAUAUUCCAAUUUUUUCGGGGAAUGAUGCCUUUGGAUGGACCCACAGGUUGGAGAGAUACUUCUCAUUGAAAGAAGUCACAGAAGAGGAGAAGAUGCAGGUUACUUUAAUAGCACUAGAAGGGAAGGCACUUAGCUGGUAUAAUUGGUGGAGCAGGUGCAACCCUCAUCCAUCUUGGGAAGGGUUUAAAAUCACGGUGGUGAGGAGAUUCCAACCCUCCAUGGUUCAAAAUCCCUUUGAGCAACUCUUGGCUUUAAGGCAAACAGGGACAGUGGAGGAGUAUGUGGAGGAAUUUGAAAAGUAUGUGGGAGCUCUAAGGGAGAUUGAUCCUGAGUUUGUCAAAUGAAUCUUCUUAAAUGGGCUAAAGGAAGAAGUGAAGGCAGAAGUCAGGCUCUAUGAACACCCCAAUUUAACUGAGGUAAUUCAUAAAGCUCUUAUGAUAGAAGAAAAGAAUGUAAUCAUGCAAAGGAAGGGGAGUAGUAAAAAUUAUGCUAGGUCCACUAGAUUUACUAGGUCCAAUUUUCCUAGUAGGUCUAUAACCCUUGAAUCCAAGUCUGGAAUAGAAAGGAAGUCAGACCAAUCCUCUAGGGGAAGUGCAUCUGUUAAUAUGAAUAAUGCUGAGACAGUUGAUGGAAGCGGGGGUAGAGGAGGGACAUUCAAAUAGUUAACUGGAGCAGAAUUAAGAGAGAAGAGGGAGAAGGGCUUGUGUUUCAGGUGUGAUGAACCUUUUAAUAGGGAUCAUAAAUGUAAGAACAGGCAGUUUAGAAUGAUUUUAUUGGAGGAAGUGGAUAGUGAGGAGAUAGAAGGGGCUAAUCUGCACUCUCUGCAAUUGUCUCUAUGGGCUAUGGUUGGGUUAACAUCUAAUAAGUCUUGGAAGGUGACUAGGUGUGUGAAGGACAGAGAAGUAGUUAUUCUCAUUGAUUGUGGUGCUUCCCACAAUUUUAUUUCCACCAAGGUAGUAGAACAAUUACAAUUGGAGACUCAAGCCACUCCAAGAUAUGUAGUUGAGGUGGGAGAUGGACAUAAGGUUCAGUGUCAAGGAAGGUGUGCUCAGCUGGGAUUUCAGUUAUAGGGCCUAGAUUUCACUCAAGAAUUCUACCUAUUUGAGCUGAAGAGAGUGGAUGUAGUGUUGGGUUUGGAAUGGCUGGUUGGAUUGGGAGAAGUGAGAGCAGAUUUUGGUAAGUUGGAACUUACUCUGAGGAGGGAAGAAGAGGUUCACAACAUCAAAGGAGAUCCAGCUUUGACUAAAACUCAGGUUUCUUUUGGAGCUUUCAUGCAAUUGUUGAAUGGGGAAGGAGAAGGGUUGUGGUUGCAUUGUUCUGAAUCAGAAUCUUCCCUAGUCAAUUCCUCUCGGGUUCCAGAAGAGUUAUAUGCCCUUUUGCAACAGUUUGUUGAGGUCUUUGCUGACCCUGAAGGCUUACCUCCCUAGAGGGAUCAUGAUCAUGCUAUCUUCUUAAAGGAAGGAGCUAACAUCCCUAAUCUUAGGCCUUACAAAUAUCCUCAUUACCAGAAAGCUGAAAUUGAAAAGUUGGUCACUGAGAUGCUACAAGCAGGGGUCAUUAGACCAAGUAUUAGUCCAUACUCUAGUCCCAUAAUUUUGGUGAAAAAGAAGGAUGGAAGGUGGAGGUUUUGUAUGGACUACAGGGCUCUAAAAAAGAUUAGAAUGAGGGAGCAGGAUAUAGAGAAGACUGCCUUCAGGACUCAUGAGGGGCACUAUGAGUUCAUGGUGAUGCCUUUUGGCCUCACCAAUGCACCUUCCACUUUCCAAGCUUUGAUGAAUGAAGUUUUGAAGCUUUUCCUUCGAAGGUUUGUCCUAGACUUCUUUGAUGAUAUCCUAGUCCUUAGCCAGGAUCUUUGUUCUCACUUAAGACACUUAGAAAAGGUGUUGGAGGUGCUACAACAUCAUUCUCUUAAGGCUAACAAGAAAAAGUGCACUUUUGGCUAGAAGAAGCUGGAAUAUUUGGGCCAUGUGAUUUCAGGACAAGGUGUAGAAGCAGAUCAGUCCAAAAUAGAAGCUAUGUGUUCCUGGCCCAUUCCAAGAGACAUUAGAGGAUUGAGGGGAUUCUUGGGCCUCACAGGUUAUUAUAGAAGAUUUGUGAAGAACUAUGGGAUGUUGGCAAAACCUCUGACUGAGUCGUUGAAGAAAGAAGGGUUUAAGUGGUCUGAUGAGGCUACCCAAGCUUUUGAGGCUUUGAAGGCUGCCAUGGUUAGUUUACCAUUAUUGGCAGUACCUGAUUUCUCACAAAUGUUUGUAUUGGAAACAGAUGCAUCUAGCAAAGGAAUAGGAGCUGUCCUAAUGUAGGGAGAGAAACCUCUAGCUUUUUGGAGUAAGGGUUUGUCACCUAGAGCUCAGCAAAAAUCUGUAUAUGAAAGAGAAUUGAUGGCCUUGGUACAAGCUGUCCAGAGGUGGAGACACUACCUGUUAGGAAGACAUUUUAUCAUUAAAACUGAUCAGAGAAGCCUCAAAUUUCUUACUGGUCAGAGGUUGUUCACUGAGGAACAGUUUAAGUGGGCUGUCAAGCUAAUAGGAAUGGAUUUUGAGAUUCAAUUUAAACCAGGGAAGGAGAACUCAGUGGCUGAUGCUUUAUCAAGGAGAGGAAUGUAAGAUGCUCCGUCUUUGGUUUCAGUAGCUGAUAAAGAGGAGUGGAAUCAAGAGGUGACUCAAGAUCCCAAGUGGAGACAAGUCAUUCAGGAUCUGCUCAUUUCACCAGGGUCUCAUGAGGGUUUUGAAUACAGGGGAGGAGUGCUAGUAUACAGGGGCAGGUUGGUUUUGGCCAGUAAAUCUGAAAGUAUCCCUAACAUUUUGAAAGAGUGUCAUGAAACUCUUGCUGGUGGGCAUUCUGGAUUUUUCAGAACCUACAAGAGAGUGGCAGGUUGUUUGUAUUGGGUUGGUAUGAAGGGGGAUGUCAAGAGGUUUGUAGAAGGAUGUGAUGUGUGUCAAAGGAAUAAACAUCUUACUUUAACCCCUGGGGGAUUAUUACAGCCCCUACCAAUUCCCAAUCUGGUGUGGGGGGAUAUCUCAAUGGAUUUCAUAGGGGGCCUUCCCAAGUCUCAGGGUAAGGAUACCAUCUUUAUGGUGGUUGAUAGGCUCACAAAAUAUGCUCAUUUCUAUGCCUUAGGCCACCCCUACUCUGCCAGAGAAGUAGCUGACCUGUUUAUUAGAGAAGUAGUCAAGCUACAUGGUUUUCCUUCCUCUAUUGUGUCAGACAGAGAUCCAGUAUUCUUAAGCGGAUUUUGGAAGGAACUUUUUCGAAUGGCUGGCACUCAGUUGAAGCUUAGCACCUCCUACCAUCCCCAAACUGAUGGGCAAACAGAGGUGGUGAAUAGGUGUUUAGAGGAAUAUUUGAGAUGUUUUGUAGGGCCAAGACCUAAACAUUGGAUGCACUGGUUAUCUUGGGCUGAAUUUUGGUACAAUUCUACCUAUCAUAGUGCAACAUGUAUGACACCAUUUAGGGCUCUAUAUGGCAGAGACCCUCCUAUGCUCCUCAAUGCUGGGGAAUUUCCAUCUAAGGUGGAAGAAACAAAUCAGUUGUUACAAAGAAGAGAUCUGAUUUUGGCUGAGUUGAAAAACAAUCUGUUGAGAGCUCAAGAGCAAAUGAAGAGACAAGCUGAUAAACAUAGAAGGCCAAUAGAAUUCAAGGAAGGAGAUUGGGUUUAUCUUAAGAUUCAACAUUAUAAGCUGAAAUCUUUGGCUGUUAGGCCUUUUGCUAAAUUGGCUGCAAGAUACUAUGGGCCUUAUCAAGUAAUUAGCAGGAUUGGCACAGUAGCAUACAAGUUGAAGUUGCCUGAGCAUGCCAAAAUCCACCCUGUGUUUCAUGUGUCUUUAUUGAAACAGACCCUCAAACCUAAUCAAAGUCCUCAACCUCUUCCUGCAUUGUUGAAUGAAGAGUUUGAGUUGGAGGUAGAGCCAGAGGAAGUAAGAGAUUGGAGAGAAACUCAAGAAGGCCAAGUUGAAGUCGUGAUCAAGUGGGUCAAUUUGUCAGAGUGCAACAAUUCCUGGGAAGAAGCUGCGAAUUUGAAUAUAAUCUGACUCCAACUUAUAGCUUGAAGUUUGUACGGAUUUCUUGCUAAGCAAGAAACAUAACAUAUAACUAUGUUAGGAAUCGGGGUAAACCUAUUAUUAAGUAUGUGUAUAGUAGGAGAAAUAAGCCAAAACUAUAAGGCAGGGCAGGGGGAAAGAUUGUAAUAUGUUUUGAUUCAGUUAGUUAGGGAGGGAAGGUUAUAAAUAGAAGUUAGUUGAGGGUGAAUGAGUAUCUUUUCAGACAGUUAGGAUUGGAGGGAAGGAACUGAUUGAGGAAUCAGUUAUCCUUGGAAGGUUUACUUCUCAAAGUGUAAUUCACCUUGAUUUUCAAUAUUGCCAUUCGAAUCAAUUCAAGAUCAAUUCGAUCUUGAAUCAUUCUUUCUUCUUCUAUUUCUUAAUCUCUAAAUCCAGUUCUAACAAACUAAUUCCUAACAAACAAAAACAUGUGCUCCAAAAGGUAAUUAAGCACAUGUUAAAUGUGAAAAUAAUGUGCCAUAUAUGGCUCUCCUACAACAACAUAUUCAUGAUUCAUAUGAAGUAAAACUGGUCUAGCCUAGACACCUCUGCUGCAUCAGUGCACAUCAACUUGGUCCAGCCUAGACAAAUCUACUACAUCAGUGCACAUCAACUUGGUGCAACUGCUUGGUUCUGGUGCAUCUGCUUGGUCUGCUACCACCAAUUUCGCAUCAAGUCUGCACAUAAUAAACCAAACUCAGCAAUAUAUGUUUAUGAAAGAAUGUAUGGUGAUUGUAAAUAAGGCAAAGUACAAUAAAUGCUUGUUGAAAAUGUAGAGUGAAUUCUAAAAGUAACCACAAAAAGCUUUAACAUUGUGCACCAGAGCAAGUAGUUUGCAAAAAGUAAAGUUUGGAUAAACUCUGUCAUGAAAAUGAAUUUGCAAGGAAGUAAUUUAUUGGAUACUAUUGUCUUGCAAGUGGUUUUGCUAUAUUGUCUAGGUAGAUUCAAUUUUACAAAGUUAUUUUGAUCACGUUGGUUGAUAAAUAUCCAUGAUCGAGUUUCUAGAACAAGUUAUUUCAUAUUCACACCACCAAAUUUAGUUAUCAACGAAUGACAUGUUUAGAAAACUUGAAACUCGGUAUUGACACUUCAAACUAGUUUGAAACAUAUCAGAAGUUCUUUCAAUUAAUUGAUGAUUUUUUAUCUGUGAGAAGAAUGAGAAAUGUGAUUGUUUCUUAAACUUUGGGUAGAAUUGUAAAAUGCAGUUUAUUGUGUGCAGAUGGCUACAUGUGUUUCGAGUUGCACAAUGUGUGAAGGUUAAUCCAGAUUCCCCUCAGAAACAAGUCAGGUUUCUCAUUCUCUCAGGUCAUAUACUUAAUUUGGAAUUUCCGUGUGGUAUUGGAUAAGAAGGGGAGGGGAAAGUUAUUUAUGAACAUGUUUGAUUGAAACCUUAUUGAAUUUGUUGCUAAAUUUCAGUGUGAGAUAUGUAAUAAUAAGAGUCCUAAAAAUAGCAAAAGAGUAGAAAUGAUUUAAAAAGAAUAUAGAGUAAUACUAUCACUCAAAACGCAUUCACAACUACGCACAAGUGCAGGAGUGUCUCCUUCUCAAUGUUAGUGGCUUAGCUUAAAUUUGUCAUGUUAAACUCCGAUUUUAUGCAGUUGUGCAGGAUUGCGACUACUAGAGUUGUCCAAAUAGCAGCAAUAUUUUAUUUUGAAAUACAAAGUAAAUAUUGCUUGAGAGUUGAGUAGUGCAAGUUGUACAAAAUUAGAUACAUGAUCCUAUGUUGAGGGUGGUUGUUUGUUGAGGGUGGUUGUUUUUUUGUGUGCCUAAUUGCCUAUACUAUAGUUUCAAUAAAUAAUGCUAUAAAUACAAUAAAAAAACCUAUUAAUUAUAGUAAAUUAGUUGAUGUUGGAUUAUUUUGAACGGAUUGGAAGAAGAAUAUUUGAGUGAAGAAAAUAAAAUAGAAGCUAGAAUGAACAGGUGGGUGGAAUAUGAAAGGCAUUCUAUGUGGUAACUGUUAGUGCGAAAAGACCCAUGAAAAAAAUAUAAUAGAUAAAAUGACACUGAAAAUUUAAUGUGGUUCGGCAAUUUGCUUAUGUCCACAGAUGAAGAGCAACAAUAUUAUUUUAUUAUGAUAAAAGAGAAUUACAAGUAUUUCACUCACUUCCCAAAACUCAUUGUCACUUUCACUCAAGUAUUUUUCAAACACUCAAAUAUUUCUCACAAUAUUAUAACAAGAGAACAAGAAGAGAUAAUAUAUACUAAUCAAUUUAUUUGGUGUGUCUUACAAUGGCUUGGAGCACUCCUAUUUAUAGUCAAAGUUCUUAAAGAUUAUGUGGCCAAAGUAAAAGAACAUUAAUGUUGGUUUCAUCAUAGUCACUUUUUUUUACUUGGCUACAAACUCUCUCUUUCUUCAAGAUGAUCUCUAGCCACUUUUUUUUUGUUUGGCUACAAGAAAGUCUUUUCAUUAUCUUUUUUCUUUUAGCCAAUAUUCAAUAAAUUUUCACCUUGGCUAAAAGAUAAUCAUAGUUAUUCUCCUGCUACUCUUCUUCAUGCCCACUAGAGAUUCUGAAUAUUAAUCAAGUUCAAACAAUGUGUGAACUUAGUAGUUGGAACUGACUUCGUCAUCAUGUCUGCAAAAUUAUCUGUAUUGGGUAUUUUCUCCAUUCUAACAAUACUUUUCUCCACGAUAUCUCUGAUAAAGUGCAUCCAAACAUCAAAUGUUUAGUUCUUUCAUGAUACAUUGGAUUCUUUGUCCGAUGUAUAGCACUUUGACUAUCAUAGUAGAUGAUUGUUUCUUCGAGUUGUAUACCCAACUCUUUAAUUAGCCCUUUCUCUUAGAUGGCUUCCUUUACAACUUUUGUUACUGCGAUGUACUUCACUUCAGUUGUAGACAAAACAAUAAUUGAUUGUUGUGUUGCUUUCCAACUAACGGUACAACCACACAAUGUAAAGACAUAUAUGGUGAGUGAUCUUUGCUUAUCUAGAUCUCCGGCUUAAUCUGAGUCGACGUAUCCGAUGAUCUUUCCUCCACUAUGUUUGAAUUUUCCAUACAAAAGCCAUAUAUUUGUGGUACCUUUUAGGUAGCGCAUAAUCUACUUCACAACUUUCCAAUGAACUUUAUCAGGACUUGCCAUAUAUUUGCUUACCACACUUAUUGCAUGUGCAAUAUCUAAUCUAGUCCACACCAUGACAUACAUGAGACUGCCAACCGCACUAGCAUAAGGUAUACUUGACAUCUCCUCUUUAUCAUUCUCAGUUUGUGGACACAUGGUCAUUGAAAGUUUGAAAUGAGUCACCAAUGGAUUAGUGACUGGUUUAGGAUUUUGCAUGUCAAAGUGUACCAACAAUUUCUCAAUGUACUUCUUUUAUGACAAAAAGAAUGUCCCCUCUAUUCUAUCCAUUUGAAUCUCCAUUCCCAGAAUUUUCUUUCCAGCUCCUAAAUUCUUCAUUUCAAACUCUAAGCUCAAUUGAGCUUUCAAGUUUCUUAUUUCUGACAUGUUCUUACAUGCAAUCAACAUGUCAUCAACAUAUAAAAACAAAUAGAUGAAUAACAUAUUUUAAAGCUUCUUGUAAUAGACACAACUAUCAUGUUCACUUCUAUAAUAGCCAUUUUCAAGCAUGAAGCUGUUAAAUUGCUGAUAUCAUUGUCUAGAAGAUUGUUUUAGGAUAAUAAAGAUUUCUUCAGCAAGGAAAUAUGAUCUUUCAUCCCUUGAACUUCAAAUCCUUCGGGUUGUUUCAUGUAGAUUUGUUCCUCCAACUCACCAUGUAAGAAUGUCGUUUUGACAUCUAGUUGCUCAAGUUCUAGAUCAAAUUGAUCUACAACGACAAGUAGGAUGCGAAUAGAGCUAUGUUUUACCACAUGAGAGAAAACUACAUUGAAAUAAAUACCUUCUCUUUGUGUAAAACCUUUAGCCAUUAAUCGCGCUUUGAAUCUUGCAUCUUCAACCCCUAGAUUCCUUCAUUCUUCUUAAAGACCCAUUUACAUCCAAUAAUGUUUUGAGCAUUCGGUCGCUUGACAAGAACCCAUGUAUGAUUCUUAUAAAGAGACUCAAUUUACUCUGUCAUGGUAGAAAUUCAUUUGGAAGCUUCUUUGUUGUUGAUAGCUUCUUCAUAUGAUUGUGGUUCAUAAUUGGUGAUAUCAUCACCAACAUUUAGAGCAUAUGACACCAGAUUACCAUAGCCAUAUUUAUCUGGAGGUUUUAUGUGUCUCAUUUGUCUGUCCCUAUCCAACUAAUAAUGUUGUAAUUGGGAGAUAUCAGUAUCAGUACAUGCAUCACGAACUUCUUCUUCUUGAGCAAGUGUUUUUUUCUUUUGUUGGCUCCACCUCAAACUCCACCUUCUCCAAGAUAUUAGGAUCUACAUUUCCACUUGAUAACUCUUUAUGAGGCUUUAGCAUUCAAACUUCAUUAAAAGUAACAUCUCUGCUAAUGAUGCAUUAUUUUCUUUUCUUUGGCCACCAUAACUUAUAACCUUUCACACCAUCAGGAUAUCCAAGAAAAAUACAUUUCAAUGAACUUGCAUCAAGUUUUCUUUCUUUGAUAUGAGCAUAUGCAUGACAACCAAAUACCCUCAAAAUUUCAUAAUUUGUCGGAAUACCCUGACCACAUCUCUUCUGGAGCUUUGAAACCAAUGGUUGUUGAUGGACAUCUGCUGAUCAAGUAACAAGCUGUAUUGACAGCUUCCGCCCAAAAUUCUUUUGCCAAUCCAGCAUUUGGCAACAUACAUAUUUUCCUUUCAAGUAAGGUUUUGUUCCUUCAUUAUGUAAGUCCAUUUUGUUGUUUAGUGUGCUUCAAAGUAUAAUGUUUGACAAGACCGUGAUACUUGAAAAAAAUUUUGAAUUCUUCGUUGCAGAAUUCUAGACUAUUGUCAGUUCUCAGUCUCUUGAUCUUUCUCUCGGUUUUCUUUUCGAACAAGGUUUUCUACUAUUUGAACUUGGAAAAUGCUUCAUUUUUGUGUUUCAAAAUGAAGAUCCACACCUUCCUUGAGUAGUCAUCAAUGAAUGUUAACAUGUAUCUGCUACCAUCAUGAGAAGGUACUUGGAAAGGACCCCACAAGUUAGAAUGUACAUAAUCCAAUGUGUCUCUUGUUCGAUGAAAUGCGACAUUGAAUUUUAUCCGACGCUAUUUUCCGAAACACAGUGUUCAAAAAAUCUACCUUCCCGACUUGUUGACUGCAUAGUAAUCAUUGUUUGGCCAACUCGGCUAGACAUCUUUCACUAACAAGACCCAUUUUCAGAUGCCAUAGUUUUGGUCUAUUCUUAGAUGCCAUAGUUUGAUGACAUCAGAAUUAGAUGUUAAGGAGAUAGCAGCAACACCCGUGAUUGUGUUUCCUUGUAAUAUAUAGAGACUAUUCUCUCUCUUCCCUUUUAUUACAAUCAUAGCGCCUUUAGAUAUUCUUAUAGCUCCACCUUCACCUUUGUAGCUAUAACCUUUUGAAUCUAGUGUUCCCAAGGAAAUCAAACUUUUCUUAAAUUCUAGAACAUGCCUUACAUAUGUCAACGUCCUUACGAUUCUAUCAAACAUCUUGAUUCUAAUAGUGUCGAUGCCAAUGAUCUUGCAGGGAACAUUAUUUCCCAGAAGGACCUUGCCCUCAUCUAAGGGUUGGUAAGUGGAAAACCAAUCCUUAAUGGGACACAUGUGAUAUGAGCAUCUAGAAUCAAGUAUUCAUUCAUCUUUUGAGUCGUGUUCUGAGACUAUUAGUGCAUCUACACUAUCAUAGCCAUUUGCUACAUUUACAUCUCCAUAUUCAUAAAUCUUUUCCUUGAUUUUGUGCUCUAGGAAAUUCAUUCUUAUAUGCCCCUUGUGAUAGUGAAAGCAUUUAUACUUUCUAGGUUUCGCUUUAAACUUGGACCUAGAUUUCCCUCUUUCACCAAAUUCAUUUUGCCUCUCUUUUCUUCCUCUAGCAAAUUGGUUUCGCUUUAGAUCUUGAAUCUUGUACUUUUUUCUUCAGUUCUUUUGAGUGCAACACCGCCCUUACUUCGUCCAAGGUCGGAUCUUCUCGAUCAUACAUCAUUGUAUCGAUGAAGUGGUCGUAAGAACUUGGAAGGGAACAUAGUAGAAGAAUUGUUUGUUCUUCAUCUUCAAUUUUAACAUCGAUAUUCUUUAGAUCAAGAAUAACUAUGUUAAAUUCAUCAAGAUGAUCUUUUAUGGGGUUUCCUUCCUGCAUUUGAAAAGCAUAUAUUUGUUUCUUCAAAUACAAUCUGUUGGUGAGUGACUUCGUAGCUUCAACCAUAAUGAAGCAAAUGUAGUUUCAUCUGACACUUCUCGCAGAACUUCAUCUCCAAAGGACAACAAAAUUGCACUAUGUACUUUUUCCAAGGUUUCAUCCUUCACGUCCUCGGUUAAACUCGAUGGUAGCUUGUUUAUACCUUCCAAGGCUUUGACCAAGCCUUGAUGAACUAGUAGAGCUUCAUCUUCAGUCGCUAGAGGUUGAAAUCAUUUUCUCCAUUAAAUUUCUCCAAAUCAAAUUUAGCACUCGCCAUGAUAACCGUAUACUGGAACAAUGUCAUUAGCGCCUUUAGAUAUUCUUAUAGCUCCACCUUCACCAUUGUAGCUAUAACCUUUUGAAUCUAGUGUUCCCAAGGAAAUCAAACUUUUCUUAAAUUCUAGAACAUGCCUUACAUAUGUCAACGUCCUUACGAUUCUAUCAAACAUCUUGAUUCUAAUAGUGUCGAUGCCAAUGAUCUUGCAGGGAACAUUAUUUCCCAGAAAAGGACAUUGCCACCAUCUAAGGGGUGGUAAGUGGAAAACCAAUCCUUAAUGGGACACAUGUGAUAUGAGCAUCUAGAAUCAAGUAUUCAUUCAUCUUUUGAGUCGUGUUCUGAGACUAUUAGUGCAUCUACACUAUCAUAGCCAUUUGCUACAUUUACAUCUCCAUAUUCAUAAAUCUUUUCCUUGAUUUUGUGCUCUAGGAAAUUCAUUCUUAUAUGCCCCUUGUGAUAGUGAAAGCAUUUAUACUUUCUAGGUUUCGCUUUAAACUUGGACCUAGAUUUCCCUCUUUCACCAAAUUCAUUUUGCCUCUCUUUUCUUCCUCUAGCAAAUUGGUUUCGCUUUAGAUCUUGAAUCUUGUACUUUUUUCUUCAGUUCUUUUGAGUGCAACACCGCCCUUACUUCGUCCAAGGUCGGAUCUUCUCGAUCAUACAUCAUUGUAUCGAUGAAGUGGUCGUAAGAACUUGGAAGGGAACAUAGUAGAAGAAUUGUUUGUUCUUCAUCUUCAAUUUUAACAUCGAUAUUCUUUAGAUCAAGAAUAACUAUGUUAAAUUCAUCAAGAUGAUCUUUUAUGGGGUUUCCUUCCUGCAUUUGAAAAGCAUAUAUUUGUUUCUUCAAAUACAAUCUGUUGGUGAGUGACUUCGUAGCUUCAACCAUAAUGAAGCAAAUGUAGUUUCAUCUGACACUUCUCGCAGAACUUCAUCUCCAAAGGACAACAAAAUUGCACUAUGUACUUUUUCCAAGGUUUCAUCCUUCACGUCCUCGGUUAAACUCGAUGGUAGCUUGUUUAUACCUUCCAAGGCUUUGACCAAGCCUUGAUGAACUAGUAGAGCUUCAUCUUCAGUCGCUAGAGGUUGAAAUCAUUUUCUCCAUUAAAUUUCUCCAAAUCAAAUUUAGCACUCGCCAUGAUAACCGUAUACUGGAACAAUGUCAUAGUCUGUGAAGGUACAACGGGAAAGUUCCUAGGAAAGAGAGGUGAGUCUUAACAGACAUGCUUAAAUACCAGGUCUUUCCUAAGAUAGAACUUUUCUAGACAUGCACUUUCACACUACUAUACUUUUCUAGUAACAAGAACAAUUCUUUUCUAGUGUGUAAGAUCAGACAAUGCUGCAAACAUAAAGUAUACUAAGAAUUUUCUUUUAAAUCGUAUGGCUUAGCAUGCAAAAGCUCUAUGAGCUCCGAUACCAGUUUGUUGGUGCAGAAUACCCAUGGAGAAAAUAUAAUAGAGAAAAUGACACCAAGAAUUUAACGUAGUUCGACAAUUUGCCUACGUCCACGACUGAAGAGCAACAUGGAUUAUUCCACUGUGAUAAAAGAGAAUUACAAGUGUUUCACUCACUUCCCAAAAUCCAAUUUUACUCUCACUGAAGUAUUUCUCAAACACUCAAAUAUUCCUCAUAAUAUUAGAACAAGAGAACAAGAAGAGAGAAUAUGCACUAAGCUAAGCAUUUGGUGUGUCUUAUAAUCGCUUGGAUCACUCCUAUUUAUAGUCAAAGCUCUUGAAGAUUAUGUGGCCAAAGGAAAAGAUCAUUGAUGUUGGUUUCACCAUAGCCACUUCUUUUACUUGGCUACAAACUCUCUGUUUAUUCAAGAUAAUCUCUAGCCACUUCUUUUUUGCUUGGCUACAAGAAAGUCUUUUCAUUAUCUUUUUCUUUUAGCCAAUAUUCAAUAGAAACAAUGUUAAGUUAAUUGCUUAUUGUAAAAUAAAAAUAUUAUCUAUGUUUCUAGAACACACAUUUCUACUCUACUUGAAGGGCUAGGAACAAUCGAAAAUCAAUCUUGGUAUGGUAUAUCUAUUAAUCCUUACUUAAUAUGGUGAUGCCCCCGAUUAUAUCAACCUACAUAUGUCUCACCUCCAUGAAAUGGUACUAAUUAAUGUUAUAUGUAUUCCUUGAAAAUUCUAAAGCUAAAUAUAAAAGGAAAGAAUAAUCCUCUUGUUGGGAGAUAGAUUAUAAUCCUUCUUUUCCCUUACAAAGAUGAAUUGAUUGAUUCAUCAGAUUCUAGACUGGAGUAGAGCUUGAACUUGCAAAUUCUACCUUCAUAGGGUAAUAGUUUGACUAAUUGCCUAUGUUUAGGUGUACAAUUCCUCAAUUUGGCCAUAAGAUUAGAUUAUAGAAUAAUCUUUUGGUUGAGUUUUCCUUUUUGAUAACAUUAUGAUACAAAGAAUAUGAAAUAGAUAGUUAUGCUUCCCUUCACUUAGAGACUGCGACCCAUGUUAUAGUAAGGCAUGCUUGUGAAAUAAUAUUUAAUGCACUCAUUCUUGUCUCUAGUGAAUAACCUAUUCCAAAGUAGUUUCAUGAUCAUCCUAUCUCACAUUACUAGAACCCUUUAAACUCAUUGAUGGAUUCUAUCAUAGUCCAUGUUGAUUGUGAGGAGAUCCUUAUUGUACUAGUCAAAGAUUGCUUCUACUUAUUAGGAAAUAAGAAAUACAAAAAACAUUGUUUUCUUUCCUACACUUCGAAUAGACAGAAUGCUCUAUGUCAUUCCCAUCUUCCUUUCAAUCCACAUCAUCAAAUUUAGGCUUUCUCUAUUGGGAGUUAUCAAAGGAAGAAUGAGCAUACAUGGUAUCGAUAACCCAAAGAAAAACAUCUAUUGCUUAGUUUUGACACUCAAGCUAUUCGUCCUACCCCAUCAAACUUCUAUCUCCCCAACUAGUCCUAUUUGAUUGUAAAUUGUAUCUCCGAAAAUCCUUUAUCUCCAAGCUUGCUCAACCUAGACAUUGUAAUUGAAAGUCUUGACUACUUAUUGAUAGGAUUAGUGUAGUACUCGAACACCAUUUUAAUUGUUUACACUAGUAUUUUUACCUGUUCACACUAGUAUUCUUACCUGUUCACACUAGUAUUCUUAAUUGUCAAACCAAUUACAUAAAUAUCUUCUGAUUUGAUUUUCCACAUAAACUCAUGUAUACAAAACAUUAUUAAAAAAUAUCCCACUUACUCUAUGAAUGUACCCAGAAAAAUAUUAGUCGGUAGGAAAAAAAAUUCUGAAAAACAAAUCUAUAAUAUUACAUGGGAAAAUGACAACGCAUUUUUCAACUUUUAUAUAUCCCAAAUAAUCUAAUCAUAAUUUAGAAACCCGACAUCCUCGUAAAUCAAUGGAUUCAUGUGCACUCCGUUUAUCAUAUCCGUUCAUACUGAGUAACAAGAACAACAUCAACACUCUCUCUCUCUUGAACACAACGUUCAACCAUAACUCUCUCUCCUCAAAUUCACGCCGCUGGUUCAAGCUGGGAUCCAUCAGAAGCAGCAAUACCCACAACAAGGUCAAGGAUUUUGACGAAGCUGCUUUUGAGGCCCAGAGAAUCGCCCUAGACGCUGAAGCUCGUGAAGCCAUGGCAGAAGCUUCCAAUGAAGAAGAUGACCCAAAAGCUUGGAAAUGGGUAAUCAGAAAGAGAAUAUGGAAGGCAAUGGAAGCUCACAAUUUUGCUCAGAACCCACGACCCGUUCAUCACCGGAUUCCCAAUUUCGUUGGGGCUUCUAGUGCAGCUGAAAAGGUAAUAACACACUUUUAACCAAAUUAUAAGACUAAUUCAUCUUCUUGAUUUUUUUAAAGAUGCUAUGGAAUUACACUUUUAUGCUCCCGAGCCUCCUUGAAAAAGUUCACAAUUUUAGUGCUUCUUAUUAAUGAACAUAUGGCAAAUAAGAAAAAAAAACAAUAAUUGUUGUGUAGAAAUGUGGAUUGAAUUCUAAUAGUUACCACGAAAAGCUUUAAAAUUGUGCACCACAGCAAGUAGUUUGCAAAAAGUGAAGUUUGGAUGAACUCGUUGUGAUGAUAGUGAAUUUGCAAUGAAGUAAUUUACUGGACACUUUUGUCUUACAAGUGGUUUUUCUCAAUUGUCCAAGUAGAUUCAAUUUUAUGAAGUUAUUUUGAUCACUUAAAUACCCAUGAUCGAGCUUCUAUGAACAAGUUAUUUCUUGUUCACACCACCAAAUUUAGUUAUCAACAAACGACACGUGUUUAAAAAACUUGAAACUCAGUUUUGACACUUUAAACUAGUUUGAUACAUAUCACAAGUCCUUCCAAUUAAAUGAUGAUUUUUUAUCUGUCUGAGCAGGAAUGAUUUGAUUGGGGUAGGAGUUGGAGAUGUGAGUGUUUCUUAGACUUCGGGUAGAGUUGUAAAAUAUGGGUUUUCUUUUGCAGAUGAGGGGGCUAGAUGUGUUUCGAGUUGCACAAUGUGUGAAGGUUAAUCCAGAUUCUCCUCAAAAACAAGUCAGGUUUCUCACUCUCUCAGGUCAGAUACUUUAUCUGGAGUUUCUGUGUGGUAUUGGGUACAGAGGGGAAUAUUAUUUAUGAACAUGUUUGAUUGGUGCCUUGUUGAAUUUGUUGCUAAAUUUCAGUGUGAGAUAUAUAAUAGUAAGAGUGCUGAAAAUAGCAAAAGAGUAGAAAUGAUUUUAAAAAAAAUAGAGUAAUGCUAUCAUUCAAACUAAUUCACAUCUCUUUCUCAAUGUUGGUGGCUUCGCUUAAAAUUGUCAUGUUAAACUCAGAUGUUAUGCAGUUCUGCAAGAUUGUGACUAGUAGAGUUGUCUAAGUAGCAGCAAUAUUCUAGUUGGGAAUAAAGAGUAAAUAUUGUUUGACAGUUAAGUAGUGCAAGUUGCACAAAAUUAGAUACAUGAUCCCGAAUGCAUGACACCUAAGUGAUUCCAUGAAGCUUAGGUGUGUUGCUUUGAGUUUUUCCUUAUAAAAAAAAGUUAAAAUCAUAAUAUUUUGUCUUAGUGUUUAAUAUGUAGGUAUAGAUUAAAUGGUAAAGUACUUUAUGAGAGAUCCUGGUGCCUUUUGCUACAGUUUUUGUUUGUAGGUUAAUUCUAUGUUCACAUGCACAUUUCGUAUUACAUUAUGUCAAUAAGAUACUUUGGAGACAGUGUAUUUUGCUCUAACUGGUUGUGGAUUCAAUAACGAUAUUCGUGUUGCUCUGCUUGUAUUCUCUCCCUAUCAUCAUCAAAUUAGUCAACACUCAGAAGUCAGGAAUAUUUAUUAGCAAUGGUUUCGAGAAUCAUCACCAUGUGGAUGGCAUGGUGCGUCUAAUCCAUUUGUUCUUAGGACAUGUAAGACCUUGGGGCAUUUAAGGUAUCUGUUACUUAAUAGAUGAAUGCUGAACAUAUGGUUCUGCAGAAACAUGGAACUGGUUUGUUUGAUGACAAAUACCUAAUGACUUAUUCAUGACCUACCAAGGGGCUAUUGGUCUGCUACUGAACCCGUGGGUUUGGCAACAAUGUCUUUUAAGAAUAAUCUAUCUGUUCCUUUAUUGCUCCUUGUUUAUUCAUCUCUGGGUAGUGUUAGAUUUUAUUUUGUUAAGUUCAGUGUGCCAUAUUUGUAGUUGAUUGGUCUUAUUAAUUUGACAAAUGAAAGUGAGACUAGCCUUUUGUUGUCCCAUUAUAAUCUAACUGAAUAUGAUGCUAACCAUUAAGAAACUUCAACUAACAGAAAUAGAUGAUGUGUUCAAUUUAAUAAAACUAAAAUGAGACGGUAUCAGAGUUUGAUAAUUUAAUUACUUCAAGGCUUGUGGCUCCUUUUUUUCUUCUCCUUCUCCUUCAUGUUCUUUUAGUUGUAUCUUCAAUAUUCAGUACAUGUGCAGAUGGAAAGAAGUUGUUAACUCCCCAGCCACGGCUUAGGACAGGGUUUUUCUCUGUACUGGAAUCCAAUAUGUUAACUUUGGAUACCAUCAAGGAAGCCUGCACUUCUGUCGGGGUUGCCAAGCAUGGCCGACCAAUUGGGUUAGACGAAAAGAUAAAGGUAGAUCUUAUUGUCAUUGGAUCAGUUGCUGUAAACCCAAAGACAGGUGCACGAUUGGGGAAGGGAGAGGUACACCAUAGAUCAUGUCUUUUAAUUGUCAUAUUUAGUCUACUAUUCAUUUGGCAAUGGGUCAGGUCCAGGGUUAAAAGUUUGCUCUAACAUGCUAUUUGUUCAGACAUGAUAAUUUUCCCAUCUAAUGAGUUGAUAGCUCACAGGGAAACCAAUGAUGGUGUAGUUGCAACUAGAAAGGCCUCAUUUAUUUUCAAAGAAUUUUCCUUUCCUGUUUUGGACUGACAUUUCAUACAAAAAUAUAUGUAUAGAAUAGUUCGUGUAGCUAAUGUGUGACCUUUAAAUAUAGAAAUGGACUUUGAAUUUGUAUGCUCCUUCAACUAAGAAAGAUUGAAGUGCAGGGAUUUGCAGAACUUGAAUAUGGUAUGCUGCGGUACAUGGGAGCUAUCGAUGAUUCAACACCAGUUGCCACCUCUGGUAAUUUUGGUUCCUGCCAAUUUCCCAUGCCUCAGUUAUUACUUUGCAGUUUGGGGGGGGGGUAAUUUCAUUUUGAUGCAAUUUCUUCCGCAGUCAUAUUUGCUACAUAUUUAUUUAUUUUCACAGUAAAAUUUUACAAAUUUUCUUUUAUGGUAUGUGACAUAAUAUGAGAAGUACCCUUGCAGUGCAUGAUUGUCAAUUGGUAGAUGAUAUUCCAGUUGAAAAGCUGUUAAUCCAUGAUGUACCAGUGGAUAUCAUUUGUACUCCAACCCAGGUCAUUUUCACACAAACAUCUAUUCCGAAGCCUCAAGGUUGGUGAAACAAUGCUUUUACUAUCUGACAUUGCAUAUUUACCAAACAUUGAGUAGGAAUUAAAUCUCUAUUGUUUGUAAAUCAUUGAGAUGCCAUUAUAAAUAUGUUCCGGCAUUCGACCUGGAAUUAUGUAGUUUCUCUAUCUGAUGUCAUAAGUUAUGAUGUUUGUUCAAAGACUAAGUAACAUCUUUACUGCAGGAAUUUAUUGGGAUAAAUUGUCUCCUGAGAAGCUUGGACAAAUCCGAAUAUUAAGAGAGCUUAAGAAUAGGAUUGAACAAGAGACUGGACAGAAACUUCCAACUGGUCCAUCAGAAAAACUACCCCCUACUGCUCGAAGAGGUAGAAAGAGUUAACUCAGUAAAUUUGAGUUUUGAUGGAUUUAUGUAUAUAUUACUAUUAGAAAUGUUUAACAGGUUAUAGCCUUAUAGGUUCUAUACUAAAAGUAUUUAAUUACUUAUUUUAACUUUUUUCAUGUGUAUGUUGAAUUGGUGAGGGAUAACAUAAAGCUUCUAAUUAACCAGAUGUUUUAAGUUCCAGUCCACAAGAAUCAAUUAUGGAGGAUACAUGUGGUUUAGACCAACAAAUAAACCAAACCACUUUACAAACACCAAACGAAACCAUAACUUAAGGGUUCAUAAUAUUAAAGAAUGUAAACAUGGAUUAUGUAUCGAAGAGUCAUGCUAGUUUUUGGAUAUGGGGACUGGUGGCAAUCCAAGUAUGGUGAAGGUUUUUCACAUUGCUUUUUUCUUACUUCUCCUUUUUCCGUUGUUGAACUAAUCCGCAUGGUAAACAUACACUUCGAUAAAAAGAAGUAAUAAGAAAACAGAGUAAUGUAAAAAGCAUUCACCUCUAAGUAUACAACAAUUCCGAACACCCAUCCUCUAAUUACUAAUUAGAGUCCAUAUUGAAAUGAUUAGCUCAAAUCAUGAAAUGCCAUGCUAAAAUCUAACUUGAAUUUUUUUGAAAAUGGUUUCCAAAUGAUAAAAUUAGAAAGCUUAUAAAAAAUAAUAAAAUUAGAAAAGUCAUGUUUUAAUUAUAAAGUGUUCAAAAUAUUUCCAAAGAUUAAGAAUACGAGAAAUCAUGUUAUAAUCAAUUGCAUAUUGUUAUAUAUAUAUAUGUGUGAAAAUACAUGUACUGUAAUAAUUCCUUACACCGUUAAUAGUUAUCUCAUUUAUAUUUAGAGUGAUUAUCUAUUUACAUCCCUCAUCUUUUUCGUGGUUACCAAUUUAGUCCCUGAAACUUUUUAAUUGAUAUUUUAGUCCCCUACAAAUUCAACGUUGAGUAACAUUAGUCUUUCCGUCAAAUGGGCACCGUUAAAUGUCAUAGAAUUGUUGCCGUGUUAAUUGUUGACGUGGACCAUGGUGGAUGGUCCUACAUGUACUAUUAAUUUUUUCCGGCUCAAAAUGAUGUUGUUUUUGUAAAAUUGUUAUUUUUAAAUAAAAUAUUUUUAUACUAAACGACGUCGUGUUGCAUUGACAAAAACGAUGCCAUUUCGAUCGAUCUUCUACCUUCCUUCAUUCGUCUUCACUAGUACAUCUCCUCAUUUCAUUUAAUAUUCUUCACCCUUCAACCAAACCCAGAGCAUACGAAAUCGACUUUUCUUCACCAUAAUCGCACUUUACUUUGUUCACCCUUCAAAGUGUAAAGCGUUUAUUGUUGGUUUGUGGCUAUGAUUGUAAAGAGAAGCGAAGGUGCAAUUUCGAGUUAUGUGGUCCUUAUGUUUUUUCUUUUUGCUUCAUGUGGUCCCAAUCUGUUUUUUAAUUUAUUUGUAGUUUAAUAUUUGUAUAUUCGGUUGCGUUAGGGUUCAUCUGUAGUUUAAUAUUUGUUUAUUAUGUUCACAUUCAUGCAAAUGUCUAAAUAUAUUGUUUUGGUUUAUCACCAUGGGUCGGUUUGCCAUGGACAGUGAUGACAACAUCCAAUUCAUUGGUCAAAAAAUUGAGAGAAUGACCCAUUUGGAUGUGGAUUUGGUAAACUUAAUGGAUUUGAAGGCAUUAUUUGUUUAGUGUGGUUAUCACGAUUUACAGGCAAUAUAUUGACAAAAUCCUCAAGAUCCAUAUUUGGAGAGUGGAUUAAUGGCAUUGGAGAAGGAUAAAGAUAUCAAUGAAAUGGUGGUUGCAACAUUGAAGACCAAUAAGGUGGAUGACAUUGGUGAUUAUGAGAUGCAUGUGUACUUUGAACAUGCUGUGUUGAAUGAGGAAGACACAGAAUUUGUCUCUCAACUUGAAGAUGGUAAUGAUUCGGAAAUGUAUUCAAUGCAUGAAGGAAGUUGCGAUGAUACACCAGAACCUUCUGAACUUGUUGCCAAAGCUUCUGAACCUUCAACUGAACCCGCAACUCAACCUUAUGAACCUUCAACUAAACCCGCAACUCAACAUUCUAAACCUUCAACUGAACCUGCAACUCAACAUUCUGAACAUUUAAGUCAACCUUCUAAACCUUUAAGUCAACCUUCUGAACCUUUAAGUCAACCAUGUGAACCUUUUAGUCAACCUUCUGAACCUGUAACUGAAUUUAAUCAACCUGCUGCUGAUCGUGUAGCUAAAUUUACACCAUAUUUUGCACCUGUAAAUGAAGAUGAUUACCUUGUUCAUGAAGAUAUCAGCAACAAUAGAAUGAAAAGGAAGUUAGGCCUGAAGAAAAGGAAGUCAACACAAAAGAAAAGGAAUUUAGUACCAAAGAAAAGGAAAUCAGCACCAAAGAAAAAUAAGUCAGCACAAAAAAAAAAAAGGAAGUCAGCACUAAAAAAAAAGAAGUCAGCACCAAAGAAAAGGAAUGUUACCCCUGAACCUGAGGUGAAUGAUCCUAUACAUGAAGUUCUUGAAACUGAAGCUGAACCUGAAGGUGUUGAACAUGAACCUCAACAACCUACAGCUUCAUUUGAGGAUUAGGGAUAUUCAUCUAAUAGUGAAUAUAUGCAUACCCAUGUUUCCACUAAUGAUGAAGAGAAUGUAGGGAAUGCAUGUAGUAAGCACCCCAUGUUCAAUGAAAACAAUGGAUUUGGACAUGUACAUUUAGAUAUUGGAAUGGAGUUGGCAAAUCUCAAGGUUUUUAAAGAUGCUUUGAAAGACUACAAUAUUUUCUUGGGCAGACAAAUUAAAUGGAAGAAGAAUGAUAUGAUGAGUGCAAGGGUUGUUUGUGCAAAUCCAGAUAGUAGGUUUAACAUUUAUCAACUAAAAACCUUCAACCCAGAGCAUACUUGUUGCAGGACCUUCCGAAAUAAGACUGCUAGUAGGGAUUGGGUUGCCAAAAAUCUAGAGGCAAGGUUGGUGACACAACCUGAUUUAAGGAGGACACAAGCAAUUAAUUUGAUGAAAGAGAACAACAUGGUUCACUUAGAGAAGAAAAGGUGAGCAAAGCCCUAAAAAAAGCAAGAGAAGCAAUAGAAGGUUCAUAGAAAAAUUAGUAUGGUCAGUUGUGGGAUUAUUUAGAGGAAACUCAUAAAACCAAUACUGGAUUAACUAAUAUAAUGGAAGUGCUGCCAAUUCCUAAAUCACCACAAAUGUUUAACAGACUGUUUAUAUGCAUAAAUGCUUGUAGAGAAGGUUUCAAGAAUGGGUGUAGACCUAUGAUUGGCCUUGAUGGAUGUUUUUUGAAGGAUAUUAUGAAGGGAAACUUAUGUCUGAUGUUGGACAAGAUGUAAAUAACCAGUUUUAUGUUAUUGCAUAUGUUGUGGUUGAUUCAGGAACCAAGGAUAAUUGAAAAUGGUUUCUAUGACUAUUGGAUCAAGCUCUAGGUAUGGCUGGAACUUUGUGUCAGAUAAAGAACAAGGCUUGGAAUCUGCAAUAGUUGAGGUUAUGCCAAGUGCACAUCACAGAAACUGUGUGCUGCACAUCUGAAAAAAUUUCAUCAAAUAUUUUAAGGAUAAGGAGCUAAGAGGUGUUGUCUGGGAAUUAGCUAAAUGCAGAAUAGUUGGUGAAGUUAACACUCAGAUGGCAAAAUUGAAGGACAAGCAUUAAAUGGCAGUGUUAUAUCUAAACAAUGUUUAGCCUAGCUCAUAGGUGAAGGCAUUUUAUAACCACUGGUCAAAAGUGGACAACAUUACUAACAACGUGUGUGAAGUAUGGAAUGCAAAGAUUGUUGAGUAUAAAGAUAAAACAAUUUUAACUAUGUUAGAAGAGUUGAGAUGUUACAUCAUGAGGAGAAUGAGACAACACAAGCUAGCCAUGAGGAAUUGGAAAGGCAAGUUGCUACCUGUCCAACAAAGAAGAUUGGAGAAAAUCAAAGUGGAAAAUUGUAAAUGGACUCCAACAUGGACUGGAGAUAUUGAGAAUCAAACAUAUGAGGUAAAACAUUGGUCAACCAAGUUGGGGUAAGUUUGACAAACCAAACUUGCACUUGUCAAAAAUGGCAACUCCUUGUGAACAUGUUGUGGCAGCAAUUACUUUCAAUAAUGAUACCCCUGAAGACUAUGUACACAAUUGGCUAACUAUGGAUGUUUUUAAUGUAACAUACUCAUAUGUCAUUAGCUCAAUUAGUAGUGAUGAAUUUUGGGUUAGCACAAAUCAGAAUCCCAAGCCUAUUCCACCAAACCUGAAAAGGCCAAUUGGUAGGCCUAAGAAACAUAGAAAGAGAAAGUUAAAUUCAGAAUCUGCACAUGAUUGUUCAAUAAAAUUACAAAGGUCAUGGAAGACAACUUGUCCAAAAUGCAAUGAACAAGGACAUUAUGGUAAAACUUGAAAGGGUCCAAGUAUGCCAAGAAAGAAGAGUAAGAAACAUGAAAUAGGGGUCCCUGAAAACAUGCAAAAGCCUGAAUUACUUGAAACUCAAGUAAACUACACUACCAUCUGCUGUGUAUACUGUUAUUUAUAUUGUUAUCCAUAAUCUAUGCUAAAUUUAUGUACACUAGUUUUAGGAGAGUCAGGUUGGUUCAUCCAGAACUACAGCUGAAAUUCCAAAUUAUGUGAGAUACCCAGCAAUGUUGGUAAGAACAUAUUCUUGGACAUUUAAAUUACAUUAUCAUUUUCUCAGGCUAAAUUAGUAUGUAUAUACAUUUUGUUUCAGUUUGAGGAUGACAACACAAUGGAGUCACCUCAAGUCCAACCAUCAGCUAAUCCAACCUCAAGUAUAUUGGAACCACCUCAAUCCAUCCAAGAGCAUCAAAUCCAAGCUCAAGUGAAACCAAGAAAACAACCUUCAAGGUUCAAGCCACCAAGAACUAAUUCAAGAAUGCUAAAAAGAGAUGAUGGAGAGUUUUUAGUCAUGUAGUGUUUUGAUGAUUUUUUUUGUAAUGCACUUGUUGACAGGAUGCUAAGUGUGUUUUUAUAGUGAUGUAGUGUUUUGAUGUUUUUUUGUAAUGCACUUGUUGACAGGAUGACAAUAUGCACUUGUUAUUAGGAUGCUAAGUAUUUUGUAAUGCUAAGAAGGGACUAUUACAUUGCAACAGAGCCAUUUUGUGUUGCUAUUUUGUAUUGCAUUCACUAUAAAAUGUAUCAGAGCCAUAAUGCAGUAAAAUACUAACAGAUAACAUACUUGAUCAUUUCAUCAAUAAUACAAAACUUACAUAACUUCCAUAAAUCAUAACUUCAUUUCAUUGAUAAUACAUAACUUACAAAAGGGAACAAUAAUUUCAUUACAUAAUAGAAACAUAACCAAAACAUACAUAACUUCAUUCCAUUGAUACUACAACUACUACACAUUUGAAAAUACAAAUCAUAAAACCACUAACAACAGAUAACAGGAUAAACACAGCUGCUACAACUACAACUUUUCUGCACCAUAUGACAUGUUCUUUCAUGAUCAUUUGAAUUUCUUUAAGAUUAGUUUGCAAAUCAUCCAUAUCUAUAGCAUGUCAAUCCCAUUUUCUUCCUUCAUGGCUUGAUUUCUUUCCCAAUCUUCAACCCACAUAAAAAACUUCACACAAUAAUUGUUUCCUUCCUGUAGAAGAAUUGAAAAUGUUUCAGACCUGGAAAAUAACAAAAAUCAUAACUUCACAUAAAAUGGACAAUAAAAACAAAAACAGUGUGAACCUUGAAAUCUAGACAUUCAUAGAACUGUUUCUUUGGGUUCUUCAUAGUCUUUGAUGUGUAUAUAGAAGCAAGCCUACUGCAAUGGCGCAAUGGAGGACAAAAUCUUCUAUCUACAGAGCUCACAUCGCCGUAACUUGUUUGAGACAUGCACCUCGAGUUCACAUCACCAUAGUUUUUCAUGUCAUAUGCAACAAGAUAAUAAAAUUAGCUUAUUAGGGUUUAUGCUGUAAGAAAUUGCGGCAAUUUGGGUUUCUAAUCGACCCUCAACGUUUUAAGGAAGAAGAUGGAGUAAAACGGUGUCGUUUUGCUCCUUAAUAUUUUUUCGGAAUUAUUCUAUGCAAAACAAUGUCGUUUUGCUUAAUGUAUUAAAAACAUUACAAAAUGACAUCGUUCAGUAUUAAAAAAAUUAGUUAAAUAUUAAUUUAUUUAAAAAUAAUAAUUUUAUAAAAACGACGACGUUUUGAGUCAAAAAAUUUUAAAAAUUUAACGGGUGGCUAACAUGGCAAGUUGUACACAUAGGACCAUCCACCAGGGUCCACGUCAAUAGUUAACGUGUCACGCCAGUAACUCUGUGACAUUUAAUGGUACCCACAUGACGGAAGGACUAACGUGACUCGACGUUGAAUUUGUAGGAGACUAUAAUAUCACUUAAAAAAUUUCAAGGACUAAAUUGGUAACUACAAAAAAAGAGGAGGGACGCUAAAUAGGUAAUCACUGUUAUAUUUAAUAAUCAAAUCAAUUUAUCAUUAAACAUUAAUAUAUGAUAUAAAACUUUACACUGAUAUUAUUGAAUAGAUGCUUAAUUUUUAAUUCAUUAGAAACUUCAAUUAACUCAUGUUCUGUCUAAUUUCUAUUAGCAAGCGAUCUUAAUUGGUUAAGGGUGGAGCCACGUCUUUUUUAUAAGAGCACAAGGUAUACCUAUAAUUCAAAGCCGUGAACUAAUCAUAAGGUUGAGUGCGUUUGUUUAGGAUUUUUAUAUCAACAAAAGUGCUUUUAUUUUGAAACAAACUGCUUGUUUGGUUAGGACUUUGGAUUUUGAAAAUUCCAUUCUUACAUAAACAUUUAAGCUGGGAGAAUCCAAAUUUUUUAUGCUUCUGACAAAUUUGUUUGUAACAAGGAGGAGAUGAAAGCUACAAUCAGUUAUGAAAAUGUAACUAAACAUAAAAUGUUUUUUGAUUUUACCUAAAUUCUGUUUAUCAUGAACAUUUAUGGAGAAUUCUUUUUUGCAUGCCUAAAUAAGUGGGCAAGUUGAUGUUGCUGACAAAUGUGUUUGGUCCUUUUACAUUUUUAAUGUCGUUGACAAAAUUUCGUAGCUGAUUUAGUGGGUAUUAACUAAGUUGAUACUUAACUACAUCCAAAGUAGAGGUGCAAUUAUCUUUGCAUAGUUGUAGUAUUAAAUAGAGGUGAUAGAUAUGUGCUUCAUAAUCAUAUUAGUAGAAUACCCAUCACGUGAUAAUAUAUUUUGCAUAAAUGUAUUUAAACAAUGCAAUGUAGUUUAUUAAUUAAAAAAUUAUUAAUAAUUACCUUAUGAUAGAUGAUAUUUAUGUAUUUGAUUGAUAAAGUAGAGUUGUUGAUGAAUAAUAUGACAUAAAACCUGUUAUAUGAAAUAAAUAAUAAAUGGUUAAAAAGAAAAAAUUUAGAAUACAAAAAUAAGCUGUAAAAUAAGAGAUUUUGGAAAACUUCUUUAUAAAUAACAUUUAUUGUUGACUUUAGUGGUUGUCUAUAAUUAUCAUGAAUCAAUAUCUUCAAUCCGUUUUUGCUUUAAACUCUUGAUGUAGCUAUGUAUAAUUGAUCAUGACUGAACAUUUGUCUAGGUAGAUAUAAGCUCUCACUUUCUAAUGAUUGACCUUGAAAUUUAUUAAAUGUCAUAACAUAUGAAAUGAUUAUAGGGAAUUGUCUUAUAAUAAGCUUAAAAAGUUUUAGAGAUUGGGAUGUGGACAUUCAUAUGCAAGAUAUAUAUAUAUAUUAUAUGUCCAACGUUUAUACUUGAUAUGAUCUUUGCUUCAACUACAUGAUCUACCAUUUUAGUGACCAUCAUUAUUGUAUUAUUACAUAAUCCUUUUGACUAGUCUAAAUUCCUUAAUAAUAUUAUUGGAAUUCCAACUUUCAAUUUGAUCUUAUAAUUAAGAAGACCAGAGGUUGUACGUCUAUUCUUUUGUAUGUACGGAUGUUUUUUUCUUUUUAUUAACUUCAACUAUAACAUUUUAUGGUGUAAAAAUGAUUUUCAUUUGGAGUUCAAGAGGUAGAAAGGUCUUCAAGUCUUUUUCAUUUGAUGGAAAAUCAUUCUCACGUGUUUGAGACAAAUUCUAAAAACCCAUUCCUUAAAUUCUUUUUAUCUCACCAAAUUCUAUUUUUUUCUAAGGCGCAGGGAUCCUAUGCCAGUUUAGGCAAAUAAGAAUUUAUUAAAUCAAUCUAAGUUAAUUGUGAGCUUCAAGUUAAAAGUUCCUAUUAUUCAUCUUUGACCAUAUCACAAUCCAAAAAUGCACAUCCAUUUUGAGGUUACUAAUUAUGGAAACUAACUAGUAUAUAAAUAAGCUAAGGAACCUGUCUUAAAUUCACCAUCUCUCAACAAUAUAUGUUCAACAACAACAAAAAAAGAACAAAAGAAAAAUGGCUCGCCUGGCAUGUUGUUUGGUCUUGAUCUCUUUGUGCUUAUGCCUUGUUCUUGAGCCUGCUUUUGCAGCCAAGAAAGGACACAAGACCCUUAAGGUCAAAUCCACCAAGCACAUUGCCCCAGCAAGUGCACCUUUUCCUUCUGCUAUUCAAACAGAACAAGCUUUGAUCCAACAACUAUGCCAGGAUACAAGGAAAUCCAAAUUGUGCCGCAAAAUUGUUCAAGGUGAAAGGGUAGCUUUAGAACCAGUCGCUGAGGCCAAGAUUGCCAUUGAUAUUGCCACAUCCAUGGCAUCAAGGGUUGGUGCAUACAUGUCAACCCAACUUAAAACAAACCGUGUUAAGAUUCUUUCAAGAGGGUUUGUGAAAGUUUGCAAGUUCAAUUAUGACAAUGCAAUUGUUGACUUGAACCUUUCAUACAUUAACUUUGAAUCCAACACCAAGAAAGCCAUUGAGAGUCUCAAACAAGCUGAGAUUAAGAUUGGAUUCUGUGUUAAUUCUUUGAAAUCAGCAAGUAAAAAUGCUGAAAUUCCACCAGUUCAUGAAGCCAACAAAGUGAUUCAGAGUUUGAUAAAGGCAGCAGAAUCUGUUGCUAAGAAACAAACACACUAAGCAACAUAUAGCCAGUAUGUGUGUCCAUUUUGCCUUUUAUUUGAGAGAUGUGGAACAUGUUUUUGUUUCUCUUUUUCUGAAUUUUGGUUACAGAAACAAGUUCUUUUUUUUNNNNNNNNNNNNNNNNNNNNNNNNNNNNNNNNNNNNNNNNNNNNNNNNNNNNNNNNNNNNNNNNNNNNNNNNNNNNNNNNNNNNNNNNNNNNNNNNNNNNUGUGAUAUUAUUAGAAAAUGCAUUGAUAGUUUGAUAUAUUUAGUGAAUGUAACUUCCUCUAACCUUCAUUUAUAUUUUUUAUUGUAUGAAAAAAUAUUGUAAUAAUUAUUAAUUAUAAGGCAAAAUAGGUAAGUGAAAAUUAUACAAUGUAGGUAGUUAUUUCAUGUUUUCCCUUUAUAUAUAACUAGUGUGUACAGGCACUUCGUGCCUGCCAGUGAAUAUUGUAUGGUAGGGGUGUUCGCGGUCCAUUUGGAUUGAGUUUUAGGUAAAAAAUGAUCCGAUCCAAACACGUAAUUAACAUGCGGUCUGGAUCGGUCUAGUCUGUUUAUAUUAAGAUAUCCGGUCCAAUCUGAUACAAAUAUAAUAUCCGGUUUCGGUUCGGUUUGGAUCGGUUUUUUUUAUAAAAUAUUAAAAUUGCACUUAUAUUCAAAACUCAUAAAAAUGACUAAAUAUUAAGCAUAAAACAACAAUAAAAAUAAUGUUUAAGAACAUUAAAACAACAUUAAAAUGUGUGCAACAAUAGUAUAAGUAAACAACAUCAUAAAAUCAUAAUAAACAAUAAGACAAUAAUAAUAAAAGUAAAAAUUAGUAACAACAACAACAAGAUAUCAAUAAUAACAAGACAACAAGAUAUCAAUAAUAACAAGACAACAAGAUAUCAAUAAUAACAAGACAACAAGAUAUCAAUAAUAACAAGACAACAAGAUAUCAAUAAUAACAAGACAACAAGAUAUCAAUAAUAACAAGACAACAAGAUAUCAAUAACAAUAAUAUGAGCACGUGUAACGUAAUUUUAAUAGUUACAAUGUUCUACCGAUGAUUAAUAACAAUAAUACUUUCACAACAAUAAAGUUGAUAAUAAAACACCUAGUCAGAAUAACACUUGAAUCCUCUUCAUUUGGUUGUGGGAUUGAUUUAAGUUCUAAAACAAUGUAUCAAAUAUAAUCAAUAUCAUUUAAAACAUAGCAACAUAUAUAUAAGUGUUUAUUAUAGAAUAUAACAAAUAAAAUAUAGGUACAAUUUUGGAGUUGAGACUUAAGAUUAAGUUUGGAAAACACUUAAAAGUAUUACACACUUAAACUUUACAUACUAUUUUGGUCCGGUCUGGAUCGAAGAGGUGAAACCAAAAUCCAGACCGGACCAAUCGGUCUUUAAAAAAUAAGUCCAACACGAUCCAAAUGCAUUCGGUUUUUGCGGUUUCGGUCUAUUUUGGAUCGGUUUUCGGUUUUAUUAUUGGACCGGUCUGGAUUUGAACACCCCUAUUGUAUGGUACUACGUAUUCAAUUUUAUAUAUUUUAUUUUUUAAUUUUAUGAUAAUGUUCAACUCAAGGUGAGAUAUGUGGUUAAUUAAAAUGCUGAAAUUCCACGAGUUCAUGAGUCUAACAAAGUGAUUCAGAGUUUGAUAAAGGCAGCAGAAUCUGUUGCUAAGAAACAAACACACUAAGCAACAUAUAGCCAGUAUGUGUGUCCAUUUUGCCUUUUGUUUUGAGAGAUGCAGAACAUGUUUGUGUUUCUCCUUUUCUGAAUUUUGGUUACAGAAACAAGUUCUUUUUUGUACUCUUAUUAAUGUAUUGUAAUCAUAAAACAAUUUUAAUGAAGAGUCACAAUUUCCAAUAAUUAGAUUUUGUCUGUGUUUACAUAGGGUAAUGAUUAUUUGCUUGGAGAUAUAUUUGGUUUUAGUCAUAGUUAUAAAAACCGGCUCGGACCGGCCGGUUCAACCGGUUNNNNNNNNNNNNNNNNNNNNNNNNNNNNNNNNNNNNNNNNNNNNNNNNNNNNNNNNNNNNNNNNNNNNNNNNNNNNNNNNNNNNNNNNNNNNNNNNNNNNCACUUUUGAUUAUCAAUAACCUAUGCUUUACGUGUCAUUAUCCAUAAUAAUUAUCUUAUAUUACUAUAUGUUGUCGUCACUGUACUGUCAUUACCAUGUGUAUGCCAUUGUUAUUGAAGUUCAUUAAAUUCAAUUAUUUGCCACUGUUUCAUGACUUCAUCUUUAAACAUGAUGCAUUCUUGAAUGAAUUAGUGUAGUGUUUUGACUUUAAAAUCUUGAAUGAAUUUGCCAUUUUGAUUACAGAUAAAGUAUUCAAUAAAGCAUGAUGCAUUCUUUAUAAAGUUGUAACAAUAAUAGUUUUAUACUUUUAUGAUCAUAGUUUAUUCCAAUGAAGGCAAUUUUGAUUAGUAAUAAUAAUUAUAAAUAACAGUAAUAGGAUAAUAUAAUAAUAAGUUAAUAGCUAAUAAGUUUUUCUCAAUAUCUAAUUGUUAUAGUAAUAUUUAUAAGUUUUCUAUAUUGUUAAGUUAUUUCAUAUGAUGAUUUGUUAUUGUUAUUUGUUAUGCUUUUGUUACAGAUGUCUUCUAAUCAAUCUAAUGAACGCGAAAUAGAACCACCUUCUUCACAAGCAUCAAUACAAAAUUCCUCUCAAAGAUAUGUUAGACAGAAAUCAGAUUUAGCUUGGGCGCAUUGUACACAAGCUAUUGAAGGUAAUGGAAAAACUGUUUUAUCAUGCCUCUAUUGUAAAAAGAUUAUCAGAGGUGGUGGAAUUAAUAGGCUCAAGAGCCAUUUGGCUGGAGAAAGGGGGCAAGUUGAGCAAUGUAAGAAAGUUCCUGCGGAUGUGAAAUUUCAAAUGAAACAAAAUAUUGAUGAAUGCAGAAACAAGAAAAGAAAAACUCAAGAAGAGUACGAGGAAAGUAAUCCAAGUGAUGAUAGAGUGGAAGAUGUUGCCAUAACAUUACCUUCUGGAUCUCAAAGGGGGAAAAGCAUUGGACGCAUUGGUGAGUUUUUUAUGCCGAUAACAACUGUAGGAGCUCAACUUACACUAAAGAGUGUGUUACAAAGCAAAGAAGUUAUAGAGAAGUGCGACCUUGCUAUUUCAAAAUGGAUGAUUGAUGCAUCUGUGCCUUUUAAUGCAGUUAAUUCUGCAUAUUAUCAACCAAUGAUUGAUGCUAUUUGUGCCAUGGGUCCUAGGCAUAAAGCUCCUAAUUUUUAUAAAGUUCGUGGUUCUUUAUUAAAUAAAUGGGUUGGUGAUACAAAGAAACUUGUUGAAAGUUAUCGCAAUACAUGGAAGCAAAUUGGUUGUACUCUUAUGGCAGAUGGGUGGACUGAUCGAUGUAGGAGAACCCUCAUUAAUUUUUUGGUUUAUUGUCCUAGAGGCACUGUUUUUAUCAAAUCAGUUGAUGCUUCUCAAUAUUCCAAAACUGCAGAUUUGCUUUAUAAGCUUUUCAGGGAAAUAAUAUUAUUUGUUGGCCCUGAAAAUAUUGUUCAAAUAGUGACAGAUAAUGCUGCAAAUUAUGUUGCAGCUGGAAGGUUAUUAGAAGCUGAGUUUCCAAAGUUAUAUUGGUCUCCUUGUGCUGCCCAUUGUGUUAAUUUGAUGUUGCAAGACAUAGGGAAACUAGAAGAUGUUGUAGAGGUUGUAUCACAAGCUUCUAAUAUUACCAAAUACAUUUGGAAAUAAUAUUAUUUGUUGGCCGUGAAAAUAUUGUUCAAAUAGUGACAAAUAAUGCUGCAAAUUAUGUUGCAGCUGGAAGGUUAUUAGAAGCUGAGUUUCCAUAGUUAUAUUGGUCUCCUUGNNNNNNNNNNNNNNNNNNNNNNNNNNNNNNNNNNNNNNNNNNNNNNNNNNNNNNNNNNNNNNNNNNNNNNNNNNNNNNNNNNNNNNNNNNNNNNNNNNNNCAUUCCUUAAGUUCUUUUUAUCUCUCCAAAUUCUAUUUUUUUCGGUAAGGCAUAUAAGGAUCCUAUGCUGUUUUGUAAAUCAAUCUGUUAAUUGUCAGCUCCAAAGUAAAAAGUUCAUAUUCUUCAUCUUUUACCAUUUCACAAUCCAAAUAUAUAUAUAUAUAGGUUACUACUUUUGGAAACUAUGUAAAUAAACUAAGAAAGUUGUAUUAAAUUCACCAUCUCUGAAAAAUAUCUCUUCAACAAAACAAAAAAAAAACAAAAGAAAAAUGGCUCGUCUGGCAUGUUGUUUGGUCUUGAUCUCUUUGUGCUUAUGCCGUGUUCUUGAGCCUGCUUUUGCAGCCAAGAAAGGACACAAGACCCUUAAGGUCAAACCCACUAAGCACAUUGCCCCAGCAACUGUACCUUUUCCUUCUGCUAUUCCAAUAGAACAAGCUUUGAUCCAACAACUAUGCCAUGAUACAAGGAAGUUCAAAUUGUGCUGCAAAAUUGUCCAAGGUGAAAGGGUAGCUUUAGAAUCAGUCGUUGAGGCCAAGAUUGCCAUUGAUAUUGCCNNNNNNNNNNNNNNNNNNNNNNNNNNNNNNNNNNNNNNNNNNNNNNNNNNNNNNNNNNNNNNNNNNNNNNNNNNNNNNNNNNNNNNNNNNNNNNNNNNNNAUGGCAUCAAGGGUUGGUGCAUACAUGUCAACCCAGCUUAAAACAAACCGUGUUAAGGUUCUUUCAAGAGGGUUUGUGAAAGUUUGCAAGUUCAAUUAUGACAAUGCAAUUGUUGAAUUGAACGUUUCAUACAUUAACUUUGAAUCCAACACCAAGAAAGCCAUUGAGAGUCUCAAACAAGCUGAGAUUAAGGUUGGAUAUUGUGUUAAUUCUUUGAAAUCAGGAAGUAAAAAUGCUGAAAUUCCACCAGUUCAUGAGGCUAACAAAGUGAUUCAGAGUUUGAUAAAGGCAGCAGAAGCUGUUGCUAAGAAACAAACACACUAAGCAACAUAUAGCCAGUAUGUGUGUCCAUUUUGCCUUUUGUUUGAGAGAUGUGGAACAUGUUUGUGUUUCNNNNNNNNNNNNNNNNNNNNNNNNNNNNNNNNNNNNNNNNNNNNNNNNNNNNNNNNNNNNNNNNNNNNNNNNNNNNNNNNNNNNNNNNNNNNNNNNNNNNGCAAUUUCCAUAACCAUGUUAUAAUGAACUAUUAGUUAUCCCAUUAAAAGCAAAACUUUGAUAUAAUUUCUUUUAACAAAAGGGACAAUCAGAUAACUGGAACUGCUUAAAUUCAAUGUUUAUAACUUCUGUCUUCCUGUGAUGAAUUGAUAAUUAGAAUAAGUUUAAUUAUAUUUGUCAAAGAAUUCUGUAUUUUAAUUUUUAAGUAGUUUGAUAGUCACUGCUGUGACUUUUAGGUUUUAGAAAUCUGUGAUUUUUAAAGAAUUGUGUACUUUAAAUAGUUUGAUACUCACUGCUUUGACUUUUACCUUUUAGAAAUCUGUGAUUUUUACUAUAAUGAUGUGUAUAUACUGCCUCCUACUAGUUAUAUCAUAAAAAUAUGUAUGCAGUUAAAAUCAUAAUAUAUUUUGUCUUAGUGUUUAAUAAGUAGGUAUAGAUUAUAAAUUUAAAGAGUAAAUUAUACUGAUAUUUCCUGAGGUUUUGUAAAAUUAUAUAAAAUACUCUUCCUUUUUAAACAUACAUAAAUUACCCUAAUUAUAUAUAUACAUUAUGUUGAUUACCUCUGUGUGAGAUAUAAGUGAAAUUUCUUAAACAAAAAAUUGUGACUAUUCUAAUGAAGUUAAAAAAAUAUGUAAAUUAUCAAGACAACACCAAAUAGAAUAAGAGUCAAUGUGUAUUUAUUAUUUUGGUUAAUUAAUAUAGUAUAAGAAAUUUAAACAUUUCCUUAGAAUUAUUGAUGCAGUUUGUAACGAACUGAAAAUAAUUAAUAUAUAUUGACUCUUAUACUAUUUGAAUUUUUCUUCAAAAUAUACCAUAUUUUAUUUGACUUAAUUACAGUCGUCACUAUUUUUUCUUUAAGAAAUUACAUUUAUUUAUUUUACUGUGGUAGUCAGUGUAAUGUAUAUAACUAUAAGUAAUUUGUGUAAGUUUAAAAAUGGAAUGGAUAAUUUAUGUAAUUCCAAUAAAACUUAGGGGUGUCUAUAUUAAACUUAUACAAAAAAAAAGACUAUAGAUUAAACUGUAAAGUAAUUUAUGAGAGAUCUCUAUACCUUUUGCUACAAUUUUUGUUUAGUAGGUUGAUGUUAGAAAGUAGUAAUUUCUAAUUAAGGUAAUCAUAUAUUUAAUAUAAUUGUAUCGAUUAUUUAUUUUGGGUUAUAAAACAAAUGAUUUAAUUCUGACAACUCAUAGAACUUCUAAAAUUGAUAAUACAUAUAAGUUUAAUGAGUAGGUACCCAAAUGGUUGGCCUAUAGGGGAUAAUGAGAAUCAUAUAAGUUAAUAUAUAAGGAACGAUUAUGAUCUUAAAGACAACAAAUUACAAUCAGUUUUCACCUUUCCCUAUUAGAGAAAAAACGAAGGUACCAAAUGGAAUUCAAGAUUUGGUUGAGGAAGACCAUCAUACCAAAAAUCUCUCUAAAGACAUACAAAAUAAAUAGAUCUAAAAAACAUAGAUUCAUAUAUGAUUUUGUAUCCUUGUUUUAUUUUUUUUUUUUACAUGGGAAAGGAAAACAAAACUAAGAAGAACUAUCUAAGACUAAUAAAUCCGACGCACCAGCACAAGAAGACAUUCAAACCUAAAGACCUAAGCAUGAAAGAGCACCCGUCUUUGCCAUAAAUCCACCACGGAGUUGGUUCCCUUCAUAUUAUGUGUAAGAAUCAUGAGAUUCAAGAUCCUAUGAAUGAUAUUACACUAAUCAUAAGGAAAAUUUAACAAUUGGUAUCAGAGCGUAGGUUAUGAAUUUUAUGAUUUCCUUAAAGAUGUCUUUCCAAUUUUUGUAUGAACCCUAAUUUUAAUUUAUGGAUUUUAUGCUUCCGCUAUCGUGAUAUAAAGAUUGAGAAUUUAAAUUGAUUAUUUCGCUGUAAUGUUUUCUUUUGCGUGUCUUAAUUGUACACACAUAAUGAUAUAAAGUAAUCGUAUGGAUGAUGUUUUUUAUUUUCUUUUUGUUCUUAUCCCAUAAGGAAUUGUAUCAUGAAAUUAAUGUGAUGAUGAGAACUUACAAUUCAAUUUUUUUUACGCUUUCCAUGUAUACGUUUACAUGCUACAAAAUGUACAUAUAUACAUUAUGAUGUUCUAAUUAUAUAUCUCAUUCAUUAUAUAUGUUGUUUGUCCAGUGAUUGAUUUAUAAUUUUGUUGAUGCAUUAUUUAUUGAUUAGUAGUAUACUCAUAAAGUUGUAUUCAUAUAGAUAAUGCAUUUAGUUUAUUUAAAUGCUGAAAUAUAUUAUAGAGUGUGCAUUUUUAGUAUAAAGAUUUAUACACAGUCAAUAAAUUAUCUAUUAUUUAUUUGUAUUAUUUUUUCUAAAAAGUCAAUAAUAAUUUAAAAUGAAUGAUGUAUGAUAAGCCAUAAUAUAUAAAACUCUUAUACUGUCAAUAUAUUUUCUCUAUUUUAUAUACUAUAUAUAUUUUGCUAUUAUAAGGCACAUAUAAUGUCUACCUUGUUAUAACUUCAAGCACAUAAAUUUUUAUUAAUUUGCCUCCUUAUCACAAGUUCAAUGUGAUUUACUCAUGUUUUUAAUGUAGCUACUUUACUGAAGUUAUAUAUAUACAUAUAGUUAUUGGUUUAAAUGUAUAUACGGUACAUUUAGUUAUGGAUUAAAGUUUCAACACCUAAAUAUGGGUCCGAGUUGGACUUUUGUCCUACUAGGACUGAUUUGUUGUGGUGGCAAAAUAUUGGUAGCUUAUCCUACUAUUAAGGAAGCAUUGGUGUGGAUUUUGAAACUAAUAUUUUCAAAAGUAUUAGUGAUGAAACUCAAACUAAAUUUUGGGCUGAUGUUUGGUGCGGUAAUCAAAAUCUAAAAAUAUCUUUCUCUAGAUUGUUUUUGUUGGCUUCUAAUAGGCAAGCAUUGGUUGCUGAUAGUGGGAAGUGAGUGGGAAAUGAUUGGCAUCGGAAGAUUGAGUGGAGAAGGGUGUUUUUUCAUAGGGAGGACAAUCUUGCAGAAAUAUUACAUUCUUCCUUUCAGUGUUCGGCAACGGGUUUGGAUCGGUGGAGUUGGAAGUUGGAUGAUUCUGGUACUUUUGUUGUCAAGACAAAUUACUGGAGUCUUUAGCUUAUGUCCAUUCUCCUUUGCCAACAGAUCAUUCUAUGCUUUCGGAUGGUAAUUAUUUUAUUCAGAAUUGUUGGAACUCUCAUAUUUCCUUAAAGCUUUGUUGUUUCAUUUGGAAAAUUGGUAAGUAGAGAUGGAAUAUUAUAUUUAGAAAUCGAGAAAUUUCAUAGACCAAUAUAUUUGAAUUGUGUGUUGUGUGUUUAGUAUCUUGAAUCGUUAGAACAUUUGCUUAUCUCUUAUAUUAGUUUUGUAAAUAUGUGGUUUGGUUUUUAUGUGUAACUGAAGAUUCUAGUGAUUAUUCCUCAGUCAAUGCCACAAUUUUUGAUGUUUCAUGAUUCCUAUUGACAGCCUGGGGAAAGAAAAUGUGGAGAUUAUCAUGGUUUUGUGUGGUGUGGUCUUUGUGGGGCAUGAAAAAUGAAGUUGUGUUCAAUGCCCAGAAAAUCUCUUCUUUUAAUUUACUAUAUAUAGUUCAAGUUAUAUCUUGGUCUUCGUAUUUUUCUUUUGUAGAUAAAUUGGUGUUUUAAUUCCUAGAUUGUUUAAAAAAAGUUCCUUUUAUAGUUUGGAUUUAUAUUGUGAUUAAAUCUUAAAAUUUUAAUUCUAAUUUGUAUUUUUUUAUAAUGUACUCAUAUUAUUUUUUUGUCUAGUAUGUUUUUGAUUAAAUUCAAUGAUAUGAUAUGUUGCCAAAGUAAUUUCUACUUUGAUUAAAAUUAUAUAUAUACUAGUAUGUGACUAUUUAUGAGAAUUGUGAUCAGCCUAAAAGAAGAUAUAAUUUGGCCAAAUAAUAACAUUUAUAUGAUGAUAAAUAUGUAAUAAUUAUAAAGUUAUAUUUUUCAUCUAAAUAAUAUUCGGUCUAAAAAAGACUAUUGUUUGACAAAACUAAUUAUUAAUAUUUAUCAUUACAUUGAAAAUUCAUUUCUUCAAUUCUUUUUAUCUGUCCAAAUUAUAUUUUUUUUCUAAGCCAUGGAAGAUCCUAUGCCGAUUUAGUAAAUCAAUCUGUUAAUUGUGAGCUUCAAAUAAAAAAGUGCCUAUAAUUUAUCUUUGACUGUUUCACAAUCCAAAUAUGUAUCUAUUUUGAGGUUACUACUUUUGGAAACAAGCAUAUAAAUAAGCGAAGAAACUUGUGCUCAAUUCACCAUCUCUCAACAUUAUAUCUUCAACAAAAAAAAGAACAAAAGAAAAAUGGCUCGUCUGGCAUGUUGUUUGGUCUUGAUCUCUUUGUGCUUAUGCCUUGUUCUUGAGCCUGCUUUUGCAGCCAAGAAAGGACACAAGACCCUUAAGGUCAAAUCCACCAAGCACAUUGCCCCAGCAAGUGCACCUUUUCCUUCUGCUAUUCAAACAGAACAAGCUUUGAUCCAACAACUAUGCCAGGAUACAAGGAAAUCCAAAUUGUGCCGCAAAAUUGUUCAAGGUGAAAGGGUAGCUUUAGAACCAGUCGCUGAGGCCAAGAUUGCCAUUGAUAUUGCCACAUCCAUGGCAUCAAGGGUUGGUGCAUACAUGUCAACCCAACUUAAAACAAACCGUGUUAAGAUUCUUUCAAGAGGGUUUGUGAAAGUUUGCAAGUUCAAUUAUGACAAUGCAAUUGUUGACUUGAACCUUUCAUACAUUAACUUUGAAUCCAACACCAAGAAAGCCAUUGAGAGUCUCAAACAAGCUGAGAUUAAGAUUGGAUUCUGUGUUAAUUCUUUGAAAUCAGCAAGUAAAAAUGCUGAAAUUCCACCAGUUCAUGAAGCCAACAAAGUGAUUCAGAGUUUGAUAAAGGCAGCAGAAUCUGUUGCUAAGAAACAAACACACUAAGCAACAUAUAGCCAGUAUGUGUGUCCAUUUUGCCUUUUAUUUGAGAGAUGUGGAACAUGUUUUUGUUUCUCUUUUUCUGAAUUUUGGUUACAGAAACAAGUUCUUUUUUUGUACUCUUAUUAAUGUAUUGUUAUCAUAAAACAAUUUUAAUGAAGGGUCAUAGUUUCCAAUAAUUAGAUUAUGUCUGUGUUUACAUAGGGUAAAGAUUAUUUGCUUCGAUAUAUAUUUGGUUUUAGUUUCUUAUUUAAUUUUAUCAACUCAAUUUAAGAAAUUAAUAAAUAAUUUAAAAUAAAAUAUAAUUUGACUAAAGUAUCUUAUUAAAUUUUCACAUAUUUCUACACAUAACUUUUCAUCAUAAAGUCAACCCAAACUACAACUAAGUAAAACAAACUUGGAAUAGAAGUUAUUAAGAGAACGCUUAAGAAAGAUUAUUACAUUGCAAAGUGGAGAAAAAUAGGGAAGAUAUAGUUGCAUCCCAAUUUCACUAUUUAUAUUAAAAAAAUUCUAAAGAGUAUUAUAUUUACAAAUGAAUAAAAAUUUGAAAUAAAAUUUAUAUAUAAUUAUUAAAUUAGGCAGGAAAAGGCAUUAAAUAAAUAAGGUUGAUUGAAAAUAUAUAUAUAAUUUAUCCCUCGUGAUUGACAUUAUAAGUGAUGCAUGUAAGCUUAGGUGUGUUGCUUUGAGUUUUUCGCUUUUAAACUUUGAUUCUGUGCAGUUGUGAAGGUUUACUAGCGUUAAUAAAAUGAUUAUCUGGUUGUGUUAAAUAAUGGGUUUAUUAAUUCUCACUGCAAUUUCCGUAAGCAUGUUAUAAUGAACUAUUAGUUUUCUCAUUAAAAGCAAAACUUUGUGAUAGGAAUGAGCGAUAAAUCAAAUAGUAAAAUAGUAUAGAGAAAAUAGAAUAACACAGCGGAUUUGGUAACAAUGUUCAACCAAUGUGCCUACGUUUCUGGGAACAUUGAGAGACUUUCACUAUGUAUUAUUAUUAGAGAAUAAAGAUUUGUGUUUAACUAUUUUUCUACUUGUUACAUUAGCUUUACAUAACAUAUAUAUAUAUGACACUCUACCCCAACCCUUUUACAUCAGCGCAAUUGCAUAACUUGUAUUGCUAUUAUCUAGAGAAUAUAAGUCAUAGCACAACAAUUUCCACUUUGGCGAAUAUCAUCAAUCUCCAUCUUCCGUUGUUGGGUUGGGGGUUCUUAAUAGUCUAACAUCAAUGAAUGUUCAACAAAUUCACACAAUACCUGAACUUGUCCACGAUAACCGACUUGGUUAACAUAUCAGCUGAAUUUUCUCAAGUGUGAAUCUUCUACAAUAAUAUCUUUCCACAAGCUACCAACUCUCUGAUCUUGUGAUAUCUCACAUCAAUAUGUUUGGCCCUAGCAUGAUAGACAUGGUUCUUCGCCAAUAAGAUAGCAGUCGUACUGUCACAAUGCAGCAGAACUCUACCUCGCUCAAUGUCUAAUUCAUUUACUAGUUCCAUAAGCCAUAGGGCACCAUUAGAAGCAUCACCAGCUGUCAUGUACUCUACUUCAACUACAGACAUAGCAGCAACAUACUGAGUUGAUGAUCUCCACAUAAUUGGUCCACCUGCAAGGGUAAAGACAAACUCUGUUGUGGACCUUCUAUCAUCCAACUCUCCUACAUAGUCCGAAUCGACAUAACUAAUAAUUGAAGGCUUACUCUAUUGACUGCCAAACAUGAUACCUAUACAUGUAGUCCCCUUCAAAUAUCUGAAAGUCCAUUUGACUACUUCCCAAUGUUGCUUCCCUGUUUUAGACAUGUACUUACAUACUUGAUUAACUGUUUGUGCCAAGUUCGAUCUAGUACAAACUAUAGCAUACAUCAAGCCACCCACUACACUGGUUUAUGGAACCUUUGACAUCUACUUCUUCUCUUCAUUUUUGUUUGGACACUGAUCUAGGGAAAUCCUGAAGUGGUUUGCCAAUAGAGUGCUUACUACUUUAACAUUGCUCAUAUCAAAUCUUUCUAUGAUCUUUUCAACAUAGCUUUGUUGGGAGAGCCAUAGUUUUCUAGCUCCCCUAUCCCUGUGAAUCUCCAUCUCGAGAACCUUCCUACAAGCCCCUAAAUCUUUCAUGUCAAACUCCUUACCUAGUAUGAUUUUCAGCUCAUUGAUAUCACUCAAAUGAUUAGUAGCAAUCAACAUAUCAUCAAUAUAAAGUAGCAGAAAAAUAAAAGAACCAUCAUCAAGACUUCUCACAUUAACACAACAAGCAUACUCACAUUGUUUGUAACUAAACUUCAACAUAUAAGUGCCAAACCGCUUGUACCAUUAUUUGGGAGACUGAUUCAACCCAUAUAGAGACUUCUUUAACUUGCAAACCACGUGUUUUUGUCCAACUGCACUAAACCCUUCUGGUUAUGUCAUGUAAAUUUUCUCCUCUAAUUCACAAUAGAGAAAGGAAAUCUUCACAUUCAUUUGUUCUAAGUGCAUAUCCCAACUGGCUACCAUGGCAAGCAUUGUCCUGAUAGAAGUGCGCCCACCAUUGGAGAGAAAAUAUCACUGUAGUUGAUCCCCUUCUACUAUGAAUAUUUUUGCUAUGAGACGAGCCUUAGAUUUUCCCCCUUCUUUUUAUGAUAUUGUUGGCUUCCUCUUGUACACCCACUUGCCCCUAACUGCACACUUGCUAGGGAGCAAUGGGACAAGCUCCCAAGUUUGGUUCUUGUGUAGAGACUUCAUCUCCUCCAUCAUGACACCCAUCAAUUGUUCUUUCUCUUGGCUAUUUAUAGCCUAUCAAAAGCUGCAUGGAUCUCCUGAACUGAUAUAGAGAGAAACUGGAGUCAUAUCCUCAAAAAAAAGCUAUAUGGACGUUUGAUAGGACGUCUAUCCCUGCCUCUAUCAAGUAGAUACUCCUACACACCUGAACUCUCCGCCUGAUCAUCAUGUUCUUGACUUGAACUAGUGCAUGAUUCCUUCCCUUUAUUCACAUGAACCAUUUCAUUGCUAACUGGAGUCAUAUUUGAUCUUAAAGUCUCUCCAUUUGGCCUAGACACCUCUGUUAAAACUAACUGUUUCAGCAUGAAAUCUUCAUCAAACACUACAUUUCUACUCAACACCACUUUUCUGGAAAUUGGAUCCCAGAACUUAAACCCCUUCACACAUUUGGUAUAUCCAAUGAAAAUACACCUCUUUGAUUUGGGGUCAAGAUUAGAUCGUUCAUCACUAGGUACAUGUACAUAAGCAGGACAACCAAAUAUGCAUAACAUAUUAUAAUUGACUGGAUUACCUAUUCAUACUUUUUCUAAAACUUUACCACGCAAUGAAGUUUGUGGUGUCUAUUGAUAACAUAACAUGUCAUACUAAGUGCCUCUUCCUAAAAUCCUUUGGAAAUUCCAACAUUCAGUCUCAUACAUUUGGCCCUCUCUAUAAGAGUUUUAGUCAUCAUCUUUGCAACACCAUUCUGUUGAUGAGUCUUCUUCGCUGAAAAGUGGCUCUAAAUGCCAUGUUCCUCAGAGAAUUUCUGAAAUUGUGAGUCUUUGUACUUCAUACCAUUGUCUAACCUCAGAUAUUUAAUUUUUCUAUCAGUCUAGUUCUCUACCUCUGCCUUCCAAACCUUCAACAUGACAAAGACUUUUGACUUAUGCUUCAGAAAAUAUACUCAAACCUUAUGAGAAAAGUCAUCAACGAAGGUAGAAAAGUACCUGGAACCUCCUAGGGAUGGUUCUUGAGUGAGUCUCCAUACAUCAAUGUGGACAUAGUCUAGAAUGCCCCAAGUCCUGUGUUGGUCAGCCUUGAAACAAGGGGUGACAAUUGAAUGAAUUUGGGUGGAUAUGGAUCAUAAUGGAUGGAUAUGGAUUUGGAUCAUAAUUGAUGGAUGGAAAGUCAUCCACCAAUCCAUAUAAAUCCAUAAAAUCACAUUUCUAAGUUAUCCAAUCCAUCCAUAUCCAAUGGAUUCCAAUUCAUCCAUAUAUCCAUUUUAAUGGAUUGGAUGGAUGGAUAUCCAAUCCAGUUUUGUUAAUAUGAACUAAAGCAUUUUUUGAAGGAUAAAAGUCAUUUUAAUAUUAUUAUUUAAUAGUAUUUUUAAAAUCAAUUUACAAACAUUUUUAAAAUAUGUUUUUUUAAAUGUGUUUGUUUAAAUGUAUUCUUUUUAAAACACUUUUUAAAAAAUCUCAAUAUUUAAAUUUACAUGUGAAAGCUCUGAAAGACAACAGUCUAGGUGAGGUUAGAGACACUAUAUUAUGUAAUCAUGCAUUUUUUUCUUGUGCUCGAUAAUGACACAAAAUGUUAUAUAUAUCCUUAUUGAAACUUUUUGAUAGAAUGAUUUGAAUCGAUCUCAAUAUCGCUACGAUACAUCAUUUAUAACGGCCAUAAAAUUAUAUUGAUAAAAAUCGGUCAUACUGACCGAUUUUCAAUUGAACAGUACCAGUCAUAUCGACCGAUUUUCAAUUAAAUCGUACUGAAAAAAAAUCCAGCAAACAACAAAGAAAUCCACGUGGCAGGGAGAGAUUGGGGGAAUUCCUUUACUUCCCAGCGCUUGGACACGUGUCAGCGCCUGGUUGGGGGAGAAAGAGGGUGCACUGGUUGCACCGUGCACACGCCCGUGCUGGAUCUAGAUGCCUGGAUGCGUCCAGCCACGUGGGGUGAUAAGAUUGGAUGGGAGGGGGCUCACGGCUUGAGCAAUGAACCCGCGCGCAUGGAAUCCGCGCUUUCCUAGGAGGGAUCCAGUGUGGCGUGGUGUAGUGGAUCCGGGACGCGUUUCGUCCUGUGAGUGGUGGAUCUGGACGUGAAGGUGGUAGUGCCACGCGGCGCACUGUGAAGCGUGGAUGGGCGAGGGUGCAGGGUGGCGUGAUGAGCGCGCCUACACAGGAUUCUGUCCUCUUCUGGGGCAGUGAUUCGGUGUGGCGAGGUGCACCAGGGGCGUGCCACGUUUCGCACACGGAUUGGUUGGCCUCCCUGGUCAACCCAGAUGCAAAAAAAGUCUGCAGAUCAAACGGCCGUGGAUCAAGGGCGCAAGGAUGCACAAUGAACCCACCCACACGGGAUUGGUUCUCGCAGAAAUUAAUUUUUUCUCUCACAGAACGCGUUGGGCAGUGUUUUGGCAAUGUUUCCAGUGUGUUUUGUGUUCUUCACAAGCGUUUAUUUAUAGGAAAAACAAACCAACCUAAAAAUGCCCAGAAUCUAACUAAUUAAUAUUUUUGCAAAUCAAAUAUUUUUAUUAAUAAGCCUGAUCUGAUUCCUUUAAAACUGAUUUGAAAUUUGAAUUUCAAAUCUGAAAUUUGAAUUUCAAUUCCGAAUUUUAAAUUUUGAAUUUCAAAUUUUGAAUUUCGAAUUUUAAAUUUCAAACCUUAAAUUUUAAAUUUCGAAUUAAAAUUUUAAAUUUAAAAAAAUUAUUCUUUACUAAUUUCGAAUUUAAACUCUUUUUGUGAAAAUCUUUUAUUUAUNGAAUUUCAAAUCUGAAAUUUGAAUUUCAAAUCCGAAUUUUAAAUUUUGAAUUUCAAAUUUUGAAUUUCGAAUUUUAAAUUUCAAACCAUAAAUUUUAAAUUUCGAAUUAAAAUUUUAAAUUUAAAAAAAUUAUUCUUUACUAUUUCGAAUUUAAACUCUUUUUGUGAAAAUCUUUUAUUUAUUUAUUUUUCUAUUUAUUAUAUUUUUUUGUUUUAUCCGAAAAUAAAUAUUUAGGAGAAAGAUAAUUAUUAUUAUAUAGGUAUUUUUUUGAAAUUCGAAAAAUAGUAAUAAUAAUUUUUUAUGAUUUUAAGUAUGACAUUUUACUUAAUUACUAAAAAAUUCUAAAAAUAUUUUAAAAAUAUAUUUCACCAUUUAAACAUUUAUUAUUAUUUUUAUUUUUAUUAUUAUUAUAUUUUUUGUUUGUUUUGGAAGAUGACAUGUGGACCUUCCAUGGCCCAAACAACAUUUUUUUUGAAAAAUUUAUUUUGGAAAUGAAUUGGGCUUUUUCUGGGCCGGACAAAAAUGAGUGUUCACACAUAUUAUAAUUGACAGGAUUACCUAUUCAUACUUUUUCUAAAACUUUACCAUCCAAUGAAGUUUGUGGUGGUCUAUUGAUGACAUAACAUGUCAUACUAAGUGCCUCUUCCCAAAAUCCUUUGGAAAUUUCAACAUUCAGUCUCAUACAUUUGGCCCUCUCUAUAAGAGUUUUAGUCAUCAUCUUUGCAACACCAUUCUGUUGAUGAGUCUUCUUCACUGAAAAGUGCCUCUAAAUGCCAUGUUCCUCAGAGAAUUUCUGAAAUUGUGAGUCUUUGUACUUCAUACCAUUGUCUAACCUCAGAUAUUUAAUUUUUCUAUCAGUCUAGUUCUCUACCUCUGCCUUCCAAACCUUGAACAUGACAAAGACUUUUGACUUAUGCUUCAGAAAAUAUACUCAAACCUUAUGAGAAAAGUCAUCAACGAAGGUAGAAAAGUACCUGGAACCUCCUAGGGAUGGUUCUUGAGUGAGUCUCCAUACAUCAAUGUGGACAUAGUCUAGAAUGCCCCAAGUCCUGUGUUGGUCAGCCUUGAAACAAGGGGUGACAAUUGAAUGAAUUUGGGUGGAUAUGGAUCAUAAUGGAUGGAUAUGGAUUUGGAUCAUAAUUGAUGGAUGGAAAGUCAUCCACCAAUCCAUAUAAAUCCAUAAAAUCACAUUUCUAAGUUAUCCAAUCCAUCCAUAUCCAAUGGAUUCCAAUUCAUCCAUAUAUCCAUUUUAAUGGAUUGGAUGGAUGUGUAUCCAAUCCAGUUUUGUUAAUAUGAACUAAAGCAUUUUUUGAAGGAUAAAAGUCAUUUUAAUAUUAUUAUUUAAUUGUAUUUUUAAAAUCAAUUUACAAAUAUUUUUAAAAUAUGUUUUUUUUAAAUGUGUUUGUUUAAAUGUAUUUUUUUAAAAAACACUUUUGAAAAAAUCUCAAUAUUUAAAUUUACAUGUGAAAGCUCUGAAAGACAACAAUCUAUGUGAGGUUAGAGACAAUAUAUUAUGUAAUCGUGCAUUUUUUUUCUUGUGCUCGAUAAUGACACAAAAUGUUAUAUAUAUCCUUAUUGAAACUUUUUGAAAGAAUGAUUUGAAUCGAUCUCAAUACCGCUAUGAUACAUCAUUUAUAACGGCCAUGAAAUUAUAUUGAUAAAAAUCGGUCAUACAGACCGAUUUUCAAUUGAACCGUACCAGUCAUAUCGACCAAUUUUCAAUUAAAUCGUACUGAUCAUAUCGGCUGUUUCAUUUAAACUUAUUAUUUUUAAUGAAAAUGAUUUAUUUUUACCAAAAUAUUUGUAUAGAUAAUCAAACACACAACAACUAUAUUUUUUAUACAUUAAAACAUGGUCUAGAGUAUAGAUUUUUUAACAAGUAGUAUAAAUUAAAAUAGUUAUUGUCUUCUUUAUUGAUUUUUCAACAUUAAUAUUAGUCUAAAAUAUAUGAAUAUCUAUCUGGUUUAAUAGUGAACGACUAGUUGAACCAUCAUACAAUAUACCACUACUCUGACCGGAUUGAUGACCGGUAUGGUAUUAAUAAUAUUGGUUUAUAUUUUGCACAUUGGGAUUGCAUAGCAAUGUUGGGUCUGCAUGUUGCUUUACGGGAAAAAAAUUAUUUUUAUGUUUUGGAUGGAUAUACAUGUGGAUAUUCAUUGGAUAUAAUGCAUGAAUUUGAAUCCAUCCAUUAUCAAAUUAUCCAAUAGAUUAUAUCCAUUUAAAUCUAUUGGCUCCAACGGAUGAAUUUGGAUAGAUUGUGGAUAGUAGAUAAUUUUACCACCUCUACUUGAAACUAACUUGUAUAUGUUUCUCAAACACACAAUACUUGCACAAACCAAGCUUGUAUUCGCUGACUGUCCUAAACAGUCCAUUUUUGCAUAUUCUAUCAUAUCACACACACUAAUAUGACCUAAACGCAUAUGCCAUAAUUUUGUAGUAUGAUGUAAAUUUACUAAAAUCUCUUCGGCCACUUCAGCAACUCAACCUACAAUUGUUCUCCCUAACAUCUUGUAGGUUUUCCCAGCAUUCCUCUUAUCCUUCAUCACAGUUAGAACACCUUUGCAUACUCGAAGAAUAUCAUUGUCCACAUAUGCCCUAUAGCUAAAUCCUUUGACAUGCAAUGUCCCAAAGAAAUCAAAUUCUUUUUCAAAUCUGGUAUGUCCCUAACCUCACAUAACGUCUUUACUACACCAUCAUCCAUCACAAUUCUAAUUUCUCCCAUAUCAAUAAUUACAUAUGCUUUAGUAUUUAUGAGAUAGACAAAACCAAAAUUGUAUACCUUGUAUAUGGUGAACCAGUCUCUGUUUGGCGUCAUAUGGUGGGAACAACCAGUGUCAAGUAUCUAUUCAUUUGCACUAUGAUUUGAUGAUACAGAUAGUUGAUCAACUUCACUAUUGUAAUCAGAGUCAUCUUUCAGUGCAACAUUUGCAAAUGUAGAUACUUCAUCUUUCCCCACUAGCUUGUUAGGACUCCAUUCAUUGGGACAAUCCUUUUUUAAUGUCCAAUUUUUUGGCACUUAUAGCACUUUACUAGUGUUCUGUUCCUAGAAUUUGGUCUUUUCGAUUUGGUAGGACCUCAUCUUCCUUGUCUCCUCCCACGUGCAGGGCUCCUUUUUACAUACAGACCAUCACCUUGAGACCCUUGUCCUACAUUUUGUUUUCUUUGAGUGUGAGACAGAAGUAUAGAUGUGAUCUCAUCUAGUUUGAUUGAGUAUUUCCCGUAUGUCAAUGUUGUCAGCAAUUGUUCAUAGGAAUUUGGCAAAGAACACAGUAAUAUUAUUGCUUUGUCCUUAUCAUCAACUUUCAUAUCAAGUUUCAACAAGUCAUUGAUCAAUUGAUUAAAAGUGUUGAAAUGUUGUUUCAAAUAAGCACACUCCUGCAUCAUUAACCCAUAAAGUCUCUGUUUCAAAUACACCUUAUUUGUUAGAUACUUGGACAUGAACCGCUUCUCUAAUGUCUCACAUACCUCUAUUGGUGACGUCAAAUCCAUAACAUGAUACACCACCUCAUCUGGUAGACAAAGCCAUAUGGUUCCCACAUCGUUCUCCUUAAACUCUUCCAAAUCCAGUUGAUCCAUACCAUCUGGUUUAUUCCCACGCAACGCCUUUGAUAGAUAUUGUUGAGCGAACACAUCUUUAACCCUCCUUUGCCACAAUCAGAAAUUACCAGUUCAAUCAAAGUUCCUCACCUCGAAUUUGGCACCUGAGUUAAGGGUCAUAUGACACCAAUUAUUGGAAACAAGCGAGUAAUCAAAUAGUAAAAUAGUAUAGAGAAAAGAGAAUAAUACAAGAGAUUUAGUAACGAGGUUCGGCUAGUUGUGCCUACGUCUUCGGGAGUGUUGAGAGACUACCACAUUGUAUUAUUAGAGAAUAAAUAUUUGUGUUUGACAAUUCUUCUCUUUGUUACAUAAGGUUUACAUAACAUAAAUAUAUAGUCAUCUACCCUAACCCUUUAUAUCAGCCCAAACCCAUAACUUGUAUUGUUGUUAUCUAGAGAAUAUGAGUCAUUGCAAAACAUUUUGAUAUAAGUUUUUUUAAUAAAAUGGACAAUCAGAUAAGUAGAAUUGCUUAAAUUCAAUGUUUAUAACUUCUCUUCCUGUGAUGAUAGAUAAUUAGAAUAAGUUUAAUUUGUCAAAGAAUUGUGUAUUUUAAGUAGUUUAAUACUCACUACUUUGACUUUUAGGUUUGAGAAAUCUGUGAUUUUUACUGCAAUGAUGUAUAUAUAUUGCCUGCUAUUAGUUAUAUCAUAAAAGUAAAUUACACUGACAUCUCAUGAGUUUUACUGAAAUUAUAUAAAACACUAAUCCAUUUUUUAAACAUACACAAACUAUCCAUAAUUAUAUAUAUACAUUACAUUGAUUACCUCUGUAUGAGAUAUAAGUAUAAUUUCUAAAACAAAAAAUGGUAAUGAUUGUAAUUAAGUUAAACAAAAUAUGAUAUAUUGUGAAGACAAGUCCAAAUAGUAUAAGAGUCAAUGUCUAUUCAUUAUUUUGGUUAGUUACAUAUAGUAUAAGAGAUUUAAACCUUUCAUUAAAAUUAUUGAUGCAAUUUAUAAUUAACCAAAAAUAAUGAAUAUAUAUUGACUCUUAUACUAUUUGGAUUUGUCGUCAUGAUAUACCAUAUUUUGUUUGAUUUAAUUAAUGAAUAAUGAAUAUAUAUUGACUCUUAUACUAUUUGGUUUUGUCUUCAUGAUAUACCAUAUUUUGUUUGACUUAAUUAAUGAAUAUAUAUUGACUCUUAUACUAUUUGGUUUUGUCUUCAUGAUAUACCAUAUUUUGUUUGACUUAAUUAAUGAAUAUAUAUUGACUCUUAUACUACCGGAAUAAACAAUGCAAUGUACAUAUAUAAUUAGGGGUGGUUUGUGUAGGUUUAAAAAAUGAUUGAUGAUUUAUGUAAUUUCACUAAAACUCGUGGGAUACUAGUGUGAUUUACUCUAAAUUAAUCUUGUACCAAAAAAGCCUAUAGAGUAAACUGUAAAGUAAUUUAUAAGAGAUCUUAGUGCCUUUCGCUACAGUUUUUGUUCAUAGGUUAAGGUUAGAAAUUCAUAAUUUCUAAUUAAGUUGAUCAUCAUAUAUUUAAUACACUUAUAUCGACUAUUUAUUUUGGGUACAAAACAUGUUAUCUAAUUGUGACAACCCAUUGGAAUUCUAAAGCUGAUAACAAUUAUAAAUUUAAUAAGUGGAUACUGAAAUGAUUGACCUAAAUGAGAUAAUGAGAAACUUAUAAUUUAAUGCAUAAGGAACAGUUAUGGUCUCCAUGAAACUAAAUCGCAAGUAGUUUUCACAUUUCCCCGUUAGAGAGAAAACAAAGGUCCCAAAAAGAAUUCAGGAUUUGGUUGAGGAAGAUCAUCAUACCAAAACUCUCUCCAAAGGCAUACAAAAUGAAUAGAUGUGAGAAACAUGGAUUGAUGUAUGAUUUUGUACCCUUAUUUUAUAUUAUGUUUGAGAAUCAUGAUAAUUAAAAUCCUAGUAUAGGUAUUUCGCCAAAGAAAAAUGUGACAAGUGGUAUCAGAGCGUAGGUUCUAAAUUUUAUGAUUCUCUAUAAAGGGUGUCUUUCCAAAUUUUGUAUGAACCCUAAUUUUAAUUUGGAGAUUUUAUGCUUACACUAUCAUAUUAUAAAGAUUGAUAAUUUUAAAUUGAUUAUUUCCGUUAGGAAUGUUUUAUUUUGUGUGAUAAAUAUACACACAUAAUAAAAUAAUGUAAUCAUAUGAAUGAUGUUGUUAGUUUGAUUUUUGUUCAUACAUCAAAGAAAUUGUAUCAUGAAGUUAAUGUGAUGAUCAGAACUUACUCUUCCAAUUUUUUUACCUUGACAUGUAUACGAUCUACAAUAUUACAUAAUCUAUAUUCGUACAUUAUGAUGUUUUAAUUAUAUAUCUUAUCCAUCAUAUUUGUAGCUUGCCUAGUAUUGAUUUAGAAUUUCAUUGAUUCGUUAUUCAUUAAUCAAUAAUAUACCAAUAUAUAGUUGUAUUAUGCAUAUACAUAUUGCCAGAAGUGGAUCAUUGUUGAAGUAGGUGGGGGCAACUCCCCUGAAUCUUUUGUUUUUUUUGUGAGAAAACUUGUAUUCUUGGGAAGAUGCUGCAACACUUAAACAAACAAAUGAUUGAUGGAUAUGCACGUAAAAUCUCCAAAGCGUGUGUUACCACACUAACCUUUAGGUUCGAUUCGCCCCCACCAUUUUAUGUAUAUUGGAUGCAAAUGGAAUGAACAGCGAAUCCCCUUCGGGAUACUUUGAAAAACCUUGAUAUGUUUUGCACAAACACAACAAGCGUAUCUUUCAACAAUAGUUUACAAUUAUGUUUCCUACACUUCUCUCAUGCAUUAGAGAAAUGGAGGAUGAUUUCUUGGAUGAGAAAAUUCGGAUGGUGAUUAUGAUUUCAAAUGUCUCUAUUUAUAGAGAAGUUCAUAUCACUUGAGGGAAAGAAGUGCAUUUAGAGUUCUGUACGCGUAAACGAAAGGUUAUGUAGUGUAACGAUUCAAUAAAUAAUUGAAUAGGCGUGAUAGCCUAGGAGUAGCAACAAUGCUUUGUUAAGUUGUGUGUCCUUGGUUCGAAUCUCAACGGAUGCAUAUCUUCAUUUUUAUUUCUACGCAUUAAAUAACAACGUGAAAUCAAAAUCAUUCACAAUCCCCCACCAUUUUAAAGUUCAUUGCCUAAAGGUGCAACCACUAAACCAAAGGACAUCUUCAUAGAUAAAUCAUUCACAAUAUUUAUAUACUAAACCGUGAAUUCUGAUAUUUUGUAAAUAUCAUUCACAAUCCCCCACCGUUUUCAAAAUAUAAGAAAUCUCAUAAAUUUGGAAAUAUCAUGGUUUCAGAUAAUGGUAUCUUACGAUUUGAACCAUUACUUAGUAAGUUAUGGGUUCCACUUACUCCGAAUAGAAAUUGGUAGACAAGCUUUGAACCAACUAUUCAUUAGAAUAAGCGUGCACAACUCACACAUGAAAUCUCGGUAUUAUUGAAAGAAUUAUAAAUAUUACACAUUUGAUAAGGCCUUGUGUCAUGUAUCCUUUUCAUGAGAAUUUAAGAGUAAAGCCCUUUAACUCUAUGAAGCGGCCAACUUCAUUCUCAUAUAGGUAGACUAUAUCGGGAAUGCACCGAUAAUAAGCAUUCCAGCAAAUUUUUGCUAUAUGUCUAUUAAGAGUAAAACUCAACCUUCCAACUUUGUUCUUAUGGUCCAAGUACUUUUAUCACUUGGGAUGUGUCUAUAGUCAAGUACUUGCAAUCACUCUAUAGUAUUUUCCAUCAUUGAACUCAAAACUUGAUGCUACUCAAGUGUGAGUUAAGUUAACACUAUUGGUGAUCAAUUAGACAUGGGCUUGAGUCUCAUCCCCAAUGAUGUUUUCAACACCAUAUCUUUUGUCAGACCUUUCGUCAAAGGAUCUGAAUAAUUCUUUUUAGUUCUUACGAACACUAUGGAGAUUACUCCAUUUGCAAUUAAUUCCUUUACAUAGCUAUGUCUUAAACCAAUAUGUCUGGAUUUUCCAUUAUACACUUGGCUGUAUGCUUUUGAUAGCGUAGACUGACUAUCACAAUGUAUAGAUACUGGUGCCAUUGGCUUUGGCCAAAUAGGUAUCUCAUACAAUAAGUUUCUUAGCCAUUCAGCCUCUUUACUACCUGCAGCCAGAGCAAUAAAUUAUGCAGCCAUGGUGGAGUCGUCUAUGCAAGUUUGUUUCUUUGAACUCCAAGAAACCGCACCUCCACCAAGGUUGAAGAUCCAUCCACUUGUAGAAGCGUGAUCUUCAACAUAAGUUACCCAACUAGCAUCUGUAUAUCCUUCCAAAACUGAAGGAUAUCCAUUAUAGGUUAAAUUAUAGUUAAUUGUUCCUUUUUAAGCUGUGUGUCCUUGGUUCGAAUCUCAACGGAUGCAUCUCUUCAUUUUUAUUUCUAUGCAUUAAAUAAAAACGUGAACUCAAAAUGAUGAAGCAAAGGAUGGAACUCACAACUGUAAGUUCAUUGCCUGUGCAAUCACUAAACCAAAGGAAAUCUUCAUAGAUAAAUCAUUCACAAUAUUUAUAUACUAAACCGUGAAUUCUGAUAUUUUGUAAAUAUCAUUCACAUUUUUUUCUUCCAAUUUUUUAAAUAUAUAUUUUUUUACAUUUUUCAAAUUUUUUUUUACUAAGUGUCUCCAACAUUUAGUCUCAAACAUCUAGCCCUCUCUAUAAGAGUUCUAUUCAUCAUCUUUGUAACAACAUUCUGAUGAGGAGUCUUCUUCACUGAAAAGUGCCUCUAAAUGCCAUGUUCCUCACAUAACUUCUAAAAUUAUGAGUCUUUGUACUUCAUACCAUUGUCUGACCUUGGGUUUAUGAUUUUUCUAGCAGUCUAGUUCUCUACCUCUGCCUUCCAAACCUCGAACUUGACAAAGACUUUUGACUUAUGCUUUAGAAAAUAUACCCAAAUCUUAUGAGAAAAGUCAUCAACGAAACUAACAAAGUACCUAGAACCUCCUAGGGAUGGUUCUUGAGUGGUCUCCAUACAUCAGUGUGGACAUAGUGUAGAAUGCCAUGAGUCCUAUGUUGGUCAGCCUUGAAAUUAGGGGUGGCAAUUGAAUGGAUUUGGAUGAAUAUGGAUUUGGAUCAUAAUGGAUGGAUGAGAUGUCAUCCACCAAUCCAUAUAAAUCCAUAAAAUAACAUUUCUAAAUUAUCCAAUCCCUAAUGGAGGGAUGAAUUUCAUUAUUGCAUGUUGCUUUACGGGAAAAAUUAUUUUUGUUUUUAUUUUUUGUGUGGGUGGAUUGGAUAUCCAUUCAAAUGGAUAUAUCUGUGGAUAAUCAUUGGAUAUAAUGCAUGUAUUUGAAUACAUUCAUUAUCAACAAUAUCUAUUGGAUUAUAUCCAUUUAAAUGUAUUUGCUCUAACGGAUGAAUUUGGAUAGAUUUAAUUUGGAUGGAUUGUGGAUAAUAUUGCCACCUCUACAUGAAACUAACUUGCAUUUAUUUCCCAAGCAUACAAUACUUGCACAAAACAAUAUUGUAUUUUGUGACUCUCCUAAACAGUCUUUUUUUUGUGUGCAUAGUUCUAUCAUGCCACGCACACUAAUAUGACCCAAACGCAUGUGCCAUAAUUUUGUAGUAUCAUGGCCUAAAUAUAUUGAAAUCUCUUCGGCCACUCCAGCAACUCAACCUACAAUUUUUCUCCCUGACAUCUUAUAAGUGUUCCCAACAUUUCUAUUACCCUUCAUCACAGUUAGAGCACAUUUGCAUACUCGAAGAAUAUCAUUGUCCACAUAUGCUCUAUAGCUAAAUCCAUUGGCCUGCAAUGUCCCCGAAGAAAUCAAAUUCGUUUUCAAAUCAGGUAUUUGUCUACCCACACAUAACGUCUUCACUACACCAUCAUUCAUCAAAAUUCUGAUUUCUCCCAUGCCAAUAAUUCCAUAUGCUAUACUAUUUAUGAGGUACACAAAACCAAAAUUGUAUACAUUGUAUAUGGUGAACCAUUCUCAGCUUGACGUCAUGUGGUGGGAAUAAACAAUGUCAAGUAUCUACUCAUUUGUACUUUGAUUUGAUGAUACAGAUAGUAGAUCAACUUCACUGUUGUAACCAGAGUCAUUUUUCAGUGCAACAUUUGCAAAUGUAGAUACUUCAUCUGUCCCCACUAGCUUGUUAGGACUCCAUUCAUUGGGACAAUCCUUUUUUUAAUGUCCAGUUUGUUUGCACUUAUAGCACUAUACUAGUGUUCUGUCCCUAGAAUUUGCUUUGGCAGGACCUCCUCUUCCUUGUCUCCUCCCACGCGCAUGACUCCUUUUCACAUACAAACAUCACCUAGAGACCCUUCUCCUCCAUUCUGUUUUCUUUGAGAGUGAGACAAAAGUAUAGAUGUGAUCUCAUCUAUUUUGAUUGAGUCUUUCUCGUAUGUGAAUGUUGCCACCAAGUACUCAUAGGAAUUUGGCAAAGAACAUAGUAAUAUUAUUGCUUUGUCUUCGUCAUCAACCUUCUUAUCAAGUUUCAGCAAGUCAUUAAUCACUUGAUUAAAAGUGCUGAAAUGUUGUUGAAAAUCAGCACCCUCGUGCAUUAUCAAGCCAUAAAGUAUGUGCUUCAAAUACAACUUAUUUGUUAGAGACUUGGACAUGAACCGCUUCUCUAAUGUCUCUUAUACCUCUAUUGGUGAUGUCAAAUCCGUAACAUGAGACAUCACUGCAUCUGAUAGACAAAGUCAUAUGGUUCCCACAGCCUUCUCCUUAAACUCUUCCAAAUUCAGUUGAUCCAUACCAUAUGGUUUAUUCCCACGCAACACAUUUGAUAGACCUUGUUGAGCGAACACAUCUUUAAUCUUUCUUUGCCACAAUCAGUAAUUACUAGUUCCAUCAAACUUCCCCACCUCGAAUUUGGCACCUGAGUUAAGGGAUAUUAGUUAUAUCAUACAAAAAUAUAAAUUUAAAAUCAUAAUAUAUUUUGUCUUAGUGUUUAAUAUGUUGAUAUAGUCUAUAUACUAAAAAGUAGAUUACACUGAUAUAUCAUGAGUUUCAGUGAAAUUAUACAAAACACUAAUCCAUUUUUUAAACAUACACAAAUUAUCCCUAAUUAUAUAUAAAUAAAUUAUAUUAACUAUCUUUGUAUGGGAAAUAAGUAUAAUUUCUUAAAUAAAAAAUUAUGAUGAUUGUAAUUAAGUUAAACAAAAUAUGGUAUAUUGUGAAAACCAGUCCAAAUAGUAUAAGAGUCAAUGUCUUUUCAUUAUUUUGGUUAGUUACAUAUACUAUAAGAGAUUUAAACAUUUUGUUCAAAUUAUUGAUGCAGUUUGUAAUUAACCGAAAAUAAUGAAUAUAUAUUGACUCUUAUACUAUUUUGUUUUGUCUUCAUAAUAUAUCAUAUUUUGUUUGACUUAAUGAAUGAAUAAUGAAUAUAUAUUGAUUCUUAUACUACUCGAUUAAACAGUGCAAUGUAUAUAUAUAAUUAGGGGUGGUUUGUGUAGGUUUAAAAAAGGAUUGAUGAUUUAUGUAAUUUCACUAAAUACUCAUAGGAUGCUAGUGUGAUUUACUCUAAAUUGAACUUGUACCAAAAAAAGCCUAUAGAUUAAACUGUAAAGUAAUUUAUGAGAAAUUCAUAGGUUAAUGUUAGAAAUUCAUAAUUUCUAAUUAAGUUGAUCAUCAUAUAUUUAAUAUAAUUAUAUCGACUAUUUAUUUUGGGUUACAAAACAUGUUAUCUAAUUGUGACAACCCAUUGGACUUCUAAAGCUGAUAACAGUUAUGAAUUUAAUAAGUGGAUACUGAAAUGAUUGGCCUAAAUGAGAUAAUGUGAACCCUAUAAGUUGUUAAUACAUAAGGAACAAUUAUGGUCUCCAAGAAACCAAAUCACAAGUAGUUUUCACCUUUCUCCGUUAGAGAGAAAACAAAGGUCCCAAAAGUAAUUCAGGAUUUGGUUGAGGAAGAUCAUCAUAUCAAAACUCUCUCCAAAGGCAUACAAAAUGAAUAGAUGUGAGAAUCAUGGAUUGAUGUAUAGUUUUGUAUCCUUAUUUUAUAUUAUGUUUGAGAAUCAUGAUAAUUAAGAUCUUAGGGUAGGUAUUCCACCAAAGGAAAAUGUGACAAGUGGUUUCAGAGCGUAGAUCCUAAAUUUUAUGAUUCUCCAUUAAAAGUGUUUUUCCAAAUUUUGUAUGAACCCUAACUUUAAUUUGGAGAUUUUAUGCUUAUGCUAUCAUGUUAUAAAAAUUGAGAAUUUUAUUUUGUGUGAUAAAUGUACACACAUAAUAACAUAAAGUAAUCAUAUGAAUGAUGUUGUUGGUUUGAUUUUUGUUCAUACCUCAAAGAAAUUGUAUCAUGAAGUUAAUGUGAUGAUGAGAACUUAGUCUUCCAAUUUUUUUACCUUGACAUUUAUACGAUUUACAAUAUUACAAAAUGUAUUUUCGUACAUUAUGAUGUUUUAACUAUGUAUCUCAUCCAUCAUAUUUGUGGCUUGCUUAGUGAUUGAUUUAGAAUUUCAUUGAUGCGUUAUUCAUUAAUCAAUAAUAUAUCCAUAUAUAGUUGUAUUAUGCAUAUACGUAUUGCCAAAGGUGGAUCUUAGUUGAAGCAGGUGGGGGCAACUGCCCCCUGGAUAAUUUUUUUUCCAAUUUCUUUAAAUAUUUUAUUUUUUAUUUUUCAAAUAUUUUUUUUUACAUUCUGCAAAGUGUGUAAUCAUUUUAAAAAUUAUAGAUAAAGUUUUUUAUAUGUGUAGAUCUUAAUAAUGCUUAUAAUAUUUUACUCAAUUUGAGUUCAUAAUUAUUUUACCCUUAUGAAAUAUAUUAUAGGAUUAGAGGUUGUCUUUGUCAAACUUUGCAGCAAAAGUUCUAAGAUUCUAUGGAUUUUAUAUAUCACUUAAUAUUGAUAACAUGUGUAUUUUUGUGCUAAAAUUGUACUUGUGGAUUUCAAUGCGAGUUUAAUAGCAUAUUUACUUGAGAUGUUAAUAAUUUGAAAGUUUUGUUGGUGAUGUCGUUAGCUAUUUAUGCUUGAAAAACUCUCAACCAUAUCUGAAUUAAGUGUAACUUUGAUGAUACAAGAAAAGUGAGUGCAUAUUAUUUGUUUGGUCGAGUUAUUCGUCUUAUUUUAACUAUUCUAGGUUUUUAGUUACUAGAGGAAGAUCAUUUUCAGCAACAAAGACAAUCAAACAAAACUAUGUAGCAAAAUAGAAGGUGAAUUUCUUGUAGACAACAUGAUGUAUUUUAUUGAAAAAUAAAUAGUUUAAAAUUGUACUUUUAAUUCAAUCAUCAUUGAAUUGAAGCAAUUUAACAAUGAGUGACAAUUUAAACGAAUGUACAUUAUUUAACGUCUUUAGUUGUUAAUUAUAGUUAUUUAGAAUUAAUAUGUUACUUUGAAUCUUUAUAAUAAUUAUUUAUAUUUUUAUAUGUUUUGUUCCUCAAUUAAUCAUAAUUAAAAGUUAUAAUUAAAUAUUAUUGUUGCCCCUCUUAAACUUUAGUUAACAUCCAACAUAUUGCAUUUACUAUAUUUAAAUGCCAAAAUAUUUUAUAUACUAUAUAUAUAAAUUUUGGUAUUAUAGGACACAUUUUUACCGUCUAUCUUUGUCCAUGACUCCAACCACAUAAUUUUUUUAUUAAUUUGUCAGCUUGUAUUACACACCUGUUUUUAAUUAUAUAUAUAUAUAUUUAUUUAUUUAUUUAGUUUCUAGUUUAUAUGUACUAGCAUGUUGGCAAUCACUCCGUGUCUAUCGACCUGUAUUUUUACUUUUUAAUAUUGAAUAUUUAAUUUUUAUAUAUUUCAUUUUAUAGAAUUAUAUCACUUUUCAUACAUGAUAUUAUAAUUUUUUGAUAAAAAUAUAAAAAUUAAUUGUGAUAUUAUUAGAAAAUGCAUUGAUAGUUUGAUAUAUUUAGUGAAUGUAACUUCCUCUAACCUUCAUUUAUAUUUUUUAUUGUAUGGAAAAAUAUUGUAAUAAUUAUUAAUUAUAAGGCAAAAUAGGUAAGUGAAAAUUAUACAAUGUAGGUAGUUAUUUCAUGUUUUCCCUUUAUAUAUAACUAGUGUGUACAGGCACUUGCCAGUGAAUAUUGUAUGGUACUACGUAUUCAAUUUUAUAUAUUUUAUUUUUUAUUUUUAUGAUAAUGUUCAAUUCAAGGUGAGAUAUGUGGUUAAUUAAUAUGUUGGUUGUGAUUACUUAUAUUAUAUGGUUUUUUGUAAAAAAUAAAUAAUAAUAACGGCAAAACAGGAAAAUUGCACAUGGUGAAAGUUACACCAUGUUUUCCCUUUACUGUUUAAGGUUAUUAUACAUUUAGUUAUUGUAUAUAUGAUUUGGAUUUAUAUUGUGUAUUGUUAAUCAUUAAAGUCAUCAAAACUUAUAGAUUUAAUUCUAAAUUGUAAUUCUUUUUACAAUGGACUCAUAUUAAAUUAGAUAAUGCAAUAUGUUGCUAAAAUAGUCUAUAUUGUAGAAAUUAAUUUGAUUAAAAUUAUAUAGAUGUUAGUAUGUGAUUAUUUUUGUGAAUUCUGACCAGCUUAAAGAAAGAUAUAAUUAGGCCAAAUAAUAACGUAUAUGAUGAUAAAUAUGUAACAAUUAUAAAGUUGUAUUUUUUAUUUAAAUAAUAGUCGGUCUAAAGAAAAACUGUUGUUUAUUUGUUAGUAUUUGAUCAUUAUAUUUAUAAUACAUUUUACAAAUUCAUUCCUUAAGUUCUUUUUAUCUCUCCAAAUUCUAUUUUUUUCGGUAAGGCAUAUAAGGAUCCUAUGCUGUUUUGUAAAUCAAUCUGUUAAUUGUCAGCUCCAAAGUAAAAAGUUCAUAUUCUUCAUCUUUUACCAUUUCACAAUCCAAAUAUAUAUAUAUAUAGGUUACUACUUUUGGAAACUAUGUAAAUAAACUAAGAAAGUUGUAUUAAAUUCACCAUCUCUGAAAAAUAUCUCUUCAACAAAACAAAAAAAAAACAAAAGAAAAAUGGCUCGUCUGGCAUGUUGUUUGGUCUUGAUCUCUUUGUGCUUAUGCCGUGUUCUUGAGCCUGCUUUUGCAGCCAAGAACUACAACAAAACAAAAAAGAACAAAAGAAAAAUGGCUCGUCUGGCAUGUUGUUUGGUCUUGAUCUCUUUGUGCUUAUGCCGUGUUCUUGAGCCUGCUUUUGCAGCCAAGAAAGGACACAAGACCCUUAAGGUCAAACCCACCAAGCACAUUGCCCCAGCAACUGCACAUUUUCCUUCUGCUAUUCCAACAGAACAAGCUUUGAUCCAACAACUAUGCCAUGAUACAAGGAAGUUCAAAUUGUGCCGCAAAAUUGUCCAAGGUGAUAGGGUAGCUUUAGAAUCAGUCGCUGAGGCCAAGAUUGCCAUUGAUAUUGCCACAUCCAUGGCAUCAAGGGUUGGUGCAUACGUGUCAACCCAGCUUAAAACAAACCGUGUUAAGGUUCUUUCAAGAGGGUUUGUGAAAGUUUGUAAGUUCAAUUAUGGCAAUGCAAUUGUUGACUUGAACCUUUCAUACAUUAACUUUGAAUCCAACACCAAGAAAGCCAUUGAGAGUCUCAAACAAGCUGAGAUUAAGGUUGGAUACUGUGUUAAUUCUUUGAAAUCAGGAAGUAAAAAUUCUGAAAUUCCACCAGUUCAUAAGGCUAACAAAGUGAUUCAGAGUUUGAUAAAGGCAGCAGAAUCUGUUGCUAAGAAACAAACACACUAAGCAACAUAUAGCCAGUAUGUGUGUCCAUUUUGCCUUUUGUUUUGAGAGCUGUAGAACAUGUUUGUGUUUCUCCUUUUCUGAAUUUUGGUUACAGAAACAAGUUCUGUUUUGUACUCUUAUUAAUGUAUUCUAAUCAUAAAACAAUUUUAAUGAAGAGUCACAAUUUUCAAUAAUUAGAUUUUGUCUGUGUUUACAUAGAGUAAUGAUUAUUUGCUUGGAGAUAUAUUUGGUUUUAGUUCCUUAUUUAAUGUUAUCAACAUAAUUUAAGAAAUUAAUAAAUAAUAUAAAAAUAAAAUAUAAUUUGACUAAAGUAUUGUUAAUUUUUCACAUAUUUCUACACAUAAAUUUUCAUCAUAAAGUCAACCCAAACAACAAAUAAGUGAAAAAUAUUUGGGAAUAGAGAUUAUUAAGAGAACGCUUAAGAAAGAUUAUUACAUUGCAAAGUGGAGAAAAAUAGGGAAGAUAAUGUAUCUUCUUAUACCAGGAGAGGAGAUAACUUAUCUCCUCUAGCCAGUAAAAAUGUGACAUGUGUGUUAUUUUGUUUAUUAUUAAAAAUAUUUCUAUAGAUAAUGAUGAAACAUGACACAUGUCAUGAUUUCACUGGUAGGAGGAGAUAAUUUAUCUUCUAAUACUAUGAGAUACUCCAUUCUCUUAUAUUAAAAAAUUCGAAAUUAAACUUUGAUUCUGCGCAGUUGUGAAGGCUUACUAGCGUUACUAAAAUGAUUAUCUGGUUGUGUUAAAUAAUGGGUUUAUUAAUUGUCACUGCAAUUUCCAUAACCAUGUUAUAAUGAACUAUUAGUUAUCCCAUUAAAAGCAAAACUUUGAUAUAAUUUCUUUUAACAAAAGGGACAAUCAGAUAACUGGAACUGCUUAAAUUCAAUGUUUAUAACUUCUGUCUUCCUGUGAUGAAUUGAUAAUUAGAAUAAGUUUAAUUAUAUUUGUCAAAGAAUUCUGUAUUUUAAUUUUUAAGUAGUUUGAUAGUCACUGCUUUGACUUUUAGGUUUUAGAAAUCUGUGAUUUUUAAAGAAUUGUGUACUUUAAAUAGUUUGAUACUCACUGGUUUGACUUUUAGCUUUUAGAAAUCUGUGAUUUUUACUAUAUAAUGUUGUGUAUAUACUGCCUCCUGUUAGUUAUAUCAUAAAAAUAUGUAUGCAGUUAAAAUCAUAAUAUAUUUUGUCUUGAUGGAAGAAUGUUGUCUCUGCUAGGGCAUAACCAUUUCCUUUCAACUAGGAAUCUCCAAACUUCUUGGAACUUCUAAAAUUAUUCCUCUGUUUGCUUUCUCUUCUCCAACUUUCUUGGAUACGCUCCCAUGGCCAAAAUGCACACUGCUGAACCCCUCAUUCCUUGGAACUUCUUAGGUGACUCUGCUACCUCACCGAGGAAGUCCAAUCCAGAUCCCACACUACACGUGAAGAAGUCAUUUGCACAAGCAUUAAAAAACUCAAGUGACAUUGCACUCUCACAGCUGCCUCAACCUUGCAUUAAAGGUGAAGCCAUUGCUAUAAAGAUCCUUGAAGAGGACUAUCAAGAAGGUCUUAGGCGGUGUAAAUCUCACCUACAUGGGAGAAUCAUCCUUUCUAAAGGAGACACCCCUCUCAAGUUUGAGGAAAUCAGAGCUAAGUUGGUCUCGCUAUGGAGUAACAUAGGGAAAUGGAGCAUGGUCUCCUUGGGACGGGGCUACUAUGAUUUCUCAUUCUCAUCACUGGAGGACAUGAGAAGUGUUUGUGCUGUAGGGGCUUGGAGUCUUCGCCCAGGUUUUCUUAGAUUGUAUCUAUGGUCUCCAGAUUUCAAUCCAGCUUUGCAGAAGUUCUCCCAUGUUCAAUGUUGGGUAAAAAUUGUAGGUUUACCCCAGGAAUAUUGGAGCCCAAGAAUCAUUUUCUCCAUUGCAGGGGGAAUAGGAACACCAAUCUCGCUGGAUGAGGCCACAAACAAUCGCACAUUUGGACAUUUUGCAAGGGUGUUAGUGGACAUUGAUCUGAAGACUGAUUUGCCUAACCAAAUCCUAGUGGAAAGAGAAGGUUAUGCCUUCUUUGUUGAGCUUGAGUAUGAAAAGCUUCCACAGUUCUGCAAUGGUUGUCAAACCAUAGGUCACCUGGUCACUAACUACAGGAAAAGGAUGAAGGAAAUACCUACAAAUGUCCCUCCGCAAAAGAAGAAGCAGGUGGUUGAGAAGGUUUUCAAAAAGAACACUGGAAAGGAUUUUGUAAUAAAUCUGGAAAUAGAUCACAAUGAAGAGGUUAAUCUUCAAAAUGUUACAAGAGUUUAGGAUACUCCAGUGGCAGAGCAAAGUGCAGAGGACAUGGCUCACAUUGAUGAGAAUGUGGUUGAGGACAUGGCUCACAUUGAUGACACUGUGGUUGAGGACUCUUUACCUGGUUUAGAGCAAAAUGAUAAAGACCCCUUAGUUGGUCUCGAGAUCAUUGAAGAAGUGGAAUUUCAUGUGGUUGAAGAAAUGAACAAUCCUAGAGUUGACCAUGACAUGAGAUUGCUUGGCAGGCUUUGGGAUGAUGAGGGUAUUGAUGAAGAAGUGGAUGAUGAAAGUAGAUUCACAGCUGUUAUUUCCAGGUCUCAAAAGAAAAAACAGAAGAAAAAAGACAAGCUGGAAAAGGUCCACAACAACCGAAGGGGCAGUUACCUAACCUCAAACCAAUGAUAAUGCUAUAUUGGAAUUGUAGGGGUAUAGGGAAUCAAAAAACUCAAUUGGUGUUGAAAAAUCUGUGUUUAACUCAUAAGCCAGAUUUAGUGUUCAUAUCUGAACCUAUGAUAGUUAAGGAUAGCAUUCCUCAAUGGUUUUGGGCAACUUUGAAUCUGAAGUUGUUUUUUGUGAAUGAUAGAGGGCCCCUUAUUUCAUCUAUUUGGGGGCUCUGCAAGCUCCACCUUGAUCCUUCAGUAAUUUCUAACUCCUUCCAGCAGGUUUCUAUGGCUAUUUCAGUGGAGGGGAAAGAUAUGUUCCUUGCUGCGGUUUAUGGUAGUACUAGCCAAAUGCUUAGAAGAGCACUUUGGGAGGAACUCAUGUUGUUAAUGCUUGCUAACCAGGGUCCUUGGUGCUGUCUAGGUGAUUUUAAUGUUGUCUUGGGAAAUCAUGAGUGCAGAGGAAUGAGGUUAACUCCUCCUAGUCCUUGUGUUGAAUUCAAGAAUUUCUCUGAUUCUUCUAAUCUCAUUCAUUUGCAGACCAGAGGUGCCCCUUCACUUGGUCUAACAGACGAGGAGGACAUGCUUUAACAGAAAAAAGACUUGAUAGAAGUCUGUGCAACAAUGAAUGGAUAGACUCCUGGCCUCAAGUGGUGUGUUACACUUUACCAAGAAUUUCCUCUGAUCACCAUCCUAUCUUGCUGAAAUCUGAUAGUGGUCAAUUAGGAGUUCAAGCUCAAUUCAAAUUCCAAAAAAUGUGGUUGCACCAUCCUGACUGUGCUAGAGUGGUGGAGGAAAUCUGGAAGCAGGACAUCAUUGGUUGUAAGAUGUCUAUCUUGACUCAGAAGCUAAAGCUGUUAAGGAACAAGUUCAAGGUCUGGAAUGUUGAAAUCUUUGGUAUGGUGCAACAUAAUGUCAAACUGGCCUUAGAAGCAGUGGAUUCUAUCCAGACUAAUAUAGCUUUAAAUGGUCCUAAUGAUGAUAAUUUGGAGGCUGAUAGAGCUGCUCAGCAAUCCCUUAUGCAGGCUUUAACAAUUGAGGAAGAAUUCAGGAGGCAAAAGUCAAGGAUUAAUUGGCAUAACAGUGGAGAUAGAAACACUAGUUUCUUCCAUAGAGUCACAAAGAUCAGGAACUCUACCAAAUCCUUAAAUAUGCUCAGAUCAGGGGGGUGCUUAAUUACUGAUCAAACAGAGAUUGAGAACUUGGUGUUGAAUUACUUCCAAAAUUUAUUUGCUGCUCCUAACCACAUUGUCCAUAAUGACAUGAUUAACAAUGUAGUUCCUACUAUGAUCACUGACACUGAGAACUCUAGGCUCUCAUCCAUCCCUUCUCAUGAUGAAAUCAAGUCUGCUGUUUUUGACAUGAAUGGGGAUGGAGCCCCAGGGCCUAAUGGUUUUGGUGGGAGCUUCUAUCAGGCUUUCUGGCAUAUAGUGGGGCCUGAUGUGUGUAAAGCUACUACAUAAUUCUUUACUCAAGACUACAUUCUGCCUGACAUAAACUCUAACAAUGUGUUGCUAAUCCCAAAACUCACAUGAGCAGAUAGAAUUGAAGAUUUCAGACCAAUUGCUAUGGCUAAUUUCCAAUUCAAGAUCAUUUCUAAAGUGCUUGCUGAUAGGUUGGCAACCAUUGCUCCUAGGAUUGUCUCAACUCAGCAAAGAGGCUUCAUCAAAGAUAGGCAAAUCAAUGAUUGUAUAUGUUUAGCAUCUGAGGCAAUAAACCUGCUGGAUCACAAAGUUUUUGGUGGAAACUUAGCAAUUAAAAUUGACAUCAAGAAAGCUUUUGAUACCAUUGAUUGGGAUUUCUUGCUACUUACUCUUCAAAAGCUUGGUUUUAGCCAUAAGUUCAGGAGUUGGAUUCGAAUCAUUUUACAUUCUGCCAGGUUAUCCAUUAAUGUCAAUGGCAAAAUUGUUGGUUUUUUCAAGUGCACUAGAGGUGUGAGACAAGGAGAUCCUCUUUCUCCUCUCCUUUUUUGCAUUGCUGAGGAUGUUCUUAGCAGAGGGCUAUCUAAGCUGAGGGUUGAGGGCAAAUUAGCACUAUGGAGGGCCCAAAAGGAAUUAAAACUCCUUCCCAUGUGCUUUAUGCUGAUGACAUCUUUAUAUUCUGCAAAGGAAAGAAAACUGAGCUUCGCAAAAUCAACCAAUUGCUUAUCAAUUACUCAGAAAUAUAUGGUCAAUGUGUCAAUGCCUCAAAAAUUAAGUUUUACUCUGCUUCUUCAUCUCACAGGAAAAUUGCUUCUAUGGCUCAGGUUCUUGGAUUUUCACCUGGCAGUUUGCCUCUAACUUACCUUGGAGUUCCUAUUUCUUGGGUAAACCAAGAAGGAUACAUUUACAAAAAUUGCUGAUAGGAUAAUUAGCAAGCUGGCUACUUAGAAAGGGGCUUUGCUAUCAAUCAUGGGCAGAGUUGAGCUAGCUAGAUCUGUAAUCCACAACAUGUUGCUUUAUAGUUUCAACAUUUAUGCUUGGCCUAAUUCUCUUCUUAAGCACAUUGACAAGUGCAUAAGAAACUUUGUGUGAUCUGGUAACAUUGAGGUGAGGAAGCUAGUCACUGUGGCUUGGAAAAAUGUUUGCUUGCAAUUGAAGGAAGGAGGAUUUUGUAUCAGAUCUCUAAAAAAGAUAAAUCAUGAUGCUAUGCUCAAGCUCGCCUGGGAAAUGGCCAAUUCCAAUCAUGAUUGGGCAUUGUUUUUUAGGAAUAGGUUUGGAUCUAAUCGUACUCCUUCAAGCAGAUACUUCAAUAUGGCCUGCUAUCAAAGCAAUUUGGCAUAUCUUGCACAAUAAUUCAAUCUGGAUAAUUGGUGAUGGGCACAAAACAAACUUUUGGCUAGAUAACUGGUUAGGAGAACCAUUAGUGGAAACUCUAAACAUUCCUAUUCAGUUCCACUCUGAUUUGAGGGCCUCUGUUGCUGAUUUCAUCAGAAAUGAUGCCUGAAUCAUUCCUCAAACCCUGAUAAACAAUUACCCUCAAAUCACAUCAAAGAUUGGCAGCAUAAUCAUCAACAAUGAUACAGACAAGCUAGUUUGGAAGAAUUCCCCUGAUGGGUUGCUAUCUGCCAAGGUUGCUUAUCUGCACAUGAAUCUUGGUUCAGUCCAGAACAAUUAGGGUAAAGUCAUCUGGUCUGAUGCCAUCCGUCCUUCAAAAUCCUUUACAACUUGGAGAUUGAUUAAUAACAAGAUGCCAACUGAUGAUAAUCUUCAGAGACGAGGUUGUGUCAUGGCUUCUAUCUGUAGCCUAUGCAGGAAAGAUGAGGAGUCUGCUAUGCACUUGUUUUUCCAAUGCUCUUUCUCUAUUUCUGUUUGGAAUUGGUUGAGCUACACUCUUUCUACUAAUCUUGAUACUUCUUCCAUCACAAACCUUUUGAAGCUAAGCAAAAGGAACUGGAGUGAGCAAGUCAAGCAGGUUAUCAUAGCCUCAAUAAUUCAUGCUAUCAACACAAUUUGGUUCUGCAGAAAUCAAGCUAGAUUCAACAACACUCUGAUCAGUUUCCCUAUAGCUUUGUCUAGGAUAAAGUUGGCAAUCUCUCUGUCUGGUAAAAACUCCAAAACCUGUGCAAACAACUCAAUUACUGACUUGGUUUUACUGAAACAUCUCCAAAUUCAAACUCAUUACUCCAAGGCUCCUAAAAUAAUAUAGGUAAUUUGGUUGCCCCCUGCCCAAGCAACUGUCAAAAUUAAUACGAAUGGGGCGGCUAGAGGGAGCCCUGGUCCCUCAGCUGGUGGUGGAAUUUUCAGAAACCAUGAGGGUCAUACUCUUGCUUGCUUUGCUAGCUUUAAUGGCUGCAAUGAUGCUCUAUUUGUGGAACUAUCAGCUGCUAUUCUAGCUGUAAGAUUUUCUCAUCAUAAGGGUUGGUACAAUAUUUGGUUGGAAUGUGACUCAAUGAUAGUGGUGGACAUCUUCUAUGACAAAGCAACUCCUCCAUGGAGGCUUCUAAGUAAAUGGAAUCAUUGCAAAAAGUUCCUUUCAUCCAUGAAUUGGGUAGCUACUCAUAUUUAUAGGGAGGGAAACACUUGUGCGGAUCAACUUACUAACUUUGGUCUAUCAAUCCAAAAUAUAGAAUCGUGGAAUCAUGCUCCAAGCUUUAUAUUGGAUGAAGUUAAUAGGAAUCGUUUAACUCUGCCUAACUUUAGAUUUGUCUCUUAAUUCUCCUUCCUUGUUUGUAACUCUCUUUGGUUAAUAAAUUGCUUUGGUGCCUUGGCACUGUUGUUUAAAAAAUAAUAAUAUAUUUUGUCUUAGUGUUUAAUAAGUAGGUAUAGAUUAUAAAUUUAAAGAGUAAAUUAUACUGAUAUUUCCUGAGUUUUAGUAAAAUUAUAUAAAAUACUCCUCCUUUUUUAAACAUACAUAAAUUACCCUAAUUAUAUAUAUACAUUAUGUUGAUUACCUCUGUGUGAGAUAUAAGUGAAAUUUCUUAAACAAAAAAUUGUGACUAUUCUAAUUAAGUUAAAAAAAUAUGUAAAUUAUCAAGAUAACCCCAAAUAGAAUAAGAGUCAAUGUGUAUAUAUUAUUUUGGUUAGUUAAUAUAGUAUAAGAAAUUUAAACAUUUCCUUAGAAUUAUUGAUGCAGUUUGUAACGAACUGAAAAUAAUUAAUAUAUAUUGACUCUUAUACUAUUUGGAUUUUUCUUCAAAAUAUACCAUAUUUUAUUUGACUUAAUUACAGUCGUCACUAUUUUUUCUUUAAGAAAUUACAUUUAUUUAUUUUACUGUGGUAGUCAGUGUAAUGUAUAUAACUAUAAAUAAUUUGUGUAAGUUUAAAAAUGGAAUGGAUAAUUUAUGUAAUUCCAAUAAAACUUAGGGGUGUCUAUAUUAAACUUAUACAAAAAAAAAGACUAUAGAUUAAACUGUAAAGUAAUUUAUGAGAGAUCUCUAUACCUUUUGCUACAAUUUUUGUUUAGUAGGUUGAUGUUAGAAAGUAGUAAUUUCUAAUUAAGGUAAUCAUAUAUUUAAUAUAAUUGUAUCGAUUAUUUAUUUUGGGUUAUAAAACAAAUGAUUUAAUUCUGACAACUCAUAGAACUUCUAAAAUUGAUAAUACAUAUAAGUUUAAUGAGUAGGUACCCAAAUGGUUGGCCUAUAGGGGAUAAUGAGAAUCAUAUAAGUUAAUAUAUAAGGAACGAUUAUGAUCUUAAAGACAACAAAUUACAAUCAGUUUUCACCUUUCCCUAUUAGAGAAAAAACGAAGGUACCAAAUGGAAUUCAAGAUUUGGUUGAGGAAGACCAUCAUACCAAAAAUCUCUCUAAAGACAUACAAAAUAAAUAGAUCUAAGAAACAUGGAUUCAUAUAUGAUUUUGUAUCCUUGUUUUAUAUUUUUUUUUUUACAUGGGAAAUGAAAACAAAACUAAGAAGAACUAAUAAAUCCGACGCACCAGCAGAAGAAGACAUUCAAACCUAAAGACCUAAGCCUGAAAGAGCACCGGUCUUUGCCAUAAAUCCACCACGGAGUUGGUUCCCUUUAUAUUAUGUGUAAGAAUCAUGAGAUUCAAGAUCCUAGGAAUGAUAUUACACUAAUCAUAAGGAAAAUUUAACAAUUGGUAUCAGAGCGUAGGUUAUGAAUUUUAUGAUUUCCUUAAAGAUGUCUUUCCAAUUUUUGUAUGAACCCUAAUUUUAAUUUAUGGAUUUUAUGCUUCCGCUAUUGUGAUAUAAAGAUUGAGAAUUUAAAUUGAUUAUUUCCGCUGUAAUGUUUUCUUUACCGUGUCUUAAUUGUACGCACAUAAUGAUAUAAAGUAAUCGUAUGGAUGAUGUUUUUUAUUUUAUUUUUGUUCUUAUCCCAUAAGGAAUUGUAUCAUGAAAUUAAUGUGAUGAUGAGAACUUACAAUUCAAUUUUUUUUACGCUUUCCAUGUAUACGUUUACAUGCUACAAAAUGUACAUAUAUACAUUAUGAUGUUCUAAUUAUAUAUCUCAUUCAUUAUAUAUGUUGUUUGUCCAGUGAUUGAUUUAUAAUUUUGUUGAUGCAUUAUUUAUUGAUUAGUAGUAUACUCAUAAAGUUGUAUUCAUAUAGAUAAUGCAUUUAGUUUAUUUAAAUGCUGAAAUAUAUUAUAGAGUGUACAUUUUUAGUAUAAAGAUUUAUACACAGUCAAUAAAUUAUCAAUUAUUUAUUUGUAUUAUUUUUUCUAAAAAGUCAAUAAUGAUUUAAAAUGAAUGAUAUAUGAUGAGCCAUAAUAUAUAAAACUCUUAUACUGUCAAUAUAUUUUAUCUAUUUUAUAUACUAUAUAUAUUUUGCUAUUAUAAGGCACAUAUAAUGUCUACCUUGUUAUAACUUCAAGCACAUAAAUUUUUAUUAAUUUGCCUCCUUAUCACAAGUUCAAUGUGAUUUACUCAUGUUUUUAAUGUAGCUACUUUACUGAAGUUAUAUAUAUACAUAUAGUUAUUGGUUUAAAUGUAUAUACGGUACAUUUAGUUAUGGAUUAAAGUUUCAACACCUAAAUAUGGGUCCGAGUUGGACUUUUGUCCUACUAGGACUGAUUUGUUGUGGUGGCAAAAUAUUGGUAGCUUAUCCUACUAUUAAGGAAGCAUUGGUGUGGAUUUUGAAACUAAUAUUUUCAAAAGUAUUAGUGAUGAAACUCAAACUAAAUUUUGGGCUGAUGUUUGGUGCGGUAAUCAAAAUCUAAAAAUAUCUUUCUCUAGAUUGUUUUUGUUGGCUUCUAAUAGGCAAGCGUUGGUUGCUGAUAGUGGGAAGUGAGUGGGAAAUGAUUGGCAUUAAAAGAUUGAGUGGAGAAGGGUGCUUUUUCAUAGGGAGGACAAUCUUGCAGAAAUAUUGUAUAAUUACAUUCUUCCUUUCAGUGUUUGGCAAUGGGUUUGGAUCGGUGGAGUUGGAAGUUGGAUGAUUCUGGUACUUUUGUUGUCAAGACAAAUUACCGGAGUCUUUAGCUUAUGUCCAUUCUCCCUUGCCAGCGGAUAAUUCUAUGCUUUCGGAUGGUAAUUAUCUUAUUCAGAAUUGUUGGAACUCUCUUGCUUCCUUAAAGGUUUGUUGUUUCAUUUGGAAAAUUGGUAAGUAGAGAAUAGCUACAAAAGAUGUGUUAUUUAAAUGGAAUAUUAUUCAUAGACCAAUAGAUUUGAAUUGUGUGUUGUGUCUUUAGUAUCUUGAAUCGUUAGAACAUUUGCUUAUCUCUUGUAUUAGUUUUGUAAAUAUGUGUGACUGAAGAUUCUAGUGAUUAUUCCUCAGUCAAUGCCAAAAUUUCUGAUGUUUCAUGAUUCCUAUUGACAGCCUGAGGAAAGAAAAUGUGGAGAUUAUCAUGGUUUUGUGUGGUGUGGUCUUUGUGGGGCAUGAAAAAUGAAGUUGUAUUCAAUGCCCAGAAAAUCUCUUCUUUUCAUUUACUAGAUUUAGUUCAAGUUAUAUCUUGGUCUUCGUAUUUUUCUUUUGUAGAUAAAUUGGUGUUUUAAUUCCUAGAUUGUUUAAAAAAAGUUACUUUUUAUAGUUUGGAUUUAUAUUGUGAUUAAAUCUUAAAAUUUUAAUUCUAAUUUGUAUAUUUUUAUAAUGUACUCAUAUUAUUUUUUUGUCUAGUAUGUUUUUGAUUAAAUUCAAUGAUAUGAUAUGUUGCCAAAGUAAUUUCUACUUUUAUUAAAAUUAUAUAUAUACUAGUAUGUGACUAUUUAUGAGAAUUGUGAUCAGCCUAAACGAAGAUAUAAUUUGGCCAAAUAAUAACAUUUAUAUGAUGAUAAAUAUGUAAUAAUUAUAAAGUUCUAUUUUUCAUCUAAAUAAUAUUCGGUCUAAAAAAGACUAUUGUUUGACAAAACUAAUUAUUAAUAUUUAUCAUUACAUUGAAAAUUCAUUUCUUCAAUUCUUUUUAUCAGUCCAAAUUCUAUUUUUUUACCUAAGCCAUGGAAGAUCCUAUGCCGAUUUAGUAAAUCAAUCUGUUAAUUGUGAGCUUCAAAUUAAAAAGUGCCUAUAAUUUAUCUUUGACUGUUUCACAAUCCAAAUAUGUAUCUAUUUUGAGGUUACUACUUUUGGAAACAAGCAUAUAAAUAAGCGAAGAAACUUGUGCUCAAUUCACCAUCUCUCAACAUUAUAUCUUCAACAAAAAAAAGAACAAAAGAAAAAUGGCUCGUCUGGCAUGUUGUUUGGUCUUGAUCUCUUUGUGCUUAUGCCUUGUUCUUGAGCCUGCUUUUGCAGCCAAGAAAGGACACAAGACCCUUAAGGUCAAAUCCACCAAGCACAUUGCCCCAGCAAGUGCACCUUUUCCUUCUGCUAUUCAAACAGAACAAGCUUUGAUCCAACAACUAUGCCAGGAUACAAGGAAAUCCAAAUUGUGCCGCAAAAUUGUUCAAGGUGAAAGGGUAGCUUUAGAACCAGUCGCUGAGGCCAAGAUUGCCAUUGAUAUUGCCACAUCCAUGGCAUCAAGGGUUGGUGCAUACAUGUCAACCCAACUUAAAACAAACCGUGUUAAGAUUCUUUCAAGAGGGUUUGUGAAAGUUUGCAAGUUCAAUUAUGACAAUGCAAUUGUUGACUUGAACCUUUCAUACAUUAACUUUGAAUCCAACACCAAGAAAGCCAUUGAGAGUCUCAAACAAGCUGAGAUUAAGAUUGGAUUCUGUGUUAAUUCUUUGAAAUCAGCAAGUAAAAAUGCUGAAAUUCCACCAGUUCAUGAAGCCAACAAAGUGAUUCAGAGUUUGAUAAAGGCAGCAGAAUCUGUUGCUAAGAAACAAACACACUAAGCAACAUAUAGCCAGUAUGUGUGUCCAUUUUGCCUUUUAUUUGAGAGAUGUGGAACAUGUUUUUGUUUCUCUUUUUCUGAAUUUUGGUUACAGAAACAAGUUCUUUUUUUUGUACUCUUAUUAAUGUAUUGUUAUCAUAAAACAAUUUUAAUGAAGGGACACAGUUUACAAUAAUUAGAUUAUGUCUGUGUUUACAUAGGGUAAAGAUUAUUUGCUUCGAGAUAUAUUUGAUUUUAGUUUCUUAUUUAAUUUUAUCAACAUAAUUUAAGAAAUUAAUAAAUAAUAUAAAAAUAAAAUAUAAUUUGACUAAAGUAUCUUAUUAAAUUUUCACAUAUUUCUACACAUAACUUUUCGUCAUAAAGUCAACCCAAACUACAACUAAUUGAAACAAACUUGGAAUAGAAGUUAUUAAGAGAACGCUGAAGAAAGAUUAUUACAUUGCAAAGUGGAGAAAAAUAGGGAAGAUAUAGUUGCAUCCCAAUUUCACUAUUUAUAUUAAAAAAAAUCUAAAGAGUAUUAUAUUUACAAAUGAAUAAAAAUUUGAAAUAAAAUUUAUAAAUAAUUAUUAAAUUAGGCAGGAAAAGGCAUUAAAUAAAUAAGGUUGAUUGAAAAUAUAUAUAUAAUUUAUCCCUCGUGAUUGACAUUAUAAGUGAUGCAUGUAAGCUUAGGUGUGUUGCUUUGAGUUUUUCGCUUUUAAACUUUGAUUCUGUGCAGUUGUGAAGGUUUACUAGCGUUAAUAAAAUGAUUAUCUGGUUGUGUUAAAUAAUGGGUUUAUUAAUUCUCACUGCAAUUUCCGUAAGCAUGUUAUAAUGAACUAUUAGUUUUCUCAUUAAAAGCAAAACUUUGUGGUCGGAAUGAGUGGGAAAUCAAAUAGUGAAAUAGUAUAGAGAAAAGAGAAUAACAUAGCGGAUUUGGUAACAAUGUUCAACCAAUGUGCUUACGUCUCUGGGAACAUUGAGAGACUUUCACUAUGUAUUAUUAUUAGAGAAUAAAGAUUUGUGUUUAACUAUUUUUCUGCUUGUUACAUUAGGUUUACAUAACAUAUAUAUAUAUAUAUGACACUCUACCUCAUCCCUUUUACAUCAGCCCAAUUGCAUAACUUGUAUUGCUAUUAUCUAGAGAAUAUAAGUCAUAGCACAACAAUUUCCACUUCGGCGAAUAUCAUCAAUCUCCAUCUUCCGUUGUUGGGUUGGGGGUUCUCAAUAGUCUAACAUCAAUGAAUGUUCAACAAAUUCACACAAUGCCUGAACUUGUCCACGAUAACCGACUUGGUUAAUAUAUCAGCUGAAUUUUCUCAAGUGUGAAUCUUCUACAAUAAUAUAUUUCCACAAGCUACCAACUCUCUGAUCUUGUGAAAUCUCACAUCAAUAUGUUUGGCCCUAGCAUCACAGACAUGGUUCUUCACCAAUAAGAUAACACUCAUACUGUCACAAUGCAGCAGAACUCUACCUUGCUCAAUGUUUAAUUCAUUUACUAGUUCCAUAAGCCAUAGGGCAUCAUUAGAAGCAUCACCAACUGUCAUGUACUCUACUUCAACUGCAAACAUAGCAACAACAUACUGAGUUGAUGAUCUCCACAUAAUUGGUCCACCUACAAGGGUGAAGACAAACUCUGUUGUGGACCUUCUAUCAUCCAACUCUCCUACAUAGUCUAAAUCGACAUAACCAAUAAUUGAAGGCUUACUCUAUUGACUGCCAAACAUGAUAUCUAUACAUGUAGUCCCCUUCAAAUAUCUGAAAGUCCAUUUGACUACUUCCCAAUGUUGCUUCCCUAUUUUAGACAUGUACUUACAUACUUGAUUAACUGUUUGUGCCAAGUUCGAUCUAGUACAAACUAUAGGAUACAUCAAGCAACCCACUACACUGGUAUAUGGAACCUUUGACAUCUACUUCUUCUCUUCAUUUUUCUUUGGACACUGAUCUAGGGAAAUCCUGCAGUGGUUUGCCAAUAGAGUGCUUACUACUUUAACAUUGCUCAUAUCAAAUCUUUCUAUGAUCUUUUCAACAUAGCUUUGUUGGGAGAGCCAUAGUUUUCUAGCUCCCCUAUCCCUGUGAAUCUCCAUCUCGAGAACCUUCCUACAAGCCCCUAAAUCUUUCAUGUCAAACUCCUUACCUAGUAUGAUUUUCAGCUCAUUGAUAUCACUCAAAUGAUUAGUUGCAAUCAACAUAUCAUCAAUAUAAAGUAGCAGAAAAUAAAAGAACCAUCAUCAAGGCUUCUCACAUUAACACAACAAGCAUACUCACAUUGUUUGUUACUAAACUUCAACAUAUAAGUGCCAAACCGCUUGUACCAUUAUUUGGGAGACUGCUUCAACCCAUAUAGAGACUUCUUUAACUUGCAAACCACGUGUUUCUGUCCAACUGCACUAAACCCUUCUGGUUAUGUCAUGUAAAUUUUCUCCUCUAAUUCACAAUAGAGAAAGGCAAUCUUCACAUUCAUUUGUUCUAAGUGCAUAGCCCAACUGGCUACCAUGGCAAGCAUUGUCCUGAUAGAAGUGCGCCCACCAUUGGAGAGAAAAUCACAUUGUAGUUGAUCCCCUUCUACUAUGAAUAUUUUUGCUAUGAGAUGAGCCUUGGAUUUUCCCCCUUCUUUUUAUGAUAUUGUUGGCUUCCUCUUGUACACCCACUUGCCCCUAACUGCAUACUUGCUAGGGAGCAAUGGGACAAGCUCCCAAGUUUGGUUCUUGUGUAGAGACUCCAUCAUGACACUCAUCCAUUGUUCUUUCUCUUGGCUAUUUAUAGCCUAUCAAAAGCUGCAUGGAUCUCCUGAACUGAUAUAGAGAGAAACUGGAGUCAUAUCCUCAAAACCAUAGCUAUAUGGACGUUUUAUAGGACGUCUAUCCCUGCCUCUAUCAAGUAGAUACUCCUACACACCUGAACUCUCCGCCUGAUCAUCAUGUUCUUGACUUGAACUAGUGCAUGAUUCCUUCCCUUUAUUCACAUGAACCAUUUCAUUGCUAACUGGAGUCAUAUUUGAUCUUAAAGUCUCUCCAUUUGGCCUAGACACCUCUGUUAAAACUAACUGUUUCAGCAUGAAAUCUUCAUCAAACACUACAUUUCUACUCAACACCACUUUUCUGGAAAUUGGAUCCCAGAACUUAAACCCCUUCACACAUUUGGUAUAUCCAAUGAAAAUACACCUCUUUGAUUUGGGGUCAAGAUUAGAUCGUUCAUCACUAGGUACAUGUACAUAAGCAGGACAACCAAAUAUGCAUAACAUAUUAUAAUUGACUGGAUUACCUAUUCAUACUUUUUCUAAAACUUUACCACGCAAUGAAGUUUGUGGUGUCUAUUGAUAACAUAACAUGUCAUACUAAGUGCCUCUUCCUAAAAUCCUUUGGAAAUUCCAACAUUCAGUCUCAUACAUUUGGCCCUCUCUAUAAGAGUUUUAGUCAUCAUCUUUGCAACACCAUUCUGUUGAUGAGUCUUCUUCGCUGAAAAGUGGCUCUAAAUGCCAUGUUCCUCAGAGAAUUUCUGAAAUUGUGAGUCUUUGUACUUCAUACCAUUGUCUAACCUCAGAUAUUUAAUUUUUCUAUCAGUCUAGUUCUCUACCUCUGCCUUCCAAACCUUGAACAUGACAAAGACUUUUGACUUAUGCUUCAGAAAAUAUACUCAAACCUUAUGAGAAAAGUCAUCAACGAAGGUAGCAAAGUACCUAGAACCUCCUAGGGAUGGUUCUUGAGUGAGUCUCCAUACAUCAAUGUGGACAUAGUCUAGAAUGCCCCAAGUCCUGUGUUGGUCAGCCUUGAAACAAGGGGUGACAAUUGAAUGAAUUUGGGUGGAUAUGGAUCAUAAUGGAUGGAUAUGGAUUUGGAUCAUAAUUGAUGGAUGGAAAGUCAUCCACCAAUCCAUAUGAAUCCAUAAAAUCACAUUUCUAAGUUAUCCAAUCCAUCCAUAUCCAAUGGAUUCCAAUUCAUCCAUAUAUCCAUUUUAAUGGAUUGGAUGGAUGUGUAUCCAAUCCAGUUUUGUUAAUAUGAACUAAAGCAUUUUUUGAAGGAUAAAAGUCAUUUUAAUAUUAUUAUUUAAUAGUAUUUUUAAAAUCAAUUUACAAACAUUUUUAAAAUAUGUUUUUUUAAAUGUGUUUGUUUAAAUGUAUUCUUUUUAAAACACUUUUUAAAAAAUCUCAAUAUUUAAAUUUACAUGUGAAAGCUCUGAAAGACAACAGUCUAGGUGAGGUUAGAGACACUAUAUUAUGUAAUCAUGCAUUUUUUUCUUGUGCUCGAUAAUGACACAAAAUGUUAUAUAUAUCCUUAUUGAAACUUUUUGAUAGAAUGAUUUGAAUCGAUCUCAAUAUCGCUACGAUACAUCAUUUAUAACGGCCAUAAAAUUAUAUUGAUAAAAAUCGGUCAUACUGACCGAUUUUCAAUUGAACAGUACCAGUCAUAUCGACCGAUUUUCAAUUAAAUCGUACUGAUCAUAUCGGCUGUUUCAUUUAAACUUAUUAUUUUUAAAGAAAAUGAUUUAUUUUUACCAAAAUAUUUGUAUAGAUAAUCAAACACACAACAACUAUAUUUUUUAUACAUUAAAACAUGGUCUAGAGUAUAGAUUUUUUAACAAGUAGUAUAAAUUAAAAUAGUUAUUGUCUUCUUUAUUGAUUUUUCAACAUUAAUAUUAGUCUAAAAUAUAUGAAUAUCUAUCUGGUUUAAUAGUGAACGACUAGUUGAACCAUCAUACAAUAUACCACUACUCUGACCGGAUUGAUGACCGGUAUGGUAUUAAUAAUAUUGGUUUAUAUUUUGCACAUUGGGAUUGCAUAGCAAUGUUGGGUCUGCAUGUUGCUUUACGGGAAAAAAAUUAUUUUUAUGUUUUGGAUGGAUAUACAUGUGGAUAUUCAUUGGAUAUAAUGCACGAAUUUGAAUUCAUCCAUUAUCAAAUUAUCUAUUAGAUUAUAUCCAUUUAAAUCUAUUGGCUCCAACGGAUGAAUUUGGAUAGAUUGUGGAUAGUGGAUAAUUUUACCACCUCUACUUGAAACUAACUUGUAUAUGUUUCUCAAACACACAAUACUUGCACAAACCAAGCUUGUAUUCGCUGACUGUCCUAAACAGUCCAUUUUUGCAUAUUCUAUCAUAUCACACACACUAAUAUGACCUAAACGCAUAUGCCAUAAUUUUGUAGUAUGGUGGAAAUUUACUGAAAUCUCUUCGACCACUCCAGCAACUCAACCUACAAUUGUUCUCCCUAACACCUUGUAGGUUUUCCCAGCAUUCCUCUUAUCCUUCAUCACAGUUAGAGCACCUUUGCAUACUCGAAGAAUAUCAUUGUCCACAUAUGCCCUAUAGCUAAAUCCUUUGACCUGCAAUGUCCCCAAAGAAAUCAAAUUCUUUUUCAAAUCUGGUAUGUCCCUAACCUCACAUAACGUCUUUACUACACCAUCAUCCAUCACAAUUCUAAUUUCUCCCAUAUCAAUAAUUACAUAUGCUUUAGUAUUUAUGAGAUACACAAAACCAAAAUUGUAUACCCUGUAUAUGGUGAACCAUUCUCUGUUUGGCGUCAUAUGGUGGGAAUAACCAGUGUCAAGUAUCUACUCAUUUGCACUAUUAUUUGAUGAUACAGAUAGUUGAUCAACUUCACUAAUGUAAUCAGAGUCAUCUUUCAGUGCAACAUUUGAAAAUGUAGAUACUUCAUCUUUCCCCACUAGCUUGUUAGGACUACAUUCAUUGGGACAAUCCUUUUUUAAUGUCCAAUUUGUUGGCACUUAUAGCACUUUACUAGUGUUCUGUCCCUAGAAUUUGGUCUUUUCACUUUGGUAGGACCUCCUCUUCCUUGUCUCCUCCCACGCGCAUGGCUCCUUUUCACAUACAGACCAUCACCUUGAGACCCUUCUCCUACAUUUUGUUUUCUUUGAGUGUGAGACAGAAGUAUAGAUGUGAUCUCAUCUAGUUUGAUUGAGUAUUUCCCAUAUGUCAAUGUUGUGAGCAAUUGUUCAUAGGAAUUUGGCGAAUAACACAAUAAUAUUAUUGCUUUGUCCUUAUCAUCAACUUUCAUAUCAAGUUUCAGCAAGUCAUUGAUCAAUUGAUUAAAAGUAUUGAAAUGUUGUUUCAAAUCAGCACACUCCUGCAUCAUUAACCCAUAAAGUCUCUGUUUUCAAAUACACCUUAUUUGUUAGAUACUUGAACAUGAAUCGCUUCUCUAAUGUCUCACAUACAUCUAUUGGUGACGUCAAAUCCAUAACAUGAUACACCACCUCAUCUUGUAGACAAAGCCAUAUGGUUCCCACAUCGUUCUCCUUAAACUCUUCCAAAUCCAGUUGAUCCAUACCAUCUGGUUUAUUCCCACGCAACGCCUUUGAUAGAUAUUGUUGAGCGAACACAUCUUUAACCCUCCUUUGCCACAAUCAGAAAUUACCAGUUCAAUCAAAGUUCCCCACCUCGAAUUUGGCACCUGAGUUAAGGGUCAUACGACACCAAUUAUUGGAAACCAGCGAGUAAUCAAAUAGUAAAAUAGUAUAGAGAAAAGAGAAUAACACAAGGGAUUUAGUAACGAGGUUCGGCUAGUUGCGCUACGUCCUCGGGAGUGUUGAGAGACUACCAUAUUGUGUUAUUAGAGAAUAAAGAUUUGUGUUUGACAAUUCUUCUCUUUGUUACAUAAGGUUUACAUAACAUAAAUAUAUAGUCAUCUACCCUAACCCUUUAUAUCAGCCCAAACCCAUAACUUGUAUUGUUGUUAUCUAGAGAAUAUGAGUCAUUGCAAAACAUUUUGAUAUAAGUUUUUUUAAUAAAAUGGACAAUCAGAUAAGUAGAAUUGCUUAAAUUCAAUGUUUAUAACUUCUCUUCCUGUGAUGAUAGAUAAUUAGAAUAAGUUUAAUUUGUCAAAGAAUUGUGUAUUUUAAGUAGUUUAAUACUCACUACUUUGACUUUUAGGUUUGAGAAAUCUGUGAUUUUUACUGCAAUGAUGUAUAUAUAUUGCCUGCUAUUAGUUAUAUCAUAAAAGUAAAUUACACUGACAUCUCAUGAGUUUUACUGAAAUUAUAUAAAACACUAAUCCAUUUUUUAAACAUACACAAACUAUCCAUAAUUAUAUAUAUACAUUAUAUUGAUUACCUCUGUAUGAGAUAUAAGUAUAAUUUCUUAAACAAAAAAUGGUAAUGAUUGUAAUUAAGUUAAACAAAAUAUGGUAUAUUGUGAAGACAAGUCCAAAUAGUAUAAGAGUCAAUGUCUAUUCAUUAUUUUGGUUAGUUACAUAUAGUAUAAGAGAUUUAAACCUUUCAUUAAAAUUAUUGAUGCAAUUUGUAAUUAACCGAAAAUAAUGAAUAUAUAUUGACUCUUAUACUAUUUGGAUUUUUCGUCAUGAUAUACCAUAUUUUGUUUGAUUUAAUUAAUGAAUAAUGAAUUUAUAUUGACUCUUAUACUAUUUGGUUUUGUCUUCAUGAUAUACCAUAUUUUGUUUGACUUAAUUAAUGAAUAUAUAUCGACUCUUAUACUACCGGAUAAACAAUGCAAUGUAUAUAUAUAAUUAGGGGUGGUUUGUGUAGGUUUAAAAAAUGAUUAAUGAUUUAUGUAAUUUCACUAAAACUCGUGGGAUACUAGUGUGAUUUACUCUAAAUUAAUCUUGUACCAAAAAAGCCUAUAGAGUAAACUGUAAAGUAAUUUAUAAGAGAUCUUAGUGCCUUUCGCUACAGUUUUUGUUCAUAGGUUAAGGUUAGAAAUUCAUAAUUUCUAAUUAAGUUGAUCAUCAUAUAUUUAAUACACUUAUAUCGACUAUUUAUUUUGGGUACAAAACAUGUUAUCUAAUUGUGACAACCCAUUGGAAUUCUAAAGCUGAUAACAAUUAUAAAUUUAAUAAGUGGAUACUGAAAUGAUUGACCUAAAUGAGAUAAUGAGAAACUUAUAAUUUAAUGCAUAAGGAACAGUUAUGGUCUCCAUGAAACUAAAUCGCAAGUAGUUUUCACAUUUCCCCGUUAGAGAGAAAACAAAGGUCCCAAAAAGAAUUCAGGAUUUGGUUGAGGAAGAUCAUCAUAACAAAACUCUCUCCAAAGGCAUACAAAAUGAAUAGAUGUGAGAAACAUGGAUUGAUGUAUGAUUUUGUAUCCUUAUUUUAUAUUAUGUUUGAGAAUCAUGAUAAUUAAAAUCCUAGUAUAGGUAUUUCGCCAAAGGAAAAUGUGACAAGUGGUAUCAGAGCGUAGAUUCUAAAUUUUAUGAUUCUCUAUAAAGGGUGUCUUUCCAAAUUUUGUAUGAACCCUAAUUUUAAUUUGGAGAUUUUAUGCUUACACUAUCAUAUUAUAAAGAUUGAUAAUUUUAAAUUGAUUAUUUCCGUUAGGAAUGUUUUAUUUUGUGUGAUAAAUAUACACACAUAAUAAAAUAAUGUAAUCAUAUGAAUGAUGUUGUUAGUUUGAUUUUUGUUCAUACAUCAAAGAAAUUGUAUCAUGAAGUUAAUGUGAUGAUCAGAACUUACUCUUCCAAUUUUUUUACCUUGACAUGUAUACGAUCUACAAUAUUACAUAAUCUAUAUUCGUACAUUAUGAUGUUUUAAUUAUAUAUCUUAUCCAUCAUAUUUGUAGCUUGCCUAGUGAUUGAUUUAGAAUUUCAUUGAUGCGUUAUUCAUUAAUCAAUAAUAUACCCAUAUAUAGUUGUAUUAUGCAUAUACAUAUUACCAGAGGCGGAUCUUUGUUGAAGUAGGUGGGGGCAACUCCCCUGAAUAUUUUUUUUUGUGAGAAAACUUGUAUUCUUGGGAAGAUGCUGCAACACUUGAACAAACAAAUGAUUGAUGGAUAUGCACGUAAAAUCUCCAAAGCGUGUGUUACCAUACUAACCUUUAGGUUCGAUUCGCCCCCACCAAUUUAUGUAUAUUGGAUGCAAAUGGAAUGAACAGUGAAUCCUUUUCAGGAUACUUUGGAAAACCUUGAUAUGUUUUGCACAAACACAACAAGCGUAUCUUUCAACAAUAGUUUACAAACUUACGUUUCCUACACUUCUCUCAUGCAUUAGAGAAAUGGAGGAUGAUUUCUUGGAUGAGAAAAUUCGGAUGGUGAUUAUGAUUUCAAAUGUCUCUAUUUAUAGAGAAGUUCAUAUCACUUGAGGGAAAGAAGUGCCUUUAGAGUGCUGUACGCGUAAACGAAAGGUUAUGUAGUGUAACGGUUCAAUAAAUAACUGAAUAGGCGUGAUAGCCUAGCAGUAGCAACAAUGCUUUGUUAAGUUGUGUGUCCUUGGUUCGAAUCUUAACGGAUGCAUCUCUUCAUUUUUAUUUCUACGCAUUAAAUAAAAACGUGAAAUCAAAAUCAUUCCCAAUCCCCCACCAUUUUAAGUUCAUUGCCUAAAGGUGCAACCACUAAACCAAAGGACAUCUUCAUAGAUAAAUCAUUCACAAUAUUUAUAUAUUCAACCGUGAAUUCUGAUAUUUUGUAAAUAUCAUUCACAAUCCCCCACCAUUUUCAAAAUAUAAGAAAUCUCAUAAAUUUGGAAAUAUCAUGGUUUCAGAUAAUGGUAUAUUACGAUUUGAACCAUUACUUAAUAAGUUAUGGGUUCCACUUACUCCGAAUAGAAAUUGGUAGACAAGCUUUGAACCACCUAUUCAUUAGAAUAAGCGUGCACAACUCACACAUGAAAUCUCGGUAUUAUUGAAAGAAUUAUAAAUAUUACACAUUUGAUAAGGCCUUGUGUCAUGUAUCCUUUUCAUGAGAAUUUAAGAGUAAAGCCCUUUAACUCUAUGAAGCGGCCAACUUCAUUCUCAUAUAGGUAGACUAUAUCGGGAAUGCACCGAUAAUAAGCAUUCCAGCAAAUUUUUGCUAUAUGUCUAUUAAGAGUAAAACUCAACCUUCCAACUUUGUUCUUAUGGUCCAAGUACUUUUAUCACUUAGGAUGUGUCUAUAGUCAAGUACUUGCAAUCACUCUAUAUUAUUUUCCAUCAUUGAACUCAAAACUUGGUGCUACUCAAGUGUGAGUUGAGUUAACACUAUUGGUGAUCAAUUAGACAUGGGCUUGAGUCCCAUCCCCAAUGAUGUUUUCAACACCAUAUCUUUUGUCAGACCUUUCGUCAAAGGAUCUCCAAGAUUCUUUUCAGUUCUAACGAACACUAUGGAGAUUACUCUGUUUGCAAUUUAUUCCUUUACAUAGCUAUGUCUUAAACCAAUAUGUCUGGAUUUUCCAUUAUACACUUGGUUGUAUGCUUUUGAUAGCGUAGACUGACUAUCACAAUGUAUAGAUACUGGUGUCAUUGGCUUUGGCCAAAUAGGUAUCUCAUACAAUAAGUUUCUUAGCCAUUCAGAGCAAUAAAUUCUGCAGCCAUGGUGGAUUCGUCUAUGCAAGUUUGUUUCUUUGAACUCCAAGAAACCGCACCUCCACCAAGGUUGAAGAUCCAUCCACUUGUAGAAGCGUGAUCUUCAACAUAAGUUACCCAACUAGCAUGUGUAUAUCCUUCCAAAACUGAAGGAUGUCCAUUAUAGGUUAAAUUAUAGUUAAUUGUUCCUUUUUAAGCUGUGUGUCCUUGGUUCGAAUCUCAACAGAUGCAUCUCUUCAUUUUUAUUUCUACGCAUUAAAUAAAAACUUGAACUCAAAAUGAUGAAGCAAAGGAUGGAACUCACAACUGUCAGUUCAUUGCCUAAAGGUGCAAUCACUAAACCAAAGGACAUCUUCAUAGAUAAAUCGUUCACAAUAUUUAUAUACUAAACUGUGAAUUCUGAUAUUUUGUAAAUAUCAUUCACAUUUUUUUCUUCCAAUUUUUAAAACUUUUUUUUACUAAGUGUCUCCAAUAUUUAGUCUCAAACAUCUAGCCCUCUCUAUAAGAGUUCUAUUCAUCAUCUUUAUAACAACAUUCUGAUGAGGAGUCUUCUUCACUGAAAAGUGCCUCUAAAUGCCAUGUUCGUCACAUAACUUCUAAAAUUGUGAGUCUUUGUACUUCAUACCAUUGUCUGACCUUGGGUUUAUGACUUUUCUAGCAGUCUAGUUCUCUACCUCUGUCUUCCAAACCUCGAACUUGACAAAGACUUUUGACUUAUGCUUUAGAAAAUAUACCCAAAUCUUAUGAGAAAAGUCAUCAACGAAACUAACAAAGUACCUAGAACCUCCUAGGGAUGGUUCUUGAGUGGUCUCCAUACAUCAGUGUGGACAUAGUGUAGAAUGCCAUGAGUCCUAUGUUGGUCAGCCUUGAAAUUAGGGGUGGCAAUUGAAUGGAUUUGGAUGAAUAUGGAUUUGGAUCAUAAUGGAUGGAUGAAAAGUCAUCCACCAAUCCAUAUAAAUCCAUAAAAUCACAUUUCUAAAUUAUCCAAUCCAUAAUGGAUGGAUGAAUUUCAUUAUUGCAUGUUGCUUUAUGGGAAAAAAUAUUUUUGUUUUUAUUUUUUUUGGGUGGAUUGGAUAUCCAUCCAAAUGGAUAUACCUGUGGAUAUUCAUUGAAUAUAAUGCAUGAAUUUGAAUACAUUCAUUAUCAACAGUAUCUAUUGGAUUAUAUCCAUUUAAAUCUAUUUGCUCUAACGGAUGAAUUUGGAUAGAUUUAAUUUGGAUGGAUUGUGGAUAAUAUUGCCACCUCUACUUGAAACUAACUUGUAUUUAUUUCCCAAGCAUACAAUACUUGCACAAACCUAGAUUGUAUUUUGUGACUCUCCUAAACAUUCUUUUUUUUUUUGCAUAAUUCUAUCAUGCCACGCACACUAAUAUGACCCAAACGCAUGUGCCAUAAUUUUGUAGUAUCAUGGCCUAAAUAUAUUGAAAUCUCUUCGGCCACUCCAGCAACUCAACCUACAAUUUUUCUCCCUAACAUCUUAUAAGUGUUCCCAACAUUCCUCUUACCCUUCAUCACAGUUAGAGCACCUUUGCAUACUCGAAGAAUAUCAUUGUCCACAUAUGCUCUAUAGCUAAAUCCGUUGGUCUGCAAUGUUCCCGAAGAAAUCAAAUUCGUUUUCAAAUCUGGUAUGUGUCUACCCACACAUAACGUCUUCACUACACCAUCAUUCAUCAAAAUUCUGAUUUCUCUCAUGCCAAUAAUUCCAUAUGCUUUACUAUUUAUGAGAUACACAAAACCAAAAUUGUAUACAUUGUAUAUGGUGAACCAUUCUCAGCUUGGCGUCAUGUGGUGGGAAUAAACAAUGUCAAGUAUCUACUCAUUUGCACUUUGAUUUGAUGAUACAGAUAGUAGAUCAACUUCACUGUUGUAACCACAGUCAUCUUUCAGUACAAAAUUUCCAAAUGUAGAUACUUCAUCUUUCCCCACUAGCUUGUUAGGACUCCAUUCAUUGGGACAAUCCUUUUUUUAAUGUCCAGUUUGUUUGCACUUAUAGCACUAUACUAGUGUUCUGUCCCUAGAAUUUCCUUUGGCAGGACCUCCUCUACCUUGUCUCCUCCCACGCGCAUGACUCCUUUUCACAUACAAACAUCACCUUGAGACCCUUCUCCUCCAUUCUGUUUUCUUUGAGAGUGAGACAAAAGUAUAGAUGUGAUCUCAUCUAUUUUGAUUGGGUCUUUCUCGUAUGUGAAUGUUGCCACCAAGUAUUCAUAGGAAUUUGGCAAAGAACAUAGUAAUAUUAUUGCUUUGUCCUCGUCAUCAACCUUCAUAUCAAGUUUCAACAAGUCAUUAAUCACUUGAUUAAAAGUGCUGAAAUGUUGUUGAAAAUCAGCACCCUCCUGCAUUAUCAGGUCAAAAAGUCUCUGCUUCAAAUACAACUUAUUUGUUAGAGACUUGGACAUGAACCGCUUCUCUAAUGUCUCUUAUACCUCUAUUGGUGAUGUCAAAUCCGUAACAUGAGACAUCACUGCAUCUGAUAGACAAAGUCAUAUGGUUCCCACAGCCUUCUCCUUAAACUCUUCCAAAUUCAGUUGAUCCAUACCAUAUGGUUUAUUCCCACGCAACACAUUUGAUAGACCUUGUUGAGCGAACACAUCUUUAAUCCUUCUUUGCCAUAAUCAAUAAUUACCAGUUCCAUCAAACUUGCCCACCUCGAAUUUGGCACCUGAGUUAAGGGAUAUUAGUUAUAUCAUAAAAAAAUAUAAAUUUAAAAUCAUAAUAUAUUUUGUCUUAGUGUUUAAUAUGUUGGAAUAGUCUAUAUACUAAAGAGUAGAUUACGCUGAUAUCUCAUGAGUUUCAGUGAAAUUAUACAAAACACUAAUCCAUUUUUUAAACAUACACAAAUUAUCCCUAAUUAUAUAUAAAUAAAUUAUAUUAACUAUCUUUGUAUGGGAAAUAAGUAUAAUUUCUUAAAUAAAAAAUUAUGAUGAUUGUAAUUAAGUUAAACAAAAUAUGGUAUAUUGUGAAAACCAGUCCAAAUAGUAUAAGAGUCAAUGUCUUUUCAUUAUUUUGGUUAGUUACAUAUACUAUAAGAGAUUUAAACAUUUUGUUCAAAUUAUUGAUGCUGUUUGUAAUUAACCGAAAAUAAUGAAUAUAUAUUGACUCUUAUACUAUUUUGUUUUGUCUUCAUAAUAUAUCAUAUUUUGUUUGACUUAAUUAAUGAAUAAUUAAUAUAUAUUGAUUCUUAUACUACUCGAAUAAACAGUGCAAUGUAUAUAUAUAAUUAAUGGUGGUUUGUGUAGGUUUAAAAAAGGAUUGAUGAUUUAUGUAAUUUCACUAAAUACUCAUAGGAUGCUAGUGAGAUUUACUCUAAAUUGAACUUGUACCAAAGUUUAAUUUGUCAAAAAAUUGUGUAUUUUAAGUAGUUUGAUACUCAUUGCUUUGACUUUUAGGUUUUAGAUAUCUGUGAUUUUUACUGCAAUGAUGUGUAUAUUUUGCCUGCUAUUAGUUAUAUCAUAAAAAAUUAUAAAUUUAAAAUCAAAAUAUAUUUUGUCUUAGUGUUUAAUAUGUUGGUAUAGUCUAUAUACUAAAGAGUAGAUUACACUGAUAUCUUAUGAGUUUCAGUGAAAUUAUACAAAACACUAAUCCAUUUUUUAAACAUACACAAAUUAUCCCUAAUUAUAUAUAAAUAAAUUAUAUUAACUAUCUUUGUAUGGGAAAUAAGUAUAAUUUCUUAAAUAAAAAAUUAUGAUGAUUGUAAUUAAGUUAAACAAAAUAUGGUAUAUUGUGAAAACCAGUCCAAAUAGUAUAAGAGUCAAUGUCUUUUCAUUAUUUUGGUUAGUUACAUAUACUAUAAGAGAUUUAAACAUUUUGUUCAAAUUAUUGAUGCAGUUUGUAAUUAACCGAAAAUAAUGAAUAUAUAUUGACUCUUAUACUAUUUUUUUUUGUCUUCUUAAUAUAUCAUAUUUUGUUUGACUUAAUUAAUGAAUAAUGAAUAUAUAUUGAUUCUUAUACUACUCGAAUAAACAGUGCAAUGUAUAUAUAUAAUUAGGGGUGGUUUAUGUAGGUUUAAAAAAGGAUUGAUGAUUUAUGUAAUUUCACUAAAUACUCAUAGGAUGCUAGUGUGAUUUACUCUAAAUUGAACUUGUACCAAAAAAAGCCUAUAGAUUAAACUGUAAAGUAAUUUAUGAGAGAUCUUGGUGCAUUUUGCUACAAUUUUUGUUCAAAGGUUAAUGUUAGAAAUUCAUAAUUUCUAAUUAAGUUGAUCAUCAUAUAUUUAAUAUAAUUAUAUCGACUAUUUAUUUUGGGUUACAAAACAUGUUAUCUAAUUGUGACAACCCAUUGGACUUCUAAAGCUGAUAACAGUUAUGAAUUUAAUAAGUGGAUACUGAAAUGAUUGGCCUAAAUGAGAUAAUGUGAACCCUAUAAGUUGUUAAUACAUAAGGAACAAUUAUGGUCUCCAAGAAACCAAAUCACAAGUAGUUUUCACCUUUCUCCGUUAGAGAGAAAACAAAGGUCCCAAAAGUAAUUCAGGAUUUGGUUGAGGAAGAUCAUCAUAUCAAAACUCUCUCCAAAGGCAUACAAAAUGAAUAGAUGUGAGAAACAUGGAUUGAUGUAUAGUUUUGUAUCCUUAUUUUAUAUUAUGUUUGAGAAUCAUGAUAAUUAAGAUCUUAGGGUAGGUAUUCCACCAAAGGAAAAUGUGACAAGUGGUUUUAGAGCGUAGAUCCUAAAUUUUAUGAUUCUCUAUUAAAAGUGUUUUUCCAAAUUUUGUAUGAACCCUAAUUUUAAUUUGGCGAUUUUAUGCUUAUGCUAUCAUGUUAUAAAAAUUGAGAAUUUUAUUUUGUGUGAUAAAUGUACACACAUAAUAACAUAAAGUAAUCAUAUGAAUGAUGUUGUUGGUUUGAUUUUUGUUCAUACCUCAAAGAAAUUGUAUGAUGAAGUUAAUGUGAUGAUGAGAACUUAGUCUUCCAAUUUUUUUACCUUGACAUUUAUACGAUUUACAAUAUUACAAAAUGUAUUUUCGUACAUUAUGAUGUUUUAACUAUGUAUCUCAUCCAUCAUAUUUGUGGCUUGCUUAGUGAUUGAUUUAGAAUUUCAUUGAUGCGUUAUUCAUUAAUCAAUAAUAUAUCCAUAUAUAGUUGUAUUAUGCAUAUACGUAUUGCCAAAGGUGGAUCUUAGUUGAAGCAGGUGGGGGCAACUGCCCUUGGAUAUUUUUUUUUCCAAUUUCUUUAAAUAUUUUAUUUUUCAUUUUUCAAAUAUUUUUUUUUUACAUUCUGCAAAUUGUGUAAUCAUUUUAAAAAUUAUAGAUAAAGUUUUUUAUAUGUAGAUCUUAAUAAUGCUUAUAAUAUUUUACUCAAUUUGAGUUCAUAAUUAUUUUACCCUUAUGAAAUAUAUUAUAGGAUUAGAGGUUGUCUUUGUCAAACUUUGCAGCAAAAGUUCUAAGAUUCUAUGGAUUUUAUAUAUCACUUAAUAUUGAUAACAUGUGUAUUUUUGUGCUAAAAUUGUACUUGUGGAUUUCAAUGCGAGUUUAAUAGCAUAUUUACUUGAGAUGUUAAUAAUUUGAAAGUUUUGUUGGUGAUGUCGUUAGAUAUUUAUGUUUGAAAAACUCUCAACCAUAUCUGAAUUAAGUGUAACUUUGAUGAUACAAGAAAAGUGAGUGCAUAUUAUUUGUUUGGUCGAGUUAUUCGUCUUAUUUUAACUAUUCUAGGUUUUUAGUUACUAGAGGAAGAUCAUUUUCAGCAACAAAGACAAUCAAACAAAACUAUGUAGCAAAAUAGAAGGUGAAUUUCUUGUAGACAACAUGAUGUAUUUUAUUGAAAAAUAAAUAGUUUAAAAUUGUACUUUUAAUUCAAUCAUCAUUGAAUUGAAGCAAUUUAACAAUGAGUGACAAUUUAAACGAAUGUACAUUAUUUAACGUCUUUAGUUGUUAAUUAUUGUUAUUUAGAAUUAAUAUGUUACUCUGAAUCUUUAAAAUAAUUAUUUAUAUUUUUAUAUGUUUUGUUCCUCAAUCAAUCUUAAUUAAAAGUUAUAAUUAAAUAUUAUUGUUGCCCCUCUUAAACUUUAGUUAACAUCCAACAUAUUGCAUUUACUAUAUUUAAAUGCCAAAAUAUUUUAUAUACUAUAUAUAUAAAUUUUGGUAUUAUAGGACACAUUUUUACCGUCUAUCUUUGUCCAUGACUCCAACCACAUAAUUUUUUUAUUAAUUUGUCAGCUUGUAUUACACACCUGUUUUUAAUUAUAUAUAUAUAUAUUUAUUUAUUUAUUUAGUUUCUAGUUUAUAUGUACUAGCAUGUUGGCAAUCACUCCGUGUCUAUCGACCUGUAUUUUUACUUUUUAAUAUUGAAUAUUUAAUUUUUAUAUAUUUCAUUUUAGAGAAUUAUAUCACUUUUCAUACAUGAUAUUAUAAUUUUUUGAUAAAAAUAUAAAAAUUAAUUAUGAUAUUAUUAGAAAAUGCAUUGAUAUUUUGAUAUAUUUAGUGAAUGUAACUUCCUCUAACCUUCAUUUAUAUUUUUUAUUGUAUGAAAAAUAUUGUAAUAAUUAUUAAUUAUAAGGCAAAAUAGGUAAGUGAAAAUUAUACAAUGUAGGUAGUUAUUUCAUGUUUUCCCUUUAUAUAUAACUAGUGUGUACAGGCACUUGCCAGUGAAUAUUGUAUGGUACUACGUAUUCAAUUUUAUAUAUUUUAUUUUUUAUUUUUAUGAUAAUGUUCAAUUCAAGGUGAGAUAUGUGGUUAAUUAAUAUGUUGGUUGUGAUUACUUAUAUUAUAUGGUUUUUUUGUAAAAAAUAAAUAAUAAUAAGGGCAAAACAGGAAAAUUACACAUGGUGGAAGUUACACCAUGUUUUCCCCUUAUAUAUAGUAUAGAUAUAGAAGUAUCGAUAUAUGUUUACUGUUUAAGGUUAUUAUACAUUUAGUUAUUGUAUAUAUGAUUUGGAUUUAUAUUGUGUAUCAGAUUUGUUAAUCAUUAAAGUCAUCAAGACUUAAAGAUUUAAUUCUAAAUUGUAAUUCUUUUUACAAUGGACUCAUAUUAAAUUAGAUAAUGCAAUAUGUUGCUAAAAUAGUCUAUAUUGUAGAAAUUAAUUUGAUUAAAAUUGUAUAGAUGUUAGUAUGUGCUAUUUUUUGUGAAUUCUGACCAGCUUAAAGAAAUAUAUAAUUAGGCCAAAUAAUAACGUAUAUAAUGAUAAAUAUGUAACAAUUAUAAAGUUGUAUUUUUCAUUUAAAUAAUAGUCGGUCUAAAGAAAAACUAUUGUUUAUUUGUUAGUAUUUGAUCAUUAUAUUUAUAAUACAUUUUACAAAUUCAUUCCUUAAGUUCUUUUUAUCUCUCCAAAUUCUAUUUUUUUCGGUAAGGCAUAUAAGGAUCCUAUGCUGUUUUGUAAAUCAAUCUGUUAAUUGUCAGCUCCAAAGUAAAAAGUUCAUAUUCUUCAUCUUUUACCAUUUCACAAUCCAAAUAUAUAUAUAUAUAGGUUACUACUUUUGGAAACUAUGUAAAUAAACUAAGAAAGUUGUAUUAAAUUCACCAUCUCUGAAAAAUAUCUCUUCAACAAAACAAAAAAAAAACAAAAGAAAAAUGGCUCGUCUGGCAUGUUGUUUGGUCUUGAUCUCUUUGUGCUUAUGCCGUGUUCUUGAGCCUGCUUUUGCAGCCAAGAAAGGACACAAGACCCUUAAGGUCAAACCCACUAAGCACAUUGCCCCAGCAACUGUACCUUUUCCUUCUGCUAUUCCAAUAGAACAAGCUUUGAUCCAACAACUAUGCCAUGAUACAAGGAAGUUCAAAUUGUGCCGCAAAAUUGUCCAAGGUGAUAGGGUAGCUUUAGAAUCAGUCGCUGAGGCCAAGAUUGCCAUUGAUAUUGCCACAUCCAUGGCAUCAAGGGUUGGUGCAUACAUGUCAACCCAGCUUAAAACAAACCGUGUUAAGGUUCUUUCAAGAGGGUUUGUGAAAGUUUGCAAGUUCAAUUAUGACAAUGCAAUUGUUGACUUGAACCUUUCAUACAUUAACUUUGAAUCCAACACCAAGAAAGCCAUUGAGAGUCUCAAACAAGCUGAGAUUAAGGUUGGAUACUGUGUUAAUUCUUUGAAAUCAGGAAGUAAAAAUUCUGAAAUUCCACCAGUUCAUAAGGCUAACAAAGUGAUUCAGAGUUUGAUAAAGGCAGCAGAAUCUGUUGCUAAGAAACAAACACACUAAGCAACAUAUAGCCAGUAUGUGUGUCCAUUUUGCCUUUUGUUUUGAGAGCUGUAGAACAUGUUUGUGUUUCUCCUUUUCUGAAUUUUGGUUACAGAAACAAGUUCUUUUUUGUACUCUUAUUAAUGUAUUGUAAUCAUAAAACAAUUUUAAUGAAGAGUCACAAUUUCCAAUAAUUAGAUUUUGUCUGUGUUUACAUAGGGUAAUGAUUAUUUGCUUAGAGAUAUAUUUGGUUUUAGUUCCUUAUUUAAUGUUAUCAACAUAAUUUAAGAAAUUAAUAAAUAAUAUAAAAAUAAAAUAUAAUUUGACUAAAGUAUUGUUAAUUUUUCACAUAUUUCUACACAUAAAUUUUCAUCAUAAAGUCAACCCAAACAACAAAUAAGUGAAAAAUAUUUGGGAAUAGAGAUUAUUAAGAGAACGCUUAAGAAAGAUUAUUACAUUGCAAAGUGGAGAAAAAUAGGGAAGAUAAUGUAUCUUCUUAUACCAGGAGAGGAGAUAACUUAUCUCCUCUAGCCAGUAAAAAUGUGACAUGUGUGUUAUUUUGUUUAUUAUUAAAAAUAUUUCUAUAGAUAAUGAUGAAACAUGACACAUGUCAUGAUUUCACUGGUAGGAGGAGAUAAUUUAUCUUCUUAUACUAUGAGAUACUUCAUUCUCUUAUAUUAAAAAAUUCGAAAGAGUAUUAUUAUAUUUACAAAUGAAUAAAAAUUUGAAAUAAAAUUUAUAAAUAAUUAUUAAAUCAGGCAGGAAAAGGCAUUAAAUAAAUAAGGUUGAUGAAUAUAUAUAUAUAUAUAUAUAUAUAUAUAUAUUAUCCCUCAUGCAUGACAUUAUAAGUGAUGCACGUAAGCUUAGGUGUGUUGCUUUGAGUUUUUUGCUUUUAAACUUUGAUUCUGCGCAGUUGUGAAGGCUUACUAGCGUUACUAAAAUGAUUAUCUGGUUGUGUUAAAUAAUGGGUUAAAUUGUCACUGCAAUUUCCAUAACCAUGUUAUAAUGAACUAUUAGUUAUCCCAUUAAAAGCAAAACUUUGAUAUAAUUUCUUUUAACAAAAGGGACAAUCAGAUAACUGGAACUGCUUAAAUUCAAUGUUUAUAACUUCUGUCUUCCUGUGAUGAAUUGAUAAUUAGAAUAAGUUUAAUUAUAUUUGUCAAAGAAUUCUGUAUUUUAAUUUUUAAGUAGUUUGAUAGUCACUGCUGUGACUUUUAGGUUUUAGAAAUCUGUGAUUUUUAAAGAAUUGUGUACUUUAAAUAGUUUGAUACUCACUGCUUUGACUUUUAGCUUUUAGAAAUCUGUGAUUUUUACUAUAAUGAUGUGUAUAUACUGCCUCCUAUUAGUUAUAUCAUAAAAAUAUGUAUGCAGUUAAAAUCAUAAUAUAUUUUGUCUUAGUGUUUAAUAAGUAGGUAUAGAUUAUAAAUUUAAAGAGUAAAUUAUAUUGAUAUUUCCUGAGUUUUAGUAAAAUUAUAUAAAAUACGCCCCCUUUUUAAACGUACAUAAAUUACCCUAAUUAUAUGUAUACAUUAUGUUGAUUACCUCUGCAUGAAAUAUAAGUGAAAUUUCUUAAACAAAAAUUGUGACUAUUCUAAUUAAGUUAAAAAAAAUAUGUAAAUUAUCAAGACAACCCCAAAUAGAAUAAGAGUCAAUGUGUAUUUAUUAUUUUGGUUAGUUAAUAUAGUAUAAGAAAUUUAAACAUUUCCUUAUAAUUAUUAAUGCAGUUUGUAACGAACUGAAAAUAAUUAAUAUAUAUUGACUCUUAUACUAUUUAGAUUUUUCUUCAAAAUAUACCAUAUUUUAUUUGACUUAAUUAUAGUCGUCAAUAUUUUUUCUUUAAGAAAUUACAUUUAUUUAUUUGACUGUGGUAGUCAGUGUAAUGUAUAUAACUAUAAGUAAUUUGUGUAAGUUUAAAAAUGGAAUGAAUAAUUUAUGUAAUUCCACUAAAACUUAGGGCUGUCUAUAUUAAACUUAUACAAAAAAAAAGACUAUAGAUUAAACUGUAAAGUAAUUUAUGAGAGAUCUCUAUACCUUUUGCUACAAUUUUUGUUUAGUAGGUUGAUGUUAGAAAGUAGUAAUUUCUAAUUAAGGUAAUCAUAUAUUUAAUAUAAUUGUAUCGAUUAUUUAUUUUGGGUUAUAAAACAAAUGAUUUAAUUCUGACAACUCAUAGAACUUCUAAAAUUGAUAACACAUAUAAGCUUAAUGUGUGGGUACCCAAAUGGUUGACCUAUAGGGGAUAAUGAGAAUCAUAUAAGUUAAUAUAUAAGGAACGAUUAUGGUCUUAAAGACAACAAAUUACAAUCAGUUUUCACAUUUCCCUAUUAGAGAAAAAACGAAUGUACCAAAUGGAAUUCAAGAUUUGGUUGAGGAAGACCAUCAUACCAAAAAUCUCUCUAAAGACAUACAAAAUAAAUAGAUCUAAGAAACAUGGAUUCAUAUAUGAUUUUGUAUCCUUGUUUUAUAUAUUUUUUUUACAUGGGAAAGGAAAACAAAACUAAGAAGAACUAUCUAAGACUAAUAAAUCCGACAAGACAUUCAAACCUAAAGACCUAAGCGUGAAAGAGCACCCGUCUUUGCCAUAAAUCCACCACGGAGUUGGUUCCCUUUAUAUUAUGUGUAUGAAUCAUGAGAUUCCAGAUUCUAGGAAUGAUAUUACACUAAUCAUAAGGAAAAUUUAACAAUUGGUAUCAGAGCGUAGGUUCUGAAUUUUAUGAUCUCCUUAAAGAUGUCUUUCCAAUUUUUAUAUGAACCCUAAUUUUAAUUUAUGGAUUUUAUGCUUCCGCUAUCGUGAUAUAAAGAUUGAGAAUUUAAGUUGGUUAUUUCCGCUGUAAUGUUUUCGUUUGAGUGUCUUAAUUGUACACACAUAAUGAUAUAAAGUAAUCGUAUGGAUGAUGUUUUUUAUUUUCUUUUUGUUCUUAUCCCAUAAGGAAUUGUAUCAUGAAAUUAAUGUGAUGAUGAGAACUUACAAUUCAAUUUUUUUUACGCUUUCCAUGUAUACGUUUACAUGCUACAAAAUGUACAUAUAUACAUUAUGAUGUUCUAAUUAUAUAUCUCAUUCAUUAUAUAUGUUGUUUGUCCAGUGAUUGAUUUAUAAUUUUGUUGAUGCAUUAUUUAUUGAUUAGUAGUAUACUCAUAAAGUUGUAUUCAUAUAGAUAAUGCAUUUAGUUUAUUUAAAUGCUGAAAUAUAUUAUAGAGUGUGCAUUUUUAGUAUAAAGAUUUAUACACAGUCAAUAAAUUAUCUAUUAUUUAUUUGUAUUAUUUUUUUCUAAAAAGUCAAUAAUGAUUUAAAAUAAAUGAAGUAUGAUGAGCCAUAAUAUAUAAAACUCUUAUACUGUCAAUAUAUUUUCUCUAUUUUAUAUACUAUAUAUAUUUUGCUAUUAUAAGGCACAUAUAAUGUCUACCUUGUUAUAACUUCAAGCACAUAAAUUUUUAUUAAUUUGCCUCCUUAUCACAAGUUCAGUGUGAUUUACUCAUGUUUUUAAUGUAGCUACUUUACUGAAGUUAUAUAUAUAUAUAUAUAUAUAUAUAUCUUCAAUGCCCAGAAAAUCUCUUCUUUUCCUUUAUUAGAUUUAGUUCAAGUUAUAUCUUGGUAUUCGUGUUCUUCUUUUGUAGAUAAAUUGGUGUUUUAAUUCCUAGAUUGUUUAAAAAAAGUUACUUUUUAUAGUUUGGAUUUAUAUUGUGAUUAAAUCUUAAAAUUUUAAUUCUAAUUUGUAUUUUUUUAUAAUGUACUCAUAUUAUUUUUUUGUCUAGUAUGUUUUUGAUUAAAUUCAAUGAUAUGAUAUGUUGCCAAAGUAAUUUCUACUUUGAUUAAAAUUAUAUAUAUACUAGUAUGUGACUAUUUAUGAGAAUUGUGAUCAGCCUAAAAGAAGAUAUAAUUUGGCCAAAUAAUAACAUUUAUAUGAUGAUAAAUAUGUAAUAAUUAUAAAGUUAUAUUUUUCAUCUAAAUAAUAUUCGGUCUAAAAAAGACUAUUGUUUGACAAAACUAAUUAUUAAUAUUUAUCAUUACAUUGAAAAUUCAUUUCUUCAAUUCUUUUUAUCUGUCCAAAUUAUAUUUUUUUUCUAAGCCAUGGAAGAUCCUAUGCCGAUUUAGUAAAUCAAUCUGUUAAUUGUGAGCUUCAAAUUAAAAAGUGCCUAUAAUUUAUCUUUGACUGUUUCACAAUCCAAAUAUGUAUCUAUUUUGAGGUUACUACUUUUGGAAACAAGCAUAUAAAUAAGCGAAGAAACUUGUGCUAAAUUCACCAUCUCUCAACAUUAUAUCUUCAACAACAACAAAAAAAGAACAAAAGAAAAAUGGCUCGCCUGGCAUGUUGUUUGGUCUUGAUCUCUUUGUGCUUAUGCCUUGUUCUUGAGCCUGCUUUUGCAGCCAAGAAAGGACACAAGACCCGUAAGGUCAAAUCCGCCAAGCACAUUGCCCCAGCAAGUGCACCUUUUCCUUCUGCUAUUCAAACAGAACAAGCUUUGAUCCAACAACUAUGCCAGGAUACAAGGAAAUCCAAAUUGUGCCGCAAAAUUGUCCAAGGUGAAAGGGUAGCUUUAGAACCAGUCGCUGAGGCCAAGAUUGCCAUUGAUAUUGCCACAUCCAUGGCAUCAAGGGUUGGUGCAUACAUGUCAACCCAACUUAAAACAAACCGUGUUAAGAUUCUUUCAAGAGGGUUUGUGAAAGUUUGCAAGUUCAAUUAUGACAAUGCAAUUGUUGACUUGAACCUUUCAUACAUUAACUUUGAAUCCAACACCAAGAAAGCCAUUGAGAGUCUCAAACAAGCUGAGAUUAAGAUUGGAUUCUGUGUUAAUUCUUUGAAAUCAGCAAGUAAAAAUGCUGAAAUUCCACCAGUUCAUGAAGCCAACAAAGUGAUUCAGAGUUUGAUAAAGGCAGCAGAAUUUGUUGCUAAGAAACAAACACACUAAGCAACAUAUAGCCAGUAUGUGUGUCCAUUUUGCCUUUUGUUUGAGAGAUGUGGAACAUGUUUGUGUUUCUCUUUUUCUGAAUUUUGGUUACAAAAAUAAGUUCUAUUUUUGUACUCUUAUUAAUGUAUUGUUAUCACAAAACAAUUUUAAUGAAGGGUCACAGUUUUCAAU